AGGAACAGACACUUCAUCGAGCGUAAUCGAGUGGUCUCUGGCUGAGAUGUUGAAAAACCCGAGCAUCCUCAAGCGUGCUCACGAAGAAAUGGAUCAAGUGAUUGGAAGGAGCCGGCGGCUCGUGGAGUCUGACUUGCCAAAACUUCCAUACCUACAAGCCAUAUGCAAGGAAAGCUUCCGGAAGCACCCAUCCACCCCAUUGAACCUUCCUCGUGUCUCAACCCAAGCAUGCGAAGUGAACGGCUACUACAUCCCAGAGAACACUAGACUUAGCGUGAACAUAUGGGCAAUUGGGCGAGACCCUGAUGUCUGGGAAAGCCCGGAAGAAUUCAGGCCAGAAAGGUUUUUAAGUGGAAGAAAUGAAAAAAUUGAUCCUCGUGGAAAUGAUUUUGAGUUGAUCCCGUUUGGGGCUGGACGAAGGAUUUGCGCUGGCACUAGAAUGGGAAUAGUGCUGGUUGAGUACAUUUUAGGGACGUUGGUACAUUCAUUUGACUGGAAAAUGCCGGAUGGAGUUGAGAUCAACAUGGACGAAGCUUUCGGGCUUGCACUGCAGAAGGCAGUUUCUCUUUCGGCCAUGGUGACACCAAGGCUUCACCAGAGUGCGUAUGCAGUCUGAGCUCAAACCGCUCAGACCAAAACCCAGGCCUCGCUGCUAUAUGGCAUGGAUGCAGUUAAGUAGAAAAUAUUUUGGGAUGCCUGUGGCUUAGUAUAAGAUGUAUUAGCUCAAAGAUGGUCGUUUCAUUCUACCACCAAGCCAUAUGCAUCUAUGCAUAAUCUAUUGAUUUAGGCUCGAUUUGGUUAUAGUUUUUGUUUUUUUGUCUUCCAAAUCAGUAAAUAGUAGGGGUAUUUUUGUCCUAUGUAGUGAUUCUUUUUGUUUGAUUGAUUAUAUUUGGAUCCUUCAAAUAUUCCUACACAACUAUUAACCUCCUUCAAAAAUAUAUAGUUAAGGGCCUUGGUCAGAGCCAUCUCCAUCUUUUCACUUCUUGUGCUGCAGUAUGGGAUUGGCUUAGAUGAUCGUUAGUCUAAUGUUUCCUUUUCAACAUCAUAAUUCAGCGCAAACUAAGUUGAAUAUUCAACAACAAAUAAGUACAGAAAAUAAUGGAAGAAAAAUUCCCACUUUAUCUCCGUAAAGUAAUGCCAUAUUUUUCUUCAUACUUACCUUCUAGAUUUUUGUUGGAGCUCUGAGCCCGUGAUCCAUUAGAUGAUUGCGUGUGUGCAUAUGCAUGUGGGUGAUUGCGUGUAAUACGUACGUACGUUCCAUGAUUCAUGUUCGAAGUACCCUCUCUUAUUUAUCGUUGAAGAGGCUAUCGUCACAAACUCUAUUGAUUAAUUAGUCUAGGCAAAUUAAGGCGCGAUAACGACCGAUGUAUAUCUUAAAAGUAACGAUUAAGAGAAUAUUAUAUGUACAAGGGAAAAAUCUACAUAUAAUUAUUGAUGCAACUUGCAAGUGGGAUAAAAUUUGGGAUGGGGAUUAUUAUAAAUUAAUCUCAAUCCAUAAUUGUGAUUGUGGAGUAUAAAUUAAAUGAUUCAUAAUCCAUCUACAUGAAGAUUAAAACCCAUAUUGAAAAUAGCUUUAAAAAACUAAUUUAUAAGAAUAAUUUUUGCAUCAUAUUUUGUGUGCUUGAACUCGUUUCCUAUAUUUUUAAAUAUAUAUUAAAUAUAAUUUUCUUUUAUUUAUAGUGUUUUAUUUUUAAUUAUUCUUCAUAUUUAUAUAAUUAUUUUUUAAAACAAUCAUGAUAAAAAGCAAAAAGAAGUGAAAAUAGCUUAAUAUAAUUAAAGACAAAUAUCUUAUUUUUUGUUAUCUGUUGUUAUUGUUUUUUCUUUUUGUUAACCCCCUUCAAAUCUAAUUAUUCAUACUCAAUUUUGACACGAAAGAGCCAUUGUCAUGAAAGGGGGAGGUCCAUCAUUUUGGUACGAUGCCAACUCUACCACAUAACCACCAUUUAGAUAUCUAUCCUUUUAUUUUUGGCAUGUGAACUUAUAGUGGGUGGCUGACCUUGAAUCCACUAGUUAUCAUGUUGAAAUUAACCACCAUUUAGAUAUCUAUCCUUUUAUUUUUGGCAUGUGAACUUACAGUAAGUCCGAUUUAUGUCCAAGGGUCAAAUUUAAAUCUCUCUUCAAUCUAAUGGCUAAGAACUUCCCAACUUUAUUUAAUACUUAAUGUAUCCAAUAAUUGUAAUCGAGUAAUCCAAUGACAAGUACCUUCAAUGACUAUUUUGGCAAAAGAAAAAAGAAAAAAAGAAAUAAUAUAAGUUUGUUAUUUUAUGAUAUAAUAAAUUUAUUAAUACUUUCCUUUUUCAAAAUAUGUAAUUAGUUGUAAUUUCAUUAUAUAAUAUAUAAAUUAAGUUAUUUGCAAUUUUAAAAUAUGUUCAUUUUGUUUUUUUUUAAGUGUUAAUUAAAAAUUAUACAAUUUUGUUUUAUAAAAAGUAUUUAGUACUUUUAAUUUUAUAAAUUACAAACAUUAAUUAUACUAUUUUCUUAAAAUAUUUAGUUUAGUAUGCAUAUUAUUAGUUGUUUUCUCAUAUCUCAAGUUUCAAUCAAAAAAAUAUUUAUGAUUUGUUUUUGUUAAUUUGUGUCUUGUUUUCAAUUUAAUUAAUGAAAAGUUAUUUGAUCAAAAGGUUCAUUACAAACCAAUUUUAAAAAUUUAAUCCUUUAUUAUAUUUUGAUAUUGUUUUGAUAAAAAUGUCUUUAUUAUUUUUUAAAUAUAUUGUAAAUAUUUAAAAUAAUUAAAAAUAUUUAGAUCAAAAAUCGAUUAUUUUUCAAACAAAAAUAUGAAAGUGAUAAAUUUGCAAAUGUGGGGAAUAUUUAAUCCUUUUAAUCGAUUAUUUCAUUAAUGAAGUGGGUAUAAUGAUGAACGCAGACUUGGUUUUACUAGGGCAUGCAGAGGUUUUGCAAGAGAGAGAGAUCAUUUCUCGACUCUGAGAAAUCAAUCUCCUUUUGGCCCGGUGGCGGACUCCAAGUAAAGCCUUGAAGGAGCCUUGCUAACAUCCCUGCACACCCACGCCUUCCAGUACUGAAGGAAAUGAAGCGAAGGUUUGGCUCGUUCAACUCCACUGCUUGAACUGUACUAGCAUUCAGAUGCCGCUCUGGAUUGAAAUUUAGCGGUUCUUCCCAGAUUCUAGGGUUCCGGCCCAGCCCCAGACGGCUCAGAAGGACAUGACUGCCUUUGGGGAUAGAGUACCCAGCAACACUAGUCGGAUUCCUGAACUCGUCUAUCCUUUCCAACCACUCCAUCAAUUUCUUCACUGCUUUGCUCAAAAUCCCUGGUUGCUUGAUCAUUGCCUACUCAAUUGCAUUUGAUGGACUAUCGAAGCCUGCAAGCAUCAACUCCUGCAAAUUAUGGAAGGAUCAUAAUCUCAUGAUUGAUCAAGUUAUUUGCUGGCUAGGAAAUGAUCAUCAUGCAAUGUAGAUCAAAAGGUAAGCACAACACUACUACAAAAAUAAUUUAUGGUGUCAUUUUUAAAAUAAUGACACCAUAGGGUUUAUAAUUAAUAAAGGUGAUACAUCAUAUGAAAAUUCUUCAAUUGAGGUAGUUAGAUUAUGUUAGUUUUAUAUUUAUAGUGUCAUUUUUUGGGAAGUAACAUCAUAUAAAAUAAUUUUUUUUUAAGUAUUAUAACUUAAUGAGCCCACUUUUAUAAUUAAUAAUGAGGGAUAAUGUAUAAAAAGCCCAUUGUUUCCACAUGCCACCCACAAUCCAAAAAAUCUCAGUAUACAAACCUUAUAUAUAAAACCAUAAUCUUCUUCUACCUUUUCUCUUACCUAUAGUCAACACACUUAUAACCGACAUUUUCCACUUUGUGGACUCCCAAGUUAUCCAAAUUCUCUUAGAUCUAUCCUAUUUUUUUUCUUUUAUUAAUAUCAUUAUAUUGAUUGUUUCAGCAUCUUUGUAUUAUGGUUUUUGUGAACUGCAUUUUCUUGAGUUGUAGGGAAGAAAAACUUAGGUUUAAACUUCUAGCAUAGACAAAGAAACUUGUAGAUUAAUUGAUUUUUUAAUAUGAACCAAACACAUGACCGACUUUUUCUGUGUGUAAUAAGGACAGCUAGUAUUCAUGCAUAAAAUCAGCAUCAGAAUUCGUAACUGCAUUUGAUCAGCUAGUUUAGUAAAUCUGUACAACUCAUUCUUUCCUUUAUUUUCACAUAUGUUGUUAUACGUUAGCACAAGUUUAGGAGUAAUUUUAGUUUCUCAAAUCUGUAUUUAUACCUCUUCUUCUAAUAAGAAUUGUGUGAAUCAUUUUGUCUAAACCUCUUUAUGGUAUCAGAGCACACCUCAAAACUCCAACAAGUAUUUCCUGUCUUUCUCGCUUCUGCUAUGGCCACUUCUUCCUCUGAUAGUUUUCCAAUAGCCAUCAAUGCCACCCAGCAAAUUACUGCACGUCUUACACCAACCAACUUCCCUUCAUGGCAUGCUCAAUUUGAGUCUCUCCUCCUCGGCUAUAACCUCUUUGGCUAUGUCGAUGGCACUCAUACCUGCCCACCCCUACCGAUGUCAACUAAUGCAGCUGCCACUACAGCUCAUCACCUUUGGUUCCAUCAGGACAAACUUAUUCUAAGUGCAAUUUUGACUUCAGUGUCCCUAGCUGUGAUACCACUCAUAGCAACCUCCCAAACGUCAUAUCAAACCUGGACAAAACUGACAAAACUGUAUGCUAGUCGAUCCAGGACUCGUGUCAUGCAGCUCAAAGAGGAUCUCACCCUCAUGCAAUGUGGCAAUCGCAGCAUUACAAAGUACCUACACUCUGUAAAAACCAUUGUCGAUGAGCUUGCUCUCAUCGAUGCCCCAUUAUCUCAAGAUGACAUCACCCUAUAUGUUCUUCAUGGCUUAGGAUCAAAUUUUCGUGACAUUGUUGCCCCGAUUCGAGCCCGAGAGUCUUCACUCUCAUUGUUGCAAAAUACUGUCCGAAAUUGAAACCCUCUGAAGCCACUGUGAACUGCACAACUACUACUUCCAGUCCCGACAAACGUUGGCUCAUUGAUUCUAUGGCUUCCCAUAAUAUCACUUCUCAGGUUUCAAAUUUACAAUUUCACUCUGAAUAUGAUGGUACUGAUGAAGUUAUUAUUGGAGAUGGAUCAGGUUUGCCCAUUACUCAUUCUGGUUCUCUUACUCUUUCAUUUCCAAACAGAAAAUUUCAAGUUGAAGAUACUCUAUGUGUUCCUACCAUUAACAAAAACUUGAUAUCUGUUCACCACUACACAAAGCAAAACAAUGUUAUCCUGGAAUUUCACCCAACUUAUUUUCUUGCGAAGGAUUGGAGAACGGGGGAGAUUCUUCUUCAAGGACCGUGUGAAAAUGGAGUCUACCCUCUGGCCUCAUCGCCUGCUGCUACUCCAAUUGCUUUUGUCCAUGAACGCACAUCAGCAGCUGGUUGGCAUCAUCGCCUUGGUCAUCGAUCAUUCAAAGUUGUCACUCGCCUCAUUAGUUCUUUCUCCCUUCCCACCACUUCAUGUCUUUCUGGUUCUAAUAAUUGUCAUUCGUGUUCUAUCAAUAAAGCUCAUCAGUUACCCUUUCAUAAACACGGUCUAACUAGCACAACACCAUUUGAUUUACUUUACACUGAUGUAUGGGGACCUUCUCCCACUCCUAGUCUCAAUGGCCACAGAUAUUAUGUUAUUUUUGUUGAUCACUUUACCAAAUAUGGUUGGUUCUUUCCAUUGCAUCAAAAAUCAGAUGUUAAAACCAUAUUUCCUCAUUUCUACAAAAUGAUUGAAACUCGUUUUAACAUAAAAAUUAAAGGAGUUUAUUCCGAUAAUGGGGGCGAGUUCACUGUUCUUCGACCCUUUUUCACAACCCAUGGCAUUAGUCAUUAUACGACAGCCCCUUAUACACCCCAACAAAAUGGAGUGUCUGAGCGUCGUCAUCUCCAUAUUGUGGAGACAGGUCAAACCCUUCUAAGUCAUGCCUCUCUUCCAUCAGAAUAUUAGGCUUAUGCUUUUGCAACAGCCACAUAUCUAAUCAAUCGACUUCCAUCACCUGUUCUUCAUCAUAUAUCACCUCUUCAAGCAACAACCUCGGUAUGAAAAAUUACGUUCCUUUGGAUGUCUUUGCUUUCCCUUGAUGAAGCCGUAUAACACAAACAAAUUUCAAAAGAAAUCCGUUCCUUGUAUCUUUGUUGGCUACUCUACUAGCCAAAGUGCAUAUCUAUGUCUUCAUCUACAAAGUCAGCGCAUAUACACCUCCAAACACGUAACCUUUGAUGAAUCUGUUUACCCCUUCAAACAGGUUUCCAUGCAAUCACCCACUGACUCAUCCCCAUCAGAAACCUCUUCUUUUUCAGGACCAAUUUUGCAGCUUGCUUCCAGGGAGCUUCCAACAAUCACACGGGCUCAAGGAGAUAUCCCCUCUGCUUCUUCGACUCCAAGUGAAGAUCCAGCUCUUGUGCAACCUCAAGAGGCACCACUUUCCACUUUAGAUCAGGUAACUCUUAGACCUUCUACUUCUGUUUCUCAACCAGAAAAUUCAAUGCCAUCCUCUCCACCACCAUGUCCACGAACCAUCAUCACUCGCUCCAUGAACAAUAUCUUUCGGCCAAAACAACUCCACACCACCACCAAGCACCCCUUACCUGAACCACCCGAACCAAGUUGUGUAAGUCAAGCUCUUAAAGACCCUCACUGGUGCAAGGCUAUGUCAGAAGAAGUGACAACCCUCCUUUAACAUGGGACGUGAGAACUGGUUCCUCCCACUCCUGGCCAGAAUCUUGUUGGGUGUAAAUUUGUGUUUCGGAAGAAACGAAAUCCAGAUGGAACAAUCAGUCGAUAUAAAGCUCGACUUGUCGCUAAAGGAUUUCAUCAACGGCCAGGUAUUGACUACUCUCAAACCUUCAGCCCUGUCGUAAAGCCAGUAACAAUUAGGCUUCUUUUAACCAUUGCUGUCAUGCAUGGCUAGCCCCUUCGUCAGUUAGACAUCAAUAAUGCAUUCUUGCAUGGUAAUCUUGAAGAAACAGUCUUCAUGCAUCAACCUACAGGAUUUGAAGAUCCAUCUCAACCUCAGUAUGUUUGCAAGCUAAAAUAGAGUAUCUAUGGUCUUAAACAAGCCCCAUGACAGUGGUACAAGGCCCUUCGGGAUGCACUUCUCAGCUUUGGUUUUAUUCACUCGGCCACUGACAACUCUUUGUUUAUCUAUAAGUCUCAUGAUAUCUUGUGCUACUGCCUUGUUUAUGUUGAUGACAUAAUUGUCACAAGCAACACACUCAGCUUUGUGAAUAACAUUAUAAACAAGCUUGGCUCUACAUUCUUAGUCAAAGAUAUGGGCUCCUUGCAUUAUUUCUUGGGAAUAGAAGUGAUUCCAAUGCCACAGGGGCUCUUUCUAUCUCAACAUCAGUAUAUAUGGGAUCUCCUUUCACGAACCUCCAUGGAAAAUGCUAAAGAAACACUCACUCCAAUGUCCACUACAGCCAAGCUUACGGUUCAAGAUAAUUUUGAAUGUGUUGACAGCACUGAGUAUCGCAAGAUCAUUGGAGCACUUCAGUAUUUGGGACUCACUCGUCCCGAUAUUGCCUUUGCAGUCAACAGAUUAUCUCAGUUCAUGUAGAAGCCGACAACAAACCAUUGGGCCGCAGCAAAAAGACUACUCAGCUAUCUUAAACAGACCAUGUUUCAUGGUAUCCUUCUCCAAAAUCAUGAUCAAUUCCAACUCAAGACCUAUAGUGAUGUGAAGUGGGCAUUAAAUACGGACACUCGUGUUUCAACCACUACUUUCAUCACAUUCAUUGGUCCUAAUCCAAUCUCAUGGUCUGCACGCAAGCAAAUGGCAGUCUCAAGAUCAUCUAUAGAAGCAGAGUUUCGGGCACUAGCUACUGCCACACAGAAACAGUUUGGCUUCAUUCUCUUAUCAAGGAACUUGGUCUCACUCUCAGAGAAGCACCUCAAAUGUUUUGUGAUAAUAUUGGUGCCAACCAUUUCAGUUUAAAUCCAGUCCAGCACAGACGGAUGAAACACAUUGAAAUUGAUCUCCUCUUUGUACGAGAUCUUGUCAAAAAGGGAACUAUUCGUGUUCAGCACAUCCAUACCAUUGAUCAACUAGCUAAUCUCCUUACAAAAUCACUCUCACAUCAACGCUUUCAACUAUUAAGAUCCAAGAUUGGUGUUGCAGAUGGCACCUCCAUCUUGAGGGGGCAUAUAAGGACAGCUAGUAUUCAUGCAGAAAAUCAGCAUCAGAAUUCGUAACUGCAUUUGAUCAGCUAGUUUAGGAAAUCUGUACAACUCAUUCUUUCCUUUAUUUUCACAUAUGUUGUUAUACGUUAGCACAAGUUUAGGAGUAAUUUUAGUUUCUCAAAUCUGUAUUUAUACCUCUUCUUCUAAUAAGAAUUGCGUGAAUCAUUUUGUCUAAACCUCUUUAUAUUUAUGUGAGAAUGACAGGUACAAAAUUUUGUUGAGAUAUACUGCCCCAUAAUCUUCAUCCUUUCCCUAAAAUGAGAGAGGGAAAAAAAAAAAGGAAUGAUUUUUUUUGUGUGUAUCUAAGUGGGAACAAGAGAUAUAGAAUUUCGUUGAGAUGCAGUGCUGCCACAUGAUCUUUAUCCUCCAUUAAACCCAACAUAUUAAAUCCACUAACUCUCUCCCCAAAAAUGAGUAAAAAAAAAAAAAAGGAAAAAAGUAUGAGUUAAAAAACAAAAACGGAAAAUAUGAUUUUUUUAAUGUGUUUCUAAGGAGAAUGAGAGAUACAUAUUUUUGUUAAGAUGCAUUGCCACGUGUUCUUCAUCCUCUCCAUUAAGCCUAAUAUAUUAAACCUAAUAGCUCUCUCUUUUAAGCUUUCCAAUGAAGUGCCUAUAGUAUCCAACUCAAAAUAAGACAACUUAAGCCCCAUUAGCCAACAACCCAUAUUUUGUGUACAUCUUGAUGAGAUUAUUUUGUGAGAAAAUGUCAUGAAACAAUCCCAAUUUGAUAAUCUAGGCAUGUAUUUGAGUUAAAAAUAAAUUUCUAUUCUAUAGAUCAAAGAAUAAAAUCAUGUUUGAAAAUUAUUUUUAAAAACUUAUUUAGAGCAAAAAUAGUUUUCUAACAUAAAAAUAAUUUUUUAACUGAGAAAAUAUAUUUGAAAUUAUUUGAUAGAAAAUUGGGCAUGUAUUUGACUUAAAAACAAAUUUCUAUUCUAUAGCUCCAAUAAUAAAAUCAUGUUUGAAAAUUAUUCUUAAAAACUUAUUUAGAGCAAAAAUGGUUUUCUAACAUUAAAAUAAUUUUUUAAUUUAGAAAAUAUAUUUGGAAACAGUUGAUAGAAAACUGGGCAUGUAUUUGACUUAAAAAUAAAUUAUUAUUCUAUAGAUCAAAGGAUAAAAUCAUGUUUGAAAAAUAUUCUUAAAAACUUAUUUAGAGUAAAAACAGUUUUCUAACAUAAAAAUAAAUUUUUAACUUAGAAAAUAUAUUUGAAAACAUUUGAUAGAAAACUUUUUUUUUUAAUGUCAAUAAGUUGUCUUUUUGUUAAUUUAAUUGUAAUCAAUUUUCUUAUACGCAUUUAAAAGUAUAUAUUAUCAUAUUUAGUAAUAUUUUGAUUAUUAGGCAAAUUAUCAUUUUUGAGAGGAAUUUUUGUAGCUCUCAUAAUUAUAAUUGUAUUUUAAUAACCACUUCCAAUAAAUAAAAAAAAGAAAAAAAAAGUUAGACAAUUAUCAAAAUCUGAUUUUUAGGAUUUUAAAAAAAUCUACAAGCCAAAACUAUUUAUAAUUUUGAUCAUGUGAGAACACUUCUUUUUUAAUACUUUGAGUUAUUUUGUUUUUUUUUUUUCUUAGUAUCUGAAAGUAUAAAAGAAUUUCUCAUAUAUGUGCAUGUGUGUUCUCAUGGUUGUUUAUGUCAUGUCUUAUUAAAGAAUGAAGUGAAGUUUCCUUUGAGUGGAAGGUUUUAGUCCACGCUAGUCAGUGGACACGGUAUGAAUAGUUUGGGUGGGUUGUAUCUAUGGUAAAAAAAUAAUAAAAGACAACUUUUGCAAGUCUCCAAGUUGGUUGAGAUACAUGAUGUCAUGUUGACUAGACCUUGACUUUUGCAAGUCUCCUAGUUUCCAACUUUUUUUUCUUUUUUUUUUUUAAUAUUAAGGUGUGGGGCCAUGAACUCCUUUCUUUCCUUUUUAAAUAACAAAAAGGAAGAUAAUUUUAUUGUGAGAAGGCUAUUGCUACCAAUUGUGUUCACGUCGAGAAUUUUUUAAUUUACGGAGGCCAUAUAUAUAUAUAUUUAUGUCUAAUUUAGGAGGGUAAUUUGGGUUUGUCUAAUCUAUUCCAUUUAAUCAUACUAUACAAUCAUUUUUUUUUAUUUGGAUUAUUCUUGUAUUAAAUUUCUUCAACCCAAAUUUUGUUGAAAAGUUACAAUGUAUUAUUGAAAAUAUGACUUGGUAGUUGAUUAUGGAUAUGUGUCAUUUUUAGUAUAAAAAAAAAAUAAAUCUAUAACAUUUUAUAUUGAUAAUAUAUUAUUCUUGUAACAGGUUUGAAUAAUAAGCAAGUCAUUGUCAAAGAAGUUAUUGAAAGUGUAAGUGUACAUUUAUUUAUUGCAUGCUCUUAUAUUGUAUCAAUUGUAAGGAAGAUAAAAUUACCUUGUAAAGGUAAUUAAAUCUUUCUAUAUUUUAAAAACUUUUUUCCUAUAUACUAUGCUUUUGAAGCUUGUUUAAUUAAACAUAUUAGUUAUUUGACAAACUUUUCACAAAUGUUUUGUAUACUUAUGUGUUCUAUUUUGUUCCAUAGUUUUAUUGCAUAAUACUAAUGUAUAUUUUUUCACAAACUUUUUACAACUAUUUUGUGUACUAAUGCAUAUUAAGUUUUGUUCUUGCCUAUAUAAGCUACAUUUAGUUAUUUAAAUAUAUCUAAUAUUAUGUUGAAGAAAGAUGUACUUACUUAACUUUUUUUAUUCUAAAUAUUAACAAGUUUUUCAGUUCUCUUGUCUCGAGAUUGAAUGUCAAAAGAUAGAAGGUCAGUUGAGUAUGAUGAAAGAGUUGAAAACUUUAUCAAUUUUGCAUUAGCACAUUCAAUCAACCAUUCCCCUAUAAAAUGCCCAUGCUUACGUUGUGCAAAUCUGUUAUGUCAAACUCUUCAAGUCAUUACAGAACAUUUGUUCUUUAAUGGAAUCGAUCUUAGUUAUCGAGUAUGGUAUUGGCAUGGAGAAAAUGGACCCAGUGGAGGAUUUUCAAAUGUCUCACAACAACAUUAUGACAAAUGCAAGUAUAAUGAUGUUGUUGACACAAUAGAUAUGGUUAAUGCUGCACAAGUUAAUUGUAUGAAUGAUCCCUAAGUGUUUGGAAGGUUACUUGAAGACGCAGAAAAACCUUUAUAUCUUGGAUGCAUGAAAUACACAAAGUUGUCAGCAUUGGUAAAACUUUACGACUUGAAAGCAUGUUAUGGUUGGUUUGACAAAGGAUUCUCAAAAUUGCUUCAGUUGCUUGGAGAUAUGUUGCCAUUGAAUAAUGAGAUGUCAUUGUCCAUGUAAGAAGCUAAAAAUACUUUUAGUGCACUUGGGAUGAAUAUAACAAAAUUCAUGCAUGUUCUAAUGAUUGUAUUUGGUAUAGAAACCAGUAUAAGGAUGCUAUUGCAUGCCUAACUUGUGGAAAGUCAAGGUGGAAGAUAAACAAUGAGGGGAAAAAGAUUAAGAAGGGGCUUCCUUCAAAGGUUUUAUGGUAUUUCCCACCAAUCCCUAGAUUCAAAAGGAUGUUCCAAUCCUCAAAAACCGCUAAACAUCUUAUGUGGCAUGCCAAGGAUAAAGAAUAUGACGGUAAACUAUGCCACCCAUCAGACUCCUUAGCGUGGAAACUAGUUGACCAUAUGUGGCUUGAUUUUGCUUCUGAACCGAGGACCUUAGACUAGCACUCUCAACAGAUGGUACAAAUCUUCAUAAGUCUAUAAGCAAUAGACAUAGUUGUUGGCCUGUUAUACUGAUCAUAUACAACCUUCCUCCUUGGUUGUGCAUGAAAAAGAAGUUUAUGAUGCUAUCAUUAUUGAUCUCAGGACCACGACAACCUGGUAAAAAUAUAGAUGUUUACUUGAGUCCAUUGGUAGAUGACCUUAAAACUUUGUGGGAAAAAAAAGUUAAGACUUAUGAUGCACACUUGCUUGAGGUUUUUACUUUAAAGGUCAUCAUUUUAUGGACAAUCAGUUAUUUCCCUACAUAUGAAAACUUGGCCAAUUGCACCGUGAAAGGAUAUUAUGCAUGUCCAAUAUGUGGAGAAGGAACAUAUUCCCAAAGAUUAAAGUAUGGUAGGAAGAACUUGUAUAUGGGUCACCGACGAUUUCUUCCACGUAACCAUCCCUAUUGGAGACAAAAGAAGGCACUCAAUGGUGAACAAGAUUUUAGAAUUCCUCCUAAAAUUUUGAGUGGAGAAGAAAUACUUGAAAAAGUUGAUCUCAUUCCUAUUUCUUGGGGAAAAAUGAAGAUAAAAUCUCUUGAACUGAUGUGAACACAAAUUGUUGGAAAAAAAAGUCCAUAUUUUUUUAGUUAGAAUAUUGGAAAUAUCUUCAUAUCUUUCACAACUUGGAUGUUAUGCACAUCGAAAAGAAUGUCUGUGAGAGUAUUAUUGGUCCUUUGUUUAACAUCCUAGGAAAAAAAAAAUGGACUUAAUGCUCAACUUGACCUAGUUGAAAUGGGUUUAAAGUCUGAACUUUUCCCAAGAGUUGACUUGAAGCGGACCUAUCUUCCCCCUGCAUGUUAUUCACUAUCCAAACAUAUAUGACAAAAAAUUAGUUUGUCAAACAUUGUCUAAUUUGAAGGUCCCUGAGGGGUAUUGCUCAAAUUUGAGAAAUCUUGUCUCCUUAGAGGAAUUGAAGUUAUUUGGUUUAAGAUCCCAUGACUACCAUGCACUUAUGCAACAACUAUUGCUAGUGGCAUUACGUUUUGUUUUGCUAAAGCAUGUGAGAUAUACUAUAUCAAGAUUGUGUAUCUUCUUCAAUCAAUUAUGUACAAAAAUGGUUGAUGUGCCAAAAUUGGAUGAAGUACACAAUGAGUUAGUGGUCACGCUGUGCUUACUUGAAAAGUAUUUUUCACCUUCAUUUUUUGAUAUUAUGCUUCAUCUAGUAGUGCAUUUGAUAAGGGAGGUGUGACUAUGUGGUUCAGCUUACUUUAGGUCGAUCUACCCAUUUGGGAGGUAUAUGAAAGUUCUUAAAGAAUUGUUCGCAAUCAUAAUUGGCCUGAAGGAUGCAUUACUAAGUGCUAUUUAGUAGAAAAAGCUAUCGAAUUUUGUACUGAAUAUUUAUUAGGGACUUAUGCAAUUGGAAUUCCAAAAGCAACAAUUAUGACAACAAAUUUCGUAGACCUAUUGAUUACUACUCAAAAAGUGCUAUUUGAUAGCUUGUAAUUAAUCCUUUUAAACACUUUUGAGUAGUAGUUAUUGCCUUUUAACCCAAUUAACAUGUUAAGGACCCUUGCAAUCAUUUCUUAUCAAAUUGUGUAAGUUUUGGUGUUUUUGUUAGUAAUUUGAUCACCAAAACAAUCCAAGAUUGAGGAGAGUUAUUUGGAAUCCAUGGCAAAGCAAUGAAGAGCUCAAAUUCAUGAAGAACCAAGCUUUGGAGCUCCAUAGCCCUUUGCCAAAGUCGUUCAAAGUAUGCAAGGAAAGAGCACUGGAGAGAGGAAAAACAGAGUGAAGAAAACAGAGGAAAGCUAGAUGUAGUCUUCUUUCACACUUUUGGAGCAAUUUCCGAAGUCCAUUUUCUACAUUCGAUAUACCAUUUCAAAGCUCAGGAAGUCAAGAAUCCAAUGCUUCAAACGGUGCAUGAUUCGGAGUUGAAACGAAGGAGUUACAGCCAUUGCAAGCAGAUCACUCCAAAGUGUUGCGAAAUCAGCCUUUUGUUGCGAGAAUUUCGCAGCCUUUUUGUACAGUGCUAUGGAAUUCCUCCUAAAGUUGCCCGAUAUAUGCCGCAAGCUGGAAGCUGAGAACAUCAAGGUGGAAGCCAACUUCGCAGCCCUACGAGAAUAACUUGUUGAUGCGAAAAUAUUUCGCAGCCCUCUUGAGUGUCUGCGAAAUCUCGCAGACACCAUUUUCACCUGCGAAAUGUUCCUGGAGCUUCCCGAUAUUUUUGCACCGACUCUUUUGGAUAUUUUUCUUCAGAUAUUUUUGUAUAAAUUUCCAUUCUUCUCCUUGUAAGCCACGAACCAUAAGAUUUCUUAGUUAGGAAGGUUGGAAAAACAUCUCUAUAUAUAUUCCUUUGCAUCCACUGUAAUCAUAUAUCAUAUAUAGAAUAUACAGAGCCUUGCUCUGUUUUUCCUUCUCUUUCAUUUUUCAUUUAUUUUUAUUUCUAGCCAACCAAACUUUGAGGAUUUUUCCACAGAGGAUGAGAGGCUAAGCUUUUUGUCUCUUGGAGUGAGGAAAGCCGGGUAAGUUUCCACAUGCAUAAUUUGGAAGUUUUGUUGUUUUAGUUUUUAAUGAAGAGAAAGUGUGACCCGUUAGUGAUUUCUAUGUUUUUAGUUAACUUAAAACGCCUUUAAAUCACCUGGGCCAACACUUGGUAAGGCAAGUGAUUUCCAACCAUGGAAAUGCACUAGUUUACCCCUUGCGAGCCUUUGGGAGGUGACUUGAAGGUAGGAUUUUCUAGAAUAGCCAACACUUGGUAAGCUUUUGGACUCCAAGGAGACAUCCAUUAGUUAUCUCUUGCGAGCUUUUGACGGGUAAUCCAAGGUUAAAGAUCACCUUGAAUGGCAAGUGCUAGGUGAGAGGUAUGAGUCAUUGUAAGAUGCAUCAGUGAGAGGGAUUUAGUGAUUGAACCCAUUAAUGGGAAGCAUCUGUACAACACCGGUUAGAGAAUUAACUAUAUGUUAAUUCUCUAAUGCGAGGAAAAUAAACAAGUGACCGGAACUCUCCAUUUUGUAUGAGGAACAAGCCUAGUGAUCUGAACUCCAAGAAACACUUUUCUUUGUAGUUAAAACCAGUUACUAUUUUUUGUUAGCUUAAAACCAAACCUUUUUCAUUUAAACAUCUUUAUGUUUCUUUUAAAGCUAACCUUGAAAUGAAAAGGCACCAAUUCAGCUUUGAAUUGAUAUCAUUUGUGAAGUGAAAACCCAUCCCAGUGAACGAUCCUAGAGCCACUAUGCUAUAGUAGCUUUGUCUUUGCUACCCUAGUUCAUGGUGUAAUAGGUUAUAAAUUUUGUUGAUUACUCCCUCAAUCAAGGAGCACCAGCUGGACACGAAUCAGCUGAGACACCAAGUGGGCNNNNNNNGUUCAUGGUGUAUUAGGUUAUAAAUUUAGUUGUUUACUCCCUCAAUCAAGGAGCACCAGCUUGACACGAAUCAGCUGAGACACCAAGUGGGCACGAAUCAAAUGGCGCCAUUUGCUUCGUCCGUAGCAGUGGCAGUGGCAAUGGCACCAUUUGAUUCGAGGUUCAAUCCCAGGCAACGGCGCCAUUUGAUUCGUCCCUAGCAGUGGCAGUGGCAAUGGCACCAUUUGAUUCGAGGUUCAAUCCCCGGCAGCGGCGCCAUUUGAUUCGUGUCCACUUGGUGUCUCAGCUGAUUCGUGUCCAGCUGGUGCUCCUUGAUUGAGGGAGUAAUCAACAAAAUUUAUAACCUAUUACACCAUGAACUAGGGUAGCAAAGACAAAGCUACUAUAGCAUAGUGGCUCUAGGAUCGUUCACUGGGAUGGGUUUUCACUUCACAAAUGAUAUCAAUUCAAAGCUGAAUUGGUGCCUUUUCAUUUCAAGGUUAGCUUUAAAAGAAAACAUAAAGAUGUUUAAAUGAAAAAGGUUUGGUUUUAAGCUAACAAAAAAUAGUAACUAAUUUUAACUACAAAGAAAAGUGUUUCUUGGAGUUCAGAUCACUAGGCUCGUUCCUCAUACAAAAUGGAGAGUUCCGGUCACUUGUUUAUUUUCCUCGCAUUAGAGAAUUAACAUAUAGUUAAUUCUCUAACCGGUGUUGUACAGAUGCUUCCCAUUAAUGGGUUCAAUCACUAAAUCCCUCUCACUGAUGCAUCUUACAAUGACUCAUACCUCUCACCUAGCACUUGCCAUUCAAGGUGAUCUUUAACCUUGGAUUACCCGUCAAAAGCUUGCAAGAGAUAACUAAUGGAUGUCUCCUUGGAGUCCAAAAGCUUACCAAGUGUUGGCUAUUCUAGAAAAUCCUACCUUCAAGUCACCUCCCAAAGGCUCGCAAGGGGUAAACUAGUGCAUUUCCAUGGUUGGAAAUCACUUGCCUUACCAAGUGUUGGCCCAGGUGAUUUAAAGGCGUUUUAAGUUAACUAAAAACAUAGAAAUCACUAACGGGUCACACUUUCUCUUCAUUAAAAACUAAAACAACAAAACUUCCAAAUUAUGCAUGUGGAAACUUACCCGGCUUUCCUCACUCCAAGAGACAAAAAGCUUAGCCUCUCAUCCUCUGUGGAAAAAUCCUCAAAGUUUGGUUGGCUAGAAAUAAAAAUAAAUGAAAAAUGAAAGAGAAGGAAAAACAGAGCAAGGCUCUGUAUAUUCUAUAUAUGAUAUAUGAUUACAGUGGAUGCAAAGGAAUAUAUAUAGAGAUGUUUUUCCAACCUUCCUAACUAAGAAAUCUUAUGGUUCGUGGCUUACAAGGAGAAGAAUGGAAAUUUAUACAAAAAUAUCUGAAGAAAAAUAUCCAAAAGAGUCGGUGCAAAAAUAUCGGGAAGCUCCAGGAACAUUUCGCAGGUGAAAAUGGUGUCUGCGAGAUUUCGCAGACACUCAAGAGGGCUGCGAAAUAUUUUUGCAUCAACAAGUUAUUCUCGUAGGGCUGCGAAGUUGGCUUCCACCUUGAUGUUCUCAGCUUCCAGCUUGUGGCAUAUAUCGGGCAACUUCAGGAGGAAUUCCAUAGCACUGUACAAAAAGGCUGCGAAAUUCUCGCAACAAAAGGCUGAUUUCGCAACACUUUGGAGUGAUCUGCUUGCAAUGGCUGUAACUCCUUCGUUUCAACUCCGAAUCAUGCACCGUUUGAAGCAUUGGAUUCUUGACUUCCUGAGCUUUGAAAUGGUAUAUCGAAUGUAGAAAAUGGACUUCGGGAAGUGCUCCAAAAGUGUGAAAGAAGACUGCAGCUAGCUUUCCUCUGUUUUCUUCACUCUGUUUUUCCUCUCUCCAGUGCUCUUUCCUUGCAUACUUUGAACGACUUUGGCAAAGGGCUAUGGAGCUCCAAAGCUUGGUUCUUCAUGAAUUUGAGCUCUUCAUUGCUUUGCCAUGGAUUCCAAAUAACUCUCCUCAAUCUUGGAUUGUUUUGGUGAUCAAAUUACUAACAAAAACACCAAAACUUACACAAUUUGAUAAGAAAUGAUUGCAAGGGUCCUUAACAUGUUAAUUGGGUUAAAAGGCAAUAACUACUACUCAAAAGUGUUUAAAAGGAUUAAUUACAAGCUAUCAAAUAGCACUUUUUGAGUAGUAAUCACUCCCCCCAACCGACAUAUUGCUAGUCCCUUAGCAAUGAAGGAGAGAAAAAUAAAAAUAAACAAUACUAUAAUUUACAACAUCAUGCUGAUCAAAAAACAAUUUUCAAGUGGCAUGAUGAUCUAACUCUCACAUGGAACAUUAAAGAAAUAAAACUCAAACUUCAACAAGAGUUAUCAAAUAACUUGUCUAAUCACAAUUCUUAAAGAGAAGGCAUUAUGCAAAUUUAAGCUUUAAAAUCAUUUCCACUUCCAAAGGAUCAAACCUUACUCUUCCACAAAAAUCUAAGUGUUAUUUAUUAGCUUCCGAAUAUAGUAUGUUGAACUAAUCUCUCCCCCUCAACCUAGUUCUUUUUCAAAGCUUAGCAAACUAAUCAACCUCCAAUAGGCUAAGAACGCACCUCUUUUUUCAUAAUUUUUUUCAUUGUAGGAGUACAAGGCUUAAAGGUAUUCUUUUCUAAAUUGUCCAUGUAACGGGGGUCCAUCGAUGACUCCCAACCAAUUAAGGUUUAGGGCAUCAAGCUUUAAGGAUCUUUCAACCACUAACUCCUCGGAUUUUACCCCGGACUUUUGAGAAUGAAUUUUUAAUACCCAAGCACCUACAGUAUGUUAAACUCCACCUAUUCACCCUUGUAACGAGCAUUGAGGUCGGUGACUCCCAACCAAUGAAGGCUUAGGGCACCAGGUUUUAAAGAUUUUCACCAUAUACCCCUCAGACCUUGCUCGGGUUUCAAGGCAAGCAAACAUUUUUUUUUUUUUUUUUUCAAAGACUCAUUGGCCUUUUAUAAGGUGUCCCAACACUAUUAAAUGAGGUCAAAGGUACCAAGUCUAAAAUUUUCCUAAGUCAAGAGGGAAAUAGUUUUUCAUCUUAUACUCGGAACCUAUUGUGCACAGUGUGUGGAUAGCUUAAAGUGGAAGAACUAAGGUUGACUUCAAUAGAAGUUUCAACAAUUCAUCAACUUUAAUAAGCAUAAUACAAAAUCUAAGUCAAGUAAAAAGACAAAAAUUCAAUUUCUCCAAUUUUAGUUUGAAAAUUUUUCCUUAAUAACCAUGGAGAGUAGAAUAAAAACUUUAAAAUUUUUUUAAAUUAAGCAAAAAACAACUAAAUUACCAAAAUAACUUAGCAUUAUUAACAAUACUUACUUCCUCAACUCUCCCCCCAACCAAGCUGAACAUUGUCCUCAAUGUGACAAAAGCGAUUGAAAAAUAGGGAGGAAGUGGUACCUCUUGAGUGACAUGGAGUCUGAGUUGUAUAGGAGAAACCACAUGUUUCAAAGAAAACAUAAGAGUUAGUGAGUAGAAGAAAUAGAAAAAUGCCAAGUUUAAACAAAAAUGAUGUCUAUGUAUGAUGUAUCAUCAGUAACACAUCCAAUUCCAAAAUAUAAGACAUCAAAACAUGGAAUUAUCUAUACUAAUAUAAUAUGUAAAGACAAAAAUAAAGAGAUGAUCAAGCAAUGGUAAGGUCCUGUGGAGCUGAUGCAUCUAUGGUGGCCUCUUGAGUGGGUUGGAUAAGGACUUUGACCUCUGUUCUGGUAGUCUCCUUAGGUGGCAUAGUCUCCUCAACUGGAGCUCUCAGUUGGUAGCUAUGGGAUUUGAUGGUUUAAGGAGGUAAGAAAUGGAGUGAGAGGCUUGGUGUGUGUGAUCCCAGGGUAUGCAGGGCUCUCCUUUUCAGAUGCAUGUUUGCAGGGCUCUAUUGGCAUUUUAGUAACUUCCCUUGGCUUUGCAAAGUGUUUUUGCAAAUCACCCUCCAUUUCACAAGUCAAUUUUGCAAUUUAAAGUCCAUUUUGAAGCUUGGAGGUGAUUUCACAGCCCUUUCGAAGCUUGGAGAUCAUUUCGCAGAAAAGUGGCAUGUUCACUGACCAUUUUUGAAGCUUGGAGCAUUUUCGCAGCCAUUCUGAAGCUUGGAGAUCAUUUUGCAGAAAAGUGGCAUUUUCGCAGACCAUUUUUGAAGCUUGGAGCAUUUUCGCAGCCAUUUCGAAGUUUGGAGAUCAUUUCACAGGCAAUGGGCAAUUCCGCAGCCCAUUUCUGAAGCUUGGAGCAUUUUCGCAGCGGGGGGUGGAUUUCACAGAGGAGGGGAAUUCUCGCAGCCCAUUUCGUAGCUUAAAAGUAAUUUCAUAGCUCAAAGGUGAUUUCGCAGCCAUAUCGCAGCUUCAAAAUGAGGGGAACUGUGCUGCAAAUGGCACUCGUGUGCCAAAAAGUGGUUUCGUAGCUGCGAAACACCCUUCCAAAUGGCGUCUCGGCUGCGAAAUUCCCGUUCAGCUUUGCGCGCUUGUCUUCAAAUGACCAUAACUUCUUUAUUUCAAAUCCAAAUCGAGUACCGUUUGAAGCUAUGGACUCCUGACUUCCCAAGAUUUGAAACGAGAUAUCAUAUGCAUAAUUUGAGCUCCAGGAAGUGCUUCAAAAAUGUGUCCAACAGUAGCAAAAUUGAGGUGCGACAUUUCCGCUCAUGGUUUGCACAGUCAUCUUCAAACAGCCAUAACUUUUCUGUUUCAAAUCCAAAUCGAGCACCAUUUGAAGAUAUGGACUCCUGACUUCCCAAGCUUUCCAACGAGAUAUUGCAUGCAUAAUUUGAACUUCGGGAAGUGAUCGAGAUGUGCCCAACAAUUGCCAAAAUGAGGGUGCGGCUGUGAAAUUGGGAUUUUUCAAUUUUGGGUUUCGCAGCCAUUUUCGCAGCUGCGAAAUGGCACUCGUGUGCCAAAACCAGCUUCGCAAUUGCGAAAUACCCUGCGGAAUGGGGCUUUGGCUGCCAAAAAAAAUGAAUUUUUUUUUUUUUUUUUUUUUUGGUUUCGCAGCCAUUUUCGCAGCUGCGAAAUGAGGGUUACUGUGCUGCGAAAUGGCACUCGUGUGCCAAAAGUUGGCUUCGCAGCUGCCAAACACCCUUCCAAAUGGAGCUUUCCCUACGAAAUGGAGGAUUUCAUGCUUUGGUGGUUCGCAGCCGCUUUCGCAGCUGCGAAAUGGGGGCUCCUGUGCUGCGAAGUGGCACUCAUAUGCCAAAAUUGGUUUUGCAGCUGCCAAAAUUUUCGCAAAGAGGGCUAUUGGGUUGCGAACUGGUUUCGCAGCAAAAUUUCGAUUUCGUAGAGGCUGCGAUAUCUCGCAGACCCCUGUUUUUCCCCUAUUUCUCCCCUGUUUUCGCUCCGUUUGACUCCGAUUUUGCUCCGAUUUUUUUCCUUCAAUUUCUUUGCAAUUCCUCUUGAUUUUGAUCAUCCAAAAACCUAUAUUACAUCAAAACAAACUAGAAUUAAAACAUUUAAAUCAAAAUUAAAGCAUUGAAAUCAAAAUUAAAACAAGUAAAAAAAAAACAAAACAAAAAGAUAUGGACUAGCUAGUCUUUAAAAAGACUAAGUCCAUCAAAAAAUUUGCUCCUGAUUUAGCUUGCCCGGAUCCCAUAUGAAGCUUGCAUCUCUCACUUGGGGCUUUCUCUGUAUGAUUUUCUCAUACAAAGCUUGGAGAAAAGUUAGAGGCACGUGUUUCAUCAUCAAUUCUUCCUUGAUGACUAUCCUCUGUGGUUCUUCAUCUAUAUAGUCAUCUUUCUCUGUACUUUUCCCCUUUUUCUUUCCUUUGAUUUCCUCCCUCUUUUCUUUCUCUGUUUCACUAUCUACCUUAUGCUCUAGCUUGCAUGUGGGCAGAUCAACCUCUUUACCACUCCUCAGAGUGAUCACUUCUUCAAUUUCCUUCACCAUUGAAGAUUCUCCCUCUUUAGUCUCCAUUUCAUGGAUACUCAUGGAAUUUUGAUAAGGUUGAGAAGGAGAGUUUUCUUUCUCUUGCAUUGUUUUGAGGUUGGCAAACCUUGAGAUUGAAUCUUGGAGAAUAUCUAACUUCUGAGCCAUAUCAUUUUGCAUUACAUCCAUCCUUUAUUCAAAGUACUCUCCAUUCUGUCAAUUCUUUGAUUGAUUUGAGCAUUGAUGGCUUCUUGCUUUCCAAUAAAAUCUCCCACGACCUUGCAAAGAUUCACCAUAGCUUGUUCAAGGAUUGAGGCUUGCUGUGGUGCUUGAGCAGGUUGCUGAUACUGAGGUGGCUGUGGUUUCCAAGAGAAAUUUGGAUGGUCCCUCCAAUUGGAAUUGUGGGUGUUGCAAUCACCAAACAUUUCCCUCUCGGAUGGAAUGGUAGGACACUCAUCCACCAAGUGCUCAUAUGAUCGACAAAUGGCACAAGGCAUAGCUUGCAAUGGUGUUUAAAAGAUGGUUUGCACUUCUUGCAUCUGGUUCAUUUCUAGCUCAUCCAAUCUCCUUUCCAUAGCUGCAAUCUCUGCCUUCAUGUCCAUGCCGUCAUUCAAAAUAUACAUCUCACCCUUAGCUUUAGGUUGAGACGUCAUUCUUCCCAUAUCUCUAGCAUUUGGUUCAUCCCAUCCUCUUGAAAAUUCAGCCACAUAACUCAUGAAGUUCAUGGCUUCCUCUGCUAUGUGGUUCAAUAUGGCAUGCACAACUAGCAAUUUGUGAUUUAAAAACAGAGAACACAAAAGAAAACAAAAGAAAAACAAUUCAAAGAAAGAAAAUUAAGGUAAACUAAAGACUAAAUAAAAGGUAUACUAAAAUAUGAACAACAAAGAAAUAAAAAGGGUUAGUGAAAGGAAAAGAAAAGUCACCAAACUUGUGAUGAAGAUCACAAGUACUCUAGAAAGGUGCAUUGUAAAGUGGCACCAUCCCCGGCAACAGCGCCAUUUGAUUCGUGCCCACUUGGUGUCUCAGCUGAUUCGUGUCCAGCUGGUGCUCCUUGAUUGAGGGAGUAAUCAACAAAAUUUAUAACCUAUUACACCAUGAACUAGGGUAGCAAAGACAAAGCUACUAUAGCAUAGUGGCUCUAGGAUCGUUCACUGGGAUGGGUUUUCACUUCACAAAUGAUAUCAAUUCAAAGCUGAAUUGGUGCCUUUUCAUUUCAAGGUUAGCUUUAAAAGAAAACAUAAAGAUGUUUAAAUGAAAAAGGUUUGGUUUUAAGCUAACAAAAAAUAGUAACUAAUUUUAACUACAAAGAAAAGUGUUUCUUGGAGUUCAGAUCACUAGGCUCGUUCCUCAUACAAAAUGGAGAGUUCCGGUCACUUGUUUAUUUUCCUCGCAUUAGAGAAUUAACAUAUAGUUAAUUCUCUAACCGGUGUUGUACAGAUGCUUCCCAUUAAUGGGUUCAAUCACUAAAUCCCUCUCACUGAUGCAUCUUACAAUGACUCAUACCUCUCACCUAGCACUUGCCAUUCAAGGUGAUCUUUAACCUUGGAUUACCCGUCAAAAGCUUGCAAGAGAUAACUAAUGGAUGUCUCCUUGGAGUCCAAAAGCUUACCAAGUGUUGGCUAUUCUAGAAAAUCCUACCUUCAAGUCACCUCCCAAAGGCUCGCAAGGGGUAAACUAGUGCAUUUCCAUGGUUGGAAAUCACUUGCCUUACCAAGUGUUGGCCCAGGUGAUUUAAAGGCGUUUUAAGUUAACUAAAAACAUAGAAAUCACUAACGGGUCACACUUUCUCUUCAUUAAAAACUAAAACAACAAAACUUCCAAAUUAUGCAUGUGGAAACUUACCCGGCUUUCCUCACUCCAAGAGACAAAAAGCUUAGCCUCUCAUCCUCUGUGGAAAAAUCCUCAAAGUUUGGUUGGCUAGAAAUAAAAAUAAAUGAAAAAUGAAAGAGAAGGAAAAACAGAGCAAGACUCUGUAUAUUCUAUAUAUGAUAUAUGAUUACAGUGGAUGCAAAGGAAUUUAUAUAGAGAUGUUUUUCCAACCUUCCUAACUAAGAAAUCUUAUGGUUCGUGGCUUACAAGGAGAAGAAUGGAAAUUUAUACAAAAAUAUCUGAAGAAAAAUAUCCAAAAGAGUCGGUGCAAAAAUAUCGGGAAGCUCCAGGAACAUUUCGCAGGUGAAAAUGGUGUCUGCGAGAUUUCGCAGACACUCAAGAGGGCUGCGAAAUAUUUUCGCAUCAACAAGUUAUUCUCGUAGGGCUGUGAAGUUGGCUUCCACCUUGAUGUUCUCAGCUUCCAGCUUGCGGCAUAUAUCGGGCAACUUCAGGAGGAAUUCCAUAGCACUGUACAAAAAGGCUGUGAAAUUCUCGCAACAAAAGGCUGAUUUCGCAACACUUUGGAGUGAUCUGCUUGCAAUGGCUGUAACUCCUUCGUUUCAACUCCGAAUCACGCACCGUUUGAAGCAUUGGAUUCUUGACUUCCUGAUCUUUGAAAUGGUAUAUAGAAUGUAGAAAAUGGACUUCGGUAAGUUCUCCAAAAGUGUGAAAGAAGACUGCAGCUAGCUUUCCUCUGUUUUCUUCACUCUGUUUUUCCUCUCUCCAGUGCUCUUUCCUUGCAUACUUUGAACGACUUUGGCAAAGGGCUAUGGAGCUCCAAAGCUUGGUUCUUCAUGAAUUUGAGCUCUUCAUUGCUUUGCCAUGGAUUCCAAAUAACUCUCCUCAAUCUUGGAUUGUUUUGGUGAUCAAAUUACUAACAAAAACACCAAAACUUACACAAUUUGAUUAGAAAUGAUUGCAAGGGUCCUUAACAAGUUAAUUGGGUUAAAAGGCAAUAACUACUACUCAAAAGUGUUUAAAAGGAUUAAUUACAAGCUAUCAAAUAGCACUUUUUGAGUAGUAAUCACCUAUAAUUAGUGGUCGUUCUACCAUCAUUGUUCAUAAAUCGUGGUUACAAGCACAUCAUUAUCUAUUAGAGAAUACAACUAUCGUCCAACCAUACACUGAGUAAGAAAAACAUACCUUUAUCUUUUUAUAAUUUCAUAACAUAAUGAUGAAAUCCUAAGUUUGCAUUCCUUGUCUUUAACGUCAUAGGGAACACAUGAAUUGGUUGAGGUCUCAAUACCCUCGACAAUCUAAUAGACAAAUUUGGUUGCAAGAAGAACAUAUGAGUUGUUUUACAUAUUGGCUUAAAGAAACGGUAAUCUCUUAGUUUUUAGAAAAAUUUUCAAUAUGUUGAAAACAUCACAAGUUUUCAAUAUGUUUUGAUUAUACAUAGGUUGAAGAGGCUAUCCAUAAUGGGCAAGAUAUUCCCGACACACUUAGGUGGUUAGCACAUGGCCCUACUCUCCAGGUAGUCAAAUAUCCUAGAUAUAUCGUUAAUGAGUGUCGUUACCAUAUUAAGAAACGCGAUAUGACAUGCAUCACCCAAAAUAGUGGUGUUAGCAUUUUAGCAAGGACUAUGCAAAUUGCCAAUUCUAAGGAUAAGAACCUAGUUUGUGGUGAACUUUGCUUUUAUGGGGUCAUUAAUGAGAUAUGAAAUCUUGAUUACAACAUGUUCACAAUUCUAAUUUUCAAGUGUGAUUAGGUUGACAACAAGAAUGGUAUAAAAGUUGAUGAACUUAGGUUCACAUUAGUUGACUUCUCCAAAAUAGGUCACAAAUUGGAUCCAUUUAUUUUAGCAUCACAAGCCAAGCAAAUCUUCUAUGUUGAAGAUCAACUUGAUCCUAAAUGGUCAAUAGUUCUCUCAAUUCCUCCAAAAGAUUUCAAGAACAUAGAAGGACUAGAUGACUUCACCAAUAAUUGCAUGGAACAUCACCCCUUUAUAAGUUCAAUGCCAGAAUUUGAAUCAUUUGAUGCUAUGGAUGAAUCAUAGGCAAUACACAUGAGAGAAAACUGUGAGGGCAUAUGGAUUGAAAAUAAUUAAAUAACAUAUUGUACCCUUGAAUGAGAUAUAAUAAGGCAUUUCACUUAUUAGUUUUCAUGAGUUGCACAUUAACUUAGCUUCUAUAUAUUGCUCAUGAUAUAUCUAUAUAUAUUAAUCAUCCUAAAUUUCUUUCAUGCAUCAUAAACAUAUGUUAUUCAAAGGUACCACUUCAAUCUUCAUUCAACUAUCUUUUUGUUGUCCAUAGAACUAGAUUUAUAUUAUUUUUUAUUAUCAUGUUUUGAUUUUAUGCUCACAUAACUUGAAACUCUCAUUCCUAAAUUUCUUUUUCAUUAAAACUAUAAAUCAUAAUUGAAACUAUGCACUAAUUUAUUUUAUUAUUAUCCUCACAAAUAAAUUCUUCAUUAUUGAUAAGAAAUCAAAAAACAAGACAAACUUUGAAAGAAAAUUUCAAAAAAUAUAUUUGUGAAUGACCAAUUUAAUUAUAGAAAAUAUAUGCAAGGCUAUACUAAUCUUGCUUUUGAGUCAUUUUACAGGUUUGUUGGUGAAGUACUAGUUUGCACAUUUACUUGAUAUCUUCCACACAAAUAUGGAUCUAGAAGAAGGGGAAAUGCCAAAAAUAAAGCAUAGAGGUAGUGCAUUGAAACCAAAGAUUGCAAAAAAUCGAAGUAAAGGGAUAAAGCUCAAGAUUGAAUACAAUAGCCUUGGUAGUCACAUUGAGGAAAAUUCAGUUAAACUAAGUAGUUAUCUUAGUACAAUAACUAGUACCCAUGUGCCAAUAAUUAUUGAGAGUUGGAGGAAAGUCCCUAAAGAGACUAAGGAGAAGUUGUGGGAUUUGAUCACGGUAAGCCUAUCUAUAGCUUUAAUAUAUAAUUAUUGUAUACAUUCAUUAACAUGAGCUAACAUGGGUUGCUAUUUUGUAGACAAGCUUUAAUGUGAAUAAAAAAUCCAAGAGGAAUUGUUUCAUACUAAUGGGCAUCAGGUUUCGAACCUUUAAGUAUAAGUUGACAAAGAAAUAUAUAUUGUCUUUCAAGAAUGACCAAAAAAGCUGAAAAAGUCACCUCCUAUUUGCCCAUUCAUACAAGAGGAUCAUUGGAGACAGUUUGUUAAAGAUAGACUUUUUGAACAUUUUAACGUUAAGCAUUAUUUUUAUUACAUCUUCAAUUUUCACAUUUACAUAGUUUCAUUAUGUACUAAUUUUGUGUCUAUAUUUUGUAGGAAUAUCGCAAAGUUCAAAAAUCAAGAAGAGAUAAACACAUUUACAAUCAUUAUCUUGGAAGAAAAUGAUAUGCACGUUUUGAGCAAGAUAUAGUAAGUUAUCAAUAUCCAUAAAAAAAAUGGAGUAUAUAUUUUGUUUAUAGGAAAAUGAUUCUAGUUUUUAAAUAUCAUUUAUUAACUUGAUCAUGUUGAACUAAUGAGUUUUAUUGUUAAAAAUUUUAUAGCUACAAGCAGAAGGGGCUAUUGGUAGGGUUGAUAGAAGUGUUUAUGAAAGAAAACACGUGAGAAGAAAGGAAAGUUUAAUAAGAUUACAAAGCUAAUGAUUAACUAAGUUAGCAUAUUUAUCUCUUUUAGAGCCUAUAAUGUUAGUAUGUCUAUGUGAUUAUGGUUUAGGAUGAUAUCGUUAGGUGUUAAUAGGGAAGAGGCUUAAUGCUAUCAUUUUUAUGAGUAGUCAUGUUCUAUUAGUGCAAAUAUAGUAGCCUAAUUUGAAAAUUAAUUUUGAAACAAUAUACAUUAAUUUAUCUAUUAUCAUUUUUAUUAAAACAAUUCAUUUUCUAGCUACCUUGAAUUGGUCCUCUUGAAUUGGUUGUCUUUGAUUGAUAUGUUAAUCAUCUUCAUCAAAUUAUUACUAAUAUAUGUUUUGUUGUAGGAUGAAUUACUAGAAAAGGCAAGGAGACUGGACUACCUCCACCUGGUCCAAAUGACAUAUUAUGUCAGGCAUUGGGUAAGCUUGAUCAUCUAGGACGUGUGGUAGGUCAAGACCACUUGGUUAGGCCGAACUCAUACUUUCAUCAACCAUUUGAUGACAUGAAAAAAAAUAAUCAAAGAAGAAAUAUGGGAAAUGGUGUGAAAGGGGAUGCAAAAUGCUGUAACAAGACAAACUAUGUCUCCUCCCACACCCCAUUCUGAUAUAGGUAGUAAUAACAUGAGACAACAACUUGUUUUACAACUAGUUGUAGCAAAAAAACCAAUGUUUAAAAUGAUGGAAGAGCCCUAACCACCAGAACCACCACUGAAACGUAAGGUAUACAUUUACUUACUAAUAAUACAAGAUUAAUAUAAGUGAUAUAUAGCCUAUGUAAAUGAUAUUAUUUGUUGUAUUAAAGGUGAUUAAAUAUAAAUUAGCAGUGGAAUGAAAAUGAAAUGUUGUUGCAACCAGUACAUUAAUAGAAGAAAAUUGAUCAAAUGGGUUGGUCGUAAUAAAUGUUGCACACAAGCUAGAUGCUAGACUCCCAUUUCCAAAUCCAUAUGAGAUUAUCAAUGUUGGGGAUUCUAUUGGCCUUAAGCUUGACUGGCCAACAAGCCUUGUCAUACUUGAAACUAAACAUCCUCGGGUAUGUCAUUUUAUACUUGUAGUAAAUUUGAUUGUAACUUGGUAUUUUAUUGUUUAGGAGUAUAUAUUACUAACAUUCCUUCAUUUUUCAUAAGUGUUGGAUAAAGGAAAGAAGUAGAUAGUGAAUGCACCAAUUAUUCGAAAAUCUAAGCCUCAAAAUUAUUCGGUCAUUAAAAAUUUUCAGAAAUUUAUGGAUGGUUGUCUUAGUAAUGAGAAGACAUACCCAAUACAACUCCCCAUUUCACUAUUUGGUGUCGAAUUCCGAACAUAUAUAUCUAGAGAGGAUUGUGAAUACAUUAUUUCAUCUUCAGAGGUGUCAUCAAAAUGCAUCUCCUUCCACUUAUGGUGUGCACCUUUUAUUUUCAUUUGUUUUUAUUUUUUUAAUAUGAGUUGCCCAUGUUGAACAAGAUUGGAUAUGACUAAUGAUAAUUUUCUUUUGGUGUUUUGAUAAUAUAAUAGGUACAUGCAUGAUCAACUACAUAUUGCCAAAAAGGAAUCACAAUUUAUAUUUGUUAAUCCUUUUACAAUAUCAUGAGCAGGCUUUAGUAAUCCUCAAACAGAGAAAAGAACACAAUUGUUGUCAAAACACUUAAUAGAGUGCCAAGAUGUCGGAUAUGUUUUCAUGCCCUACAACCCCGAGUAAGUGACGAAUAUUAUACUUUAAUUUGAGGUUUUAUGAUUGAUUUAUAUUUAUAAUUAGAUGCUACUUUUGUUUUUAAUGUUUUAGCUUUCAUUGGGUCUUGGUAGUGAUUGAGCCAAGGAAAAUGAUAGUCCACUAUCUUGACCCUAUGCAUCACAAACCAUGUGAGGACUUAAAGGAUAUCGUAAACAUGUAAGUUCUUCCUAUUAUUUUUCAUAGUAUUAUUUUAAAAAAAAUUACAUUCACCUCAAACACAUUUUUUAUUGUUAUUUCUAUAUAUUAAAACAUAUAAUAUUUACCUAUUUUAAAAUUGUACCCAUUGAACUUAUUUACAUAGGGCUCUUUAAAUAUAUGCAAAGAAAAUAUCUAAGAGAGAGCCAUCUUGGCAACUAGUGCAAGUAACAUCCAAAAAUUUUCUUUACACAUUUAGCUUAUGCAUUUGCACCAUUUAUAUAUAUGAGUACUAAUGUUAUUUUAUAACUGAUCGAUUAGUGUCCAAGACAAGAAGGAGGGUUCAAAUGUGACUACUUUGUUAUGAGAUUCAUUAAAGAGAUAAUUUUUUAUCCUACAAUGAUUGCUUCAAAGGUAUUACUUAUUUAAUGACUUGUACAUAUUUUUAGGCUUCCAAAUGUUAUGCAUUUUAAUGUUAUUUUCUUAUUUGAUUUCAGUUUGGUGAUAAAAAAAACAUAUUAUCAAGUAGAAUUCAAUGAAAUUAGAGGAGAAUUGACUACUUUUGUGCUACAACUAAUCAUGAAUCAUGUUGAUGCAUCAUGAUCACCAUGCAUGGUGAGUCCCUUAGCUACUACAUGAAUUUUUCCAUAGAUUAUAGUAUUGCUUUUCUUUGAACAAUGUUUUUAUUUGAAAAAAAGAAAAAAAAAAGUUCUUAGAUUUGUUCAUUUAUGAUAACAUCGAUCCAUAUUUAUUUUCUUCAAUNNNNNNNNNNNNNNNNNNNNNNNNNNNNNNNNNNNNNNNNNNNNNNNNNNNNNNNNNNNNNNNNNNNNNNNNNNNNNNNNNNNNNNNNNNNNNNNNNNNNGGUAUACACUCUUAGGAGGGUGGAAUAGAGAAUAAAAAGAACAAAGAAGGCAACAAGAUUUUGGGUUUUUAAAUGCAGCUCGUAUGUCAUACAUUGUAGGACAUAAACGUUACUUUAAUUGGUAGUGAGAAUUUUAGAUUUUUAGAUGCUACUUUUAUGUCAUUUUAUAGUUAGUCGGUUUUAUGCUUAUGAAAUGAAGGUAUACAUGAAUCUUGGGAUGCUUAACAUUACUAGAUCAUGUUUUGGUAUGUAUUCACUCUUCUUUUUUAGUUUUGGUGGGUUUGAUAUAUUGGAUGUACUAUCUUUUUGUGAACAUUUGAUAUACAAAUAUUAUUAGAUGAUCAAUGUAUUACGAGUUAUUCCAUAAACAUUACUGAAAAAUGAGUUAAAUGUAAUAUGAUUGUUAUAUUUAUGGACAAAAUAUACACAGGUUAAUCCUAUUUGUUAAUUCAUAAGCAUUACAAAAAUCUACAACUAAAAGCAAUCAUAUCUUCCAUGAUAAUUUACAAUGAUGUGACACCAUAACUCAAAGGUGAUGCAUUUAAUGUGACAUCAUAACUCAAAGAUCAUGCAUUUAAUGCGACAUCCUAUCAUCACUAGAAAUAUAUGAUGUCACUUUCGAAUGCGUUACCAUUUAUCUACUUUGGUGUCACUUACAAAUACGUCACCAAUUGGUACCCUCUAUGGUGUCAGUGGAGAAGGUGACACUAUGUUGUAGUGACACCCUAUGUUUAUGGUGACUCGUUAUAAAUGUCACCAUAUAUCUUUUUUCUUGUAGUGCAAAUUACUUAUCUUACUAUGCAUUGGGCUUUGAUAUUAGCCAGAGACAGUAGUGGCUCCUAAUUUUUAUCCUUAACUGAAAUGAAAACGUUAAGCAGGUCCCCAGCCUCUUUUUCGCCAUUCUUCCACUAUUCUACUAUUUGGUCCAUGAUUGGAUCAUGGUACUUGUUAAUGGUGUUCAUAGCCUCCCAUAUAGUCUUUUCAUGGCCAUCUAAAUUCAGCACUCUCUGCCAUGGGAAGUAAUCAGAUAAAGAGAAUACAUAUAGAUGAGCAAGUAUAGUAAAGAAGGAUUCAACAUGUUGCUCCACUUCAACUCUAGGGCCUCCAUCUUUCUUUCGUUCGCCAAAGUAUCUUGUGUUGAGGAUCAUCUUUCAGAUGACAUUCCCGUUGUAUUGACGGACUUUAUUUCUGUCACACCCCAAAUACUAGGCAACCCAGAACUUGACUCGUGGCCCUAGGUCAAAGGUUUGACCCUAAGAGUUACUCUUAUCCAUGUUGGCAAUCAAUCAAAACACCCUAGAUUUUUUUUCUUUUCAAUAAAGCGUUUAAUCCUAAAUAAAUUUAUUAAGCUAAGAUUUACUAUAACAUAUCAUUUUAUUUUUCCAAAACUAACCAUCACAUUAUCUCCUGUUCACAAGUAUUAAAAAAAUAAAAUUCCACCAAUCAUCUUCCUACCCAAAAGCUCAAAUAUUUACAAUAAUCUCUAAGUCAAAAAGAAUAUUUCCAAAAAUGUUUUACAAACUAAUAAAAUAUAAUUUAACUUAAAAAGGUCCAUAUAACUCAAAUUAGUAGAUGUCAAAAAGGUAAUUAAAAAAAAACAACAACCAUUAUUAUGGUUUUUUUGCUUUUUAGAACACUUCAUGAUCUUCUUAUGGUCCCUUAGAAACUAUAUCUGCAUCUAAAAAUUUUAGAAAAUAAAGGGAUGCACAUUUCCACGUUACUCUUUAGACCUAGACGAGUUAGAAAUUCUAGGUCAAUAAAACACAACCAUAUGCCAAAAUAUAAUAUUACAUUUACAUUAUACACACUAAAAGAAACCUCAACCAUACAAAUUUAAAUCAAUCAAAAUUAUCAUUUUCCUUAUUUAAUCAUAUGUUUAGCAUAUCAAUAAUUUUAAAUUUACAAAAUAAAUAAGUCACUUUAGUCUUGAAUAAUAUAUUCAAACAUACACUUGAUAAAUAAUACAAAUCAUUUUUCCAAAUGCAACCAUGAUACAAAUGCUUACACACAAUCGCGCAAUGCAAUAUCGUUCUCGGGCUUUCACCGAAGGAUAUGCAUUUAUACCCAAAUACACUCCCCAUUCGGAGUCUUCCUGGGAUAAACUUUUGAGUAUUUCACCCUAAGGAUCUCACUCCCUUCUUAACUCACCAUCUCUAGGGUCAUUCAAUUUCUUAUUUUUCUUUUCUUUUCAUUUUUGCCAUUUUUGGGGUCUUUUCAUUCUCAUUUCCAUUUCACACAACCAUUUCUUUAAUUUUUCUUUUUCUUCACACAAUCAUGAUGCAUAUGAAAUGCAAUUGAAUCAUAUUUUAACAUACAUAAUUUUCCAAGACAUAAUUUUAUUUACUCCCAUUAUGUUUCAUAAUUUCCAAUAAUCCACACAACGAUUUUUCUUCACUUUAAUCGUCACAAACAUAAAAGAAAAUUCACAAUUAAUUUGUAUAGCAUCAAAACAUAGUUUUAAACAUUGACCACAUAAAUUCUAUUUAUUCCCGACAUGCUUAAUAAUUUCCAAAUCCAAUAUAACCAUUUUUUUUCAAUUAAAUAAUCACACAUAUCCAAGAAAAUUCUCGCUAAUACAAAUAUCAACGAAAAUGUAAUUUAUGUCAUAAUUUAUUUGUCUCCAAUAAUUUCAAAAAUUUUGACACCCAUAUGACAAAUUUCCACAAUUAAGCCACCCCAACAUUUGGGAAAAAUUUUCCAAUAAUUCAAAUAUCAACAAAAACCCAAUUUAUAUCAUCAUUUUAUUUAUUUUUAAAAGCAUUAAUAAUUUUAAUAAUCAAUACAACACUUUUCCACAAUUAAGCCACCACAACAUUCUGGGAAAAUUUUCCAAUAAUUCAAAUAUUAACAAAACACAAUUAUACCUUAGUUUUUCUUAUCUCCAACAACAUCAAUAAUUCUUAGUACUCAAUACAACUAUUUUUAUUUUUUCAUAUUUAAUCUUCUCAAACAUUACCAAAAUUCCAAGAAAAAUCUAUAAAUCACGAAAUAAAAUUAUUCACAAUAAUAAUCACACUUCAAAUACUACAAAUAACAUCUAUUAUAUUUCAACAACACAAUAUAUAAAUUUUUUUGAAAGAAAAUAUUAAAUCAAAGUUUUAGGGUUAAAUCACCCUACCUUAAAUUUGAAAAUUUUAACCAUUAAAACUAAAACGGGACACCGUAGGAGUGUUCCUUGCAUUGAAUAGAAUAUCCUUCCAAAAUUUCAUGCGAAAUGGACGUCAUUUGGUAGGUCCACCAGCAUCCUAAAGCUGGCGACCCAUUUUUCCCACUCUUUGCUGAUGACUCCCCUACAUCUCUCACUCGAUUUCCUUUCUUCAUUUUCUUUUCUUCUUCUUCUUUUAAACUCCCACGCCAAUUUCACUUUAUAUAUAUAUAUAUAUAUAUAUAUAUAUUAUUAAAACAAAUCCUAAAAUACCACGCACAUCCAUUUCUCAAUAAAUUAAAACCAUUAUUCUUAAAUUCAUCUUCCGUAAUUAUGAAUUAUACCAAACUUAUGAUUUUCCAUUUCACGAAAAAUACCACCGUAUUCGUAAUUUAAUUUACUACAAGUCUACUCUUCAAAAAGUAUAAUUUGAUUAUAAUUACAUGAAACAUUGUUUUUUUACUCUAAAAUUCAUUUAAAACAUGAUAUAAUUAACUAUUAAAAAAAUUUAAUUCCAUAAAAUAUUAAAAACAUAAAAUAAUUUUUUGGCAAUCAAGAAGUUGAAAUUUGUAAUAACCUUUAACCUGUUAAUUUUACCUAUAUUUAUUUACCAACAAAAAUUUAAAUAAUAUUCUAAAAUUUAAUUCCAUAAAUUAAUUAGUCAUUCAAUUUAUAAAAAUCAAAUUCUCUACCCUUUGGUAUAACUUUUAUUUAAUUUACUUCAUUUUUCAAAUUAUUCAAUCGCAUCAAAAUUUCAAAAGUUAAAUUCACUAAAUUCACAUUUAAUUAAUUUAUCCUUUUGUAUUUUUUUUUUCUAAAUUCGCAUAUCAUAAUUUAAUCUUAAUUUAAUUUUGAUUCAAUUUUGUUUUAUGUUUUCUAAUUUUAUGAGGUUUAAUUUCAAUUAUAAAAAUUAAAUUCAAUUUCUUUUUAAUUAUCCAUUAUCACAAUUUGAUAUAAUAUAAUUUUUUAUCAAGUUUUUCUUACUACGAUUUUUCUUAUAAUUAUCCAAUGAUAAUUAAAUUAAUUCUCAUAACAUAUUUAAUAUUCAAAUUUUAAAAACUUAAUCUCAAUUAUUUGAUGGUUAAUUUUUUUCUCAAAAUCUAAAUUUAAUUUAUGAAAUUCUCACUUCUUACAUCUGACGUGGCAAAAUUUUCAAACUAUUGACUUUUGACCAACUUUUCCUAAAUUUAUCCUAAUUAAAUACUAACACAUGGAUUUUCACCACUCUUUUUGACCUUUUGACCCACAAAUUUAUGAAAGACUUUAUGCUUGGAGAAUCUACAAAAACCUGGGUAUUACAAUUUCUCAGGUUGAUAACUGUCGUGGUUACGAAGCCACCACUUGAAUCCUCAGUCGCCAUUGUAAUGGGCCUGGAUGCAAAUAGUACAUCAUGUUUCUUCAAAAGUUCUCUGCUAAUCUCUGGGAAAGUCGUAGGGACGAAAUGAAAUAUUUCCCAAUUGAAUACAUGCAAUUUUAGUGUUCAUUUCUUUCAUAAAGCCAAUGUAUCCACCAGAAAGUUGGCUUUUUGUUGAGUAAAUGAGGUAGAUAUUGCACUAGUGGCCAUGGAGCUAAUCCUGGAGGAAGUUGUAUCGGCUUGCUUUUGGUACUUGUUUUGGAAUUUAAUUUAGUGAAGAUGAGAAAGAUUGAUGUGAUGAAAAGCAAUAAGAGGAAGUUGAGAUGAGACAACACAUCGUCUGUGGUAGUAGAAGAAAACAAGGUUGAGUUACUGCUACUACUCUCUGCAACAAAACCAUUUACACGUCUUUUAUAGCAAAACCAUGUUUGUCCUAUCUUGGGUCUGGAUGCACAUUUUUAAUAUUGGGGAUCAUGCAACCAAAUGUCACACACAAAGAGAGAGAAAAAAAUACGUUUUUUAGAACUUGAAAAGGUAAAAUGGGACAAAAAAUAUUAUCCAUUCUUGAACUCUAAAAGUAAAGUUAUAAAAAGCUUAGGUGGUGUUUGUUUUUUUACUUAAUUCUAAAUAGAACCUUAAUGCUUAAUAGUGUUAAAUAUUAGGUUGUUUGUUUUUGUAGUAUUUUAUUUCUAUUAAGUAUUAAAAAGUAAAAAAACCAAUAUGUUAUUUUUUCUAUUAAGAAAAAGUUACAUAUUUUGACUUUUUCUAUUUAGUAAAAAGUUUAUAAUAAGUCAUGAAAAAGUAGAAAAACAAACAACUUAAAUUUUAAAACUAAAUUGCUUUCAGCAAAAAGCCAAAAAAACAAACACCACCUUAGUUUUUUUUUUUUUUUUUUUUUGUUAUGUAUGAUUACAUGAUUUCCCCCUUUUAAGAUUUUAUCUCAUAAAAUUUUUUUUCUAGAAGGUUCAAAUAAGUUUGAUGAAUAUUGUUUAUUUUAGUAAUUUUAAUUUUGUGGGGUACUUAAAACAUUAGAAGUUCACAAAAAGCAACAUUUAUCAGCUACCUAUCUAAAAAGCUUGGCCUAAUCAUUGAAAUCCAAAAUAUAAAGUGACAACACACUUUUUAAAGCAAUUUUCAAAAUAGUUUUCAAAAACACAUUUAUUUAUGAUAUUUUUAAAAUAAAAAUCUCAAAAAUAACUUGUUUAUAUAGCGUUUUAUUAGACAAAUACUUGAUCUUUAUAAGAUCACCCUAAUUAUAGAUUUAUGAACAUGUAACACAACAAUUAUCUAUAUAUAUACUUAGAAUUAUUAUAUUUUAAGUUUUUAACUACAUAGGACAUCGUGAGUUUUUCCACCAUUUAUCUUAUAAAAAGUUUAUUUAAAUAUGAUAAAGGAUAUAUUAUCUCAUUUCUUAUUAUAUCUGAUGCUAUAUAUAUAUAUAUAUAUGUAACAGAUCAAAUACAAUUUAAAGAUUUUAAUUAACCAUCUAUUAGCAACAAAGCAAUCUCUUAAUCUCAUUCAUAAUAUUAGGAUAAUUUAGUAUUUCCUUUUAUAAAACACUAGCAUAUAAAUCAACACAAAUCAUAUUAAGGGUGUAUUUGGUGUUGAUUUUAGGAAGCGUUUUUAGUAUUUCUAAUACUUGAAAGAUAAAAAUUUUCAAGUUUUAGAAAGAUCAAAAGCGCUUUUUAGAAUGACUAUCAAAUACAUGCUAAAUAUUACUUUUGGAUACUUAUAUUUUUAAAUAACUCUUAAAACUUUUAAGGCAAGUCUCUACUAUUUAUAUAAAUCCCCUAUUAUUUUUAAUUUUUAGAAACAAAAAAUAAAGAAUAGAAACUCCAUUUAAACAUCACCUUAUUAUUUCCUAUUAUAAAAUAACACAAAUCAAAUGAAUUAUUUAAAAAUAAAUAAAUAUAAAAUCAAAGUUGAAGAGAAAAAACUCUUGUGCAUUAAAAAAACAUCAAAAUAAAUAAAUAAAUAAAACAUCAUCAAAUAAAUGUAAAAAUAAAUUAAUGUUAUGGAAAAAUGAGAAUAGGCAACAAGAAAAUAAGAACACAGAUUUACAUGAAAAAUGCUAGACGGGAAAAACCAUGGAUAGAGGAGAAGAAAAUCCACUAUAUUAAAAAUUUGGUAUAAAAUGUGAGAGAAUCAAGCGACUAUUGUAUAGGCAUAAUCACUAUGACCCUAAAUCCUAUACAUCAUCGCAUAUGUAUGGUGUAUGCGAUAAUAUUUGUGAUAAUAAAAAUAUUGUCACAUAAAAUAACUAUGGGAUGUAAUAUUUGUAAUAAUAUUCUUUACAAAAAAAUAUUUUUUCUUUGCUUUAUUCACUUUGAUCACAACUUGAAAUAAGACAAUAAAAAUAUUUUCUUAAUUUUUGAAAAUUAAUUGAGGACUUAGAGCUACUUGUUACUGAGUGAAUUUGCUGAAUGGUGAAGAAUGCGUGUAUAGUAGUUUUGCAAUUUUUCAAACUUGUAGACAUAUUUUGUGAAGUCUUUUUCUCUUUGUAAAGCCCCAUUUUCUAUGUGAAGUUAUUUUUUCAAUAUUCUCUUUGGAAGGAAUUUACCAUUAGUUAUAUAGGUAAGAUUAAGGAAUUAAAUUUGGAAUUCUUAAGAUUUGAUUACUUAAUUCAAAGAAUUUGGUUCAAGGGAAAUUUGCCAACAAAAUAAUAUUUAAUUUUAAUUCUAUGAUGACUUUAAUUAUUUGAUAUAAUUUUAUUUUGAAAGACUUGAUGUGGGGGACUCAUCACUUAUUGAGUCCAAAUUUUGUUGCACCCAAAUUUUUAUGAGCUAAGAAACCAUAAUUUUAAAGACCAAUUCAGUGGUAAGUAAAUCUGCUAAAAUCUUCUAUGUACAAAUGACCUCACUUCAAGGUGCAACACAUACAUGUAUUAUUAUGUGUAUGGGAUGAGUCUUGAAGUUAGUCUUCAUUCUUCUUUGAUUUUUUUUUCUUCAAAUAAAUAAAUAAAACAUCAUCAAAUAAAUGUAAAAAUAAAAUAUGUAUCAGUUAAUUGGAGAGGAGAGCUUUAAGGGCAUUUCUUCUAUGAAAUUCUAUGCUCCACGUACCAUAAAUUUGUACUCAACCAACAAAAUUACAGAAUGGGUCCAUGCACAAACAAAAAUAACCCAAAUGUGAAUAUCUAAAAAUGUAUGAAGUUCACAAUAGAUAUUCAAGCCCAAAUUUAAAUUUCAAAUUAGUCCAACAGAUUUCAUUAAUCAAAAUGGGUCCAAAUUAGCAAAUAUAACCCAACAAAAAUAUCUCAUAUGUCAUAGGCCCUAAUUUAAAAUUUUCAAAUUAAUAGCCAAAAUAUAAGUUCAAUUAAUCAAACCCAAAACAUGAUAAAUUAAAAUAAAUCUCAUUAGGCCUAAACUUAAUAUCCCAUAAUUCAAGCCUAAUUUAAUAUAUAAACCUAAAUCCACAAUCAAAAUCAACCCAAUUUAUGCUAAUCCCGAUUUACAAUCAAAAUCAAACAUAAUUUAAUAAGUAAAUAACUAAAUAAAUUAAGCAAACUCAAAACACCCAAACCACUACAACAUAAAUCAAACAAUAAUAAAUAUAAUGACAACAAUAAUAAUAAUAAAUAAAAUAAAAUAAAAUAAAAUAAAAAUAAAAAAUUUAACUCACGUCGGAGCCAGUUUGAAUGUCUUAGGAAAGAAAGAAAAUGAGAGAAAAGUGAGAGAUGAUUGACAACUGACAGUGGCUCACUAGCGGCAACUGGUUAGUGGUCCUACCGAUGGUAGUGAGGAUUGAUUGGUUUUUGGGAAAAAAAAUAAAAUGAAGAAAAGAAAAUGAGAAGUAAUAAAAAAAAUGGAGAAAUGAGAGGAAGGUGGGAGAAGAAUGGAGAGAGAGAACGUAGAAAAUGAGUGAAAAGAAAUGAGGCUAGUUGGAGGAGAAAGUGGUAGUGUGUGAGCUAAAGUGAAGAAUAAUAGAAGAAGAAAAUGGAGAAGAAUGGGGAAAAAAAAAUCCGUCUCCCUAAAUGAAGAAAGGUGGGUAGCCUAAAGAAGAAGAAAAAAUAAAAUAAAAUAAAAUGGGGAGAAAAUGAGAGGGGGUCGGUGGUCUUGCGAAUGAGGUGGUAUGCGUUAGAGAGAGAGAGAGUGGGUGGGGUUGUUGGGGUUGUUGGGGAAGGUAUGAGAGAGAGAGGAGAGAGAAAAGAAAAAAAAGAAAGAAAAGAAAAAAGAUAAUAUAAAAUAAUAAUAAUAAUAAUAAAAUAAAAUAAUAUACAAAAUAAUAAAAACUAAUAAUUAAAUAGUGAGUGGGCAAAAAAUAUCAUAUGUAAUCAAGAUUUAAUUUUAAGAGUAAAAUUGGGUUAAAAAUUAAUGUAAAAUAAAAUUGGGAUAAAUUUUGGGGUAUACAAAUAUGCACCUCUUCAAUAGAGUCCACGAGUAAAGCAAGUGUAUAUGUGAGCAAAACAAAGUGGGCUCUACUGAAAAAUAAGAAAGACCACCAAAUUUGUCUUAAUAUGACAUGAACUCUCCCAAAUAAAAAAAAUAAAAAAUCUAAAACCCUACAAAAAUGGCCAAAAUGGAAACUCCUAAGGUGCCUCUAAAGUUAUACUAUGGAUCUAGACUCCCUUAGAAAAGCCUCCAAAAAUGGCCCAAAAAUCGGUGCCAAAAUCGAGUAGCAAUCAGACCACUAAGGAGCACAUGAACGAAUGCAUACAAAGGGAAAAAAACCAUACGUGUACCAUACGAUGACAAAAGGCAUAAGGUAUCCAACAAUAUGACUGAUUCACGUGUUACGAGCUUAAAGAACUUUGUCAUGCACCAUGGAGGAAGGGAAACUCUAGAAUAAUGUGAUGAGGAAGUUAUUAGCACAAUGUAACAGAGUGAGGAAAAAAGUGAUGAGUGCAAAGCUGUGAGGACAAAGUGCACAAUGCUAAUGAAUAUGAAAUGAAUAGCACUAGGCUAUAAUGCAAUGAAUAGCUCAGGGUUGUACCAUAAUGAACAAGUCAAGGAUGUGUAAAGAUGAGGAACAACUCAAGGUUGUAAUGCAAUGAACAACUUAGGGCUAUGAAUGCAAUGAACAGCUCAGCUCAAUGAAUGAAAUGAAUAGCUCAGGGCUGUGAAUGCAAUGAACAACUCGACGUUGUGGAUGUAAUGAACAACUCAUGGUCAUGGAUGCAAUGAACAGCUCAGGGCUAUAGAUGAACAACUCGGGGUUGUGGAUGUCAUGAACAACUCAAGAAUAGGGGCACUAUACACCCAAAAUGGGAGAUCACGGUCUACGAUUCCAAGUCAAACCACUAAAGGGUGACCAAAAUGAGGGUGAUCAACUCACUAAAAAAGAUGAUCAAAAUGUCUUAAGGGAGAGGAGAUGCCCCAGAUGAAACUUAAAGGAAAUGAGUAGUGCUAAUGAAACUAAAAAAAGAAAAAAUGUCACAACUGAAAUUGAAAAAAUAGCAAACUUAGAUUAAAGUGCAAUGAACAACUUUGGGCUGUUGCGAUGAGUAGUACCGUGUUGUAAUGAAAUGAAUAACUUUAAGAUAUGGGCAUUGUACGCCUAAAGAGGGAGAUAGUGGUUUACGACUCCAAGUCAAACCACUAAAGGACGACUAAAAUAAGAUGAUCAACUUACUAUAAAUGAUAAUGCAACUAUCUCGAGAAAAAGGGUAUGCCCCAAAUGACACUCAACAGUAAAAGAAUGACACAAAUGAAACUAAAACAAGAGGAUGCCACAAAUGAAACUGAAAUGAUAACAGACUCAGUACUAAUGUGUAAUGAACAACUUUGGACUAUGGAUGCAAUGACUAGCACUGGGUUGUAAUGAAAUGAACAACUCUAAGAUGUGGGCACUAUACCCCUAAGAAAUGAGAUCAUAGUUUACGACUCUAAGUCAAACCGCUAAAGGGCGACUAGAAUAGGAUAAUCAACUCACUAAAAAUGAGGAUGCAACUAUCUCGAGAAAGGGGGUAUGCCCUAAAUGACACUCAAUAGUAUAAGAAUGACAUAAAUGAAACUAAAAUAAGAGGAUGCCACAAAUAAAACUAAAAUGAUAACAAACUCAAAACUAAUGUGCAAUGAAUAACUCUAGGUUGUGGAUGCAAUGAACAACAUUGGGCUGUAAUGAAAUGAACAACUCUAAGAUGUGGGCACUAUACGCCUAAAGAGGGAAAUCACGGUCUACGACUCCAAGUCAAACCACUAAAGGGCGACUAGAAUAGGAUGAUCAACUCACUAAGAAUGAGAAUGCAACUAUCUUGAGAAAAGCGGGAUGCCCUAAAUGACACUCAAUAGUUAAAGGAUGACACAAAUGAAACUAAAACGAAAUGAUACUACAAAUGAAACUGAAAUGAUAAUAAAUUGAUAACUAAAGUGCAAUGAACAACUCUAGGCCGUGGAUGCAAUGGACAGCUCAAGAAUAGGGGAACUGUUCGCCCAAAAUGGGAGAUCGUGGUAUGCGACUCUAAGUCAAACCACUAAAGGGUGGCUAAAAUCAAAAUGAUCAACUCACUAAAAAUGAGGAUCUGAACAUCUCAAGAAAGGGGUUAUGCCCCAAAUGAAACUGACAAUAGAGGGAUGCCUUAAACAGACUGAAGAAAGAAGGAUGCCCUAAACAAAUUAACGAAAAAUGGAUGCCCUAAACAAACUGACGGAAGUGAAAUGCCCUAAAUAAACUGACCAAAGAAGAAUGCACUAAACAAACUCUGAGAAAAAAAAAAAAAGAAGUAUGCAAUAUAGAAUCAAAAACACCUAAAGCAAAAACAAGAAACAAAGAAUGUGGUUUACAACUAGAAACACCCAAAAGAACCUUAAAGAAGUAACUGGGAUAAUGAACUUAAUGAAAAUGGGGUAUGCCACAGUAAAAGACUCGGAAGUAUCAGCAAAUGGGUCAAACGACCAUGAAAUCAAUAGGAGAUAUGAUGAACCCAAAAAGGGCAUAUGCCCCAACAAAAGAACACUAAAAGGGGGGUAUGCCCCGAUAUGACGACUCACAAUAAUUAAGAAAUGGAUCGAGUAAUGAGAAAAUCUGCAAAAUAUCCUAUGAACUCAAAGAUGGGGGUAUGCCCCAGUGUAAAAUAGUGACCAACAUAAGACACAGAAUGUCACCAUACAAUACACUCUGGGAUAUGCUCAAUGUCAAUGUAAUGAAAACAAUAGCCUCAAUCAACAAAUGUUCAAGCAAGACCAUGCAUCACAUAAACUAAAAUAAUAGGCUAAACAAAUGCUAACCAAGUCUCUCAAUCUGAAAUGUAAGCAAGUCAAGACAUGACAUGCCAACCAUCGACAUGAAAACAUCAUCACAAAUACAUCAACAAACUAAUAGUCCCUACUAUCAUGGAAGAUGUAGAACCUAACGUCCAAAGGCAUGUGAAAACUCAACCAGAAAGCUCAAGACUAGUUUGCAUCCUCCUCUAAUAAAAAGAAUGAGAUAAGGUCAUGUAGGAUGAUGAAAUAGGCAAGCUCAAUAUUCGUUAGGCUCUACCAAGAUGGAUGUAGGUAUAAUAGUGUCAAAGGUAGGAUGUCUAGAUUUCCAACGAAGGAAACUGGGUAUCCAAGUCAAACCAAGUAUGUUGAGGAAACUGAACCCAUAGGACAAUAACUUUAUGAUCCAUUGAAAAUAGCAAUCAUGAAUAGAAGGUCGAGUCUCGAUGUCAAAAUCAACAAGGUGGCAUUGCCCCAGUAUGAAUACAUCUUCUCAAAAUGGGUAAACCUUUAGUGCAAGAUAAUCUCUAGAAAGUGUGUGUCUAGUAUAAACUGUCAUCUCACAAAAUUUAUCACUGAUGAGUGGGCUAUACCCCAGUGUAAGCAUUUCCAAAUCAAACAUCGAUGAGAGGAGUACAACCAAUCAUACAUAAUAUGAUCAAAACAAAUCUCCACUCCUCAAAGUCAUCAUGGUAACGUGAAAAGAGUAUCUAACCUCAUUUAAAGAAAGAUCAUGUCCCAAUGUGAAAAAUAUCAAGCAAAGUGGUAUGUCUCAACAAAAAUGCACUCUAACAUGAUCAUGCCUAGAUGUAAGCUGGUAUCUUUAAGAUCAAUCACCAAUGAAAGGGUUAUGCCCCAGUAUAGGGCAAUCUCUUAAAUGACUAAAAUCCGCUACAAGCUCUCACAAGUGUCUAUGUCAUGAACCAAUCAUCUCAAAAAAUAAAUAAAUAAAUAAAUCUAUCAACAAUGAUGAGAAGGUUAUGCUCCUAUAAUCACACCAAGAAAAUCACCCGGUCAUAUCUUGUACUCCAAUGUGAAAGGAAAAUAUGAUCACCUCCAAAGAAUGGCUAUGCCCCAAAAUACAUCAUCGAUUGAGAAAUAUGCCCCUACGUAAAGUACAUCAACUGAAAUAUGCCAAUCAUGCCUCAUGCUCCAAUGUGAAAAAUGACGUAUAAUCUUCUUUGAGGGAUGGUCAUGACUCAAAUCCAUCAUCAGUUGAGAGAAGUAUGCCCCGACAUAAUGGUCAUCUAAAAAAUCAAUCCCCGACUAAGAAAUAUGUGCCUUGAUGUGAUGUAUCAAGCAAAAUGGCUGCAUACCCCAUAAAAAACUCUCUAAGGUGGCUAUGCUCCAAUGUUGGAUCAUACCACAACUCCUGGUCUAUCACAAUCAAAAUGCUGUCCAACCAAUCCCAAGUAUCGCCCACAUGAGAGCUAUCAAACACAAUGUGUGAUGUCAUGGCCUCAAGGUGGUCUUAAGAUUCGGAACGUAACGUAGGCUAGGGUAAUAAGGUAAAGAAAUGAAGGAAAACUAGGCUUAAUAAUCCUAAUGAUAAAACCCCAUACCUUAUGUAUAAAAUGCAAUAUGUGCAAAGAGUCUCAUAAACCAUGGAUCUAAGGACACCCAAUAUGAAUAUAUCAGUGAGGAAGAAAGAAUCUAAGAUGAAUAUAUCAAUGAUAACAGAGAAGAAAUGAAGAAUAUUAAACUGUUGAUGGGAUGUAUAAGAAUGAUGUAUGGAAAAUAUUGAACAUGGAAUGUAAAUUGAUAUGAACAAAGAACAAUGUAGGCAAGGCAAAUGUGAUAUCAUGAUAAGAACAAAUAAAUCGAAGAAAAAUGAAUGAACACUAAUCCACUCAAAUCAAGUCAUGGAGAAUAGUCAAAUCACCAACGUAUGUAAUGAUGGAGAAGACAAUGAUUCAAAGUCCCUAGGAAAAUGUCACUUGUUUGUCACACAUAAAAUACAUAACGAGAUAGACACAAAAAUAUGAGAGUCUUUUGAAAGUUCACAUACGAACUUUCAUAAGCAACUAACUCAAUAAAGCAACCUCAAUGACCAAUAUAUACACUCAAUAAAGGAUGACACUGUAUACAUGUGUUUAUUACUUUUUCUUUUCAUUUUGUUUUUCAUUUUUUUCAUUUUUGUUUUCAUUUUUUUUCUUUUACUCGCGCAUACUCUGAAUAUCAAUAAAUGAACUUCUCUGAGAAUACAUAAUGAAAUGGAUAUACUCUCAAACAAUGAUGUCAGCGAACUCUCUCUGACAAGAUGACCCUCUAAAUUAAGGAUUUUCGAACUAACGUCCAUGAGAUAGGAGUGGAAGGGGAUAUGACCAUCCUUCCUGCACCGAAAUGUGAAAAAUCAUCACUCAGGGCACAAAAAAAUGUGAUGAAAAAAAAUAAAAAAAUGAAACAAAAGAUAUAAACAAUGAAGUAUGAUGAAGACUGAUGUUGGGAAGACAAAAAAAAUUGUGAAGAAGGUGAGCCAAUAAGUCCUCAACUCAUGAAACUCUCGAAUAAAAUAUAUAUACACCAAAAAACCCUUAUCCCGGUGUAAAAUGUGAGCAAGGAUAUAAGAAAGAAAAAACUAUGGUGCUCAUGUGAGGUUCAAAGGGCUAGCAACGGUCCAAAUGUCAAUAAAGGUAAUAGGGUGUGAGCUAACCAAAAUGAAGGCCACCUAUGAUGGUCUGAAACAUCAUGCUCUUAAGCUUUCAAUGAUCAAUACUGAAAAUCGAUGUCAACCCUUUGGAAUUGUGCGCCAAACCAUACUCCAAAUGCUCCAUAAUAAUCUCAAAGAUAAUCCUCUCAAAGCAAAGUAAAUAGCGAUCUCAUAAGGCACAACUACUCAUCACAAGCCAACUCUCAUCAUGCAAGAUCAAUCUCUAUUUUCAUGGAAAAAUAAGUGACAAUCUCAUCAGGCAAUCGACGAAUCCUCACAUCGUAAACCAACCAAAGAUCAUAAGUCAUUCAUUGCCAUGCAAGAUCAAUCCCAGGCUCAAACUCCUCAUACUCUACCUGGUUGGAUUAGAGAAGAAAUGGGCAAAGCUAGAAAAACUGAAGAUGGAAAGGUCAUAUAAUGGUGUCAAGGGUGAUGUUGUGCAAAACUCACAAUGAAUGGAUGUAGGUCAAAGAAAAGUCAAUGUGUGAGAGUGAGUAAGGCACUACUCUGAUCAUAAGAAGAUGGGUCACAAUCUCAAACUCCUAAGGUCAAAUCUUCGAUCCUAGGCUAAUAAGCUCAACAUCCUCCAUGAUAGGUCAACCCCCAAGAUCACAAUGUGCAAAUGAAUAGAUGCCUCAAGUCAAAAGUACAACACAUCAUAUGAUAUAUGGUCCUACGAUGACAAUCUAAAACUGGAAAUAUGUUAGAAACUCUAAGGUCAUAAAGGUGUCCACUGUGAGAUGACUACAAAUGUGACUAAGGAAUCUUUAUCAAUAAUCCAAAAAAUGAAUGAGGUGUGAAAAACAACACUAUCAUGAGAUCGAUACCCCAUCAAUAACAAAAUAUCUCUAAUUCACUUUCAAUCUAAGCUCUAUAAAGAAAAACGAUAAGGUUAUAAAGGCAAACCUCUCAAAAAUGGUGUGAAUGUGAAAACAUGUCUUCACCUUUCUAUAAUGAAAAUAUCAUGUUGAAAAUAGAAAUAGGCAAAUCAACCAAAGAAUGAAGCACGGAGCCCAUGACAAGUGAAGAAUGUAAAAAGGUGAACAUGAUCAAUGAACAUAUCCCAAAACAUUAAGCAUAAAGUGACAACAAACCGAAAGAAUGUGUCAAUUUAAGAAAAGAAGACUAUCUGAAGCCCUAGGGAGAAAGUGUGCUAGACUCAACGAGCGACAAGAAGAAACUAAAACCAUAUAGCAAGGGGUGGUCCAACUGAUACUCAAACUCGUACCAAUAUCUAAGCACUCUCGACUGGAGACCAAAAGAUGGAGUAUUGGAUCCAUAUUGUGACUAAAGUGGCCUCGAAGGCUCUCAGAUGCACCCACGUGUAGGAAAGGAAAUCCUAAUGAAAAUAUCUAAGGCUUAACCUACAAGGUCAAGGCGGCUCUCAAAAGAAAAUUUGAGUAGACUUUAAAGGAUCCCUAGCAAAAGCGAUCAUACCCUCCGAUGGUACACAACCUCCUACACGUCUUGAAAUAUACGGGAGUGAUUCCAUGCAAGGUGGUCAUCACCUCCACACAUGCACUAUCUCGUAUCCUAGAGGGUUUCCUAAUGAUGAAGACUCUUACAUCUCUCAACACUUAGUGGUAAUCUAAGGUGCACAGUGAACGGUGUGGGUUCAUCCAAAAAUCCUAUCAAGCUAAGCAAAGAGAAAAAACAUUGGUCACACAAAUAUCCUGAAAUCUAGCUCUAACCUAUACAAGUCUUCAAAGAUUAGACUCCAAUUAGCAUUAAUGUUUCGACCUUCUCUAGAAUGCUCCCAAACAUAGAUAUAGUCCAUCACUAAACCCUACUCCGAAUCACUAGCUCGGUCAAAGAGCAAACAAAGUAAUAAGUCUCAUAUCAAAUACGAGAUCAAGGGGAACAUGGUCACCCGAGACUAGGGAAUUGAAGGUAAGGGGAUAGAUGUGUGUCCCGCAUAGAAAAGCAACAUGCAUCACACAGAAGAAGAAUAGUCAUGCAAUAGACAACCAAGCAAAGAACAGGUAUAUCAUUCAUAUCUACACACAAGCUAAACAAGAAAUAGGUAUUUAACAAGAAUAAACAAUAUGUUGAGAUAAACAAGAUAAUAUACGAUAAAGAGAAUCAAUCACACCAAUAUGAAUGAGAUAUACAAAAAUGAGAAUAUACAUGUCAAGGAGAGCAAGAUAAUCAUACAACAAGAAGAGUCUUAUGUUAAAGCAAGCAAGAGAAUCAAUCGAUGUAGUCAACAUGUCAAUAUCUCAAAUGAACAUAACAACCAAAUAUGCAUCAUAAAGAAAAAAUGGUAAUCAUGCAGCACACAGUCAUACAAAACAAAUACAGACAAACAUAAGCAAAUAAAUGUAAACACACAUGAUAACAAAAAUCAAUGUAUAGUAAGGCACAUGCAAUAUAUACAUAAAAUAAUCAUCAAGUCAACACUCAUAUACCUUAAAACAUGAAAAUAUACAAUAAAGACACAACGAGAGGGUAUUCACUGAUCGAUUAAUCAAACGCUACAUUUCCCUUAACUCGAGUUCAAGUUUGAUCCUUUAAAUAUCCCUAGUGAAGUCGCUAUUUUGUGGACCCACAUUUUUCAAAUACGUCCUUACACAACAGCGAGACUCAUUUUUUUUAUUUGGUGAAAAUUUGAUUUUUAGAAAAAAGACUUUGAGUCGUCACUUAUUUUUGUUUUUUUUUAAGGGAAAACAAAACAAGAAAGAAAACCUUGUGUGACUCCUUAUUUGGGAAAGACAUGUAUGCAAAAACCAAAUCUGGAUUCGGGGGUUAAGUUCCCUAUUGAGAAUGUACGAUGGUGAGCUGUAGCACCUCUCUAAGCUCAUAUACGUAUGGUCUCUACUAAACGAAUUAAGAGAAUUGUAGUAAUUAAUUAAUUAGUCAAGGAUACCAAGAAAAAGAAUCGCACAAAUGAGUACGUACAAAUCAUGAUAAAAAAAAUCAAAUUAUAAGAAUAGACAAAAUAAAUAACAAGAGAAUUGUGCAAAGUGAUUUAUUAAACUAAAUAAAAAAGAAGAUAUUAAAAAAAUUAGUUUUCAAGAAAUUUCAACGGAUUUUAUUAAAAUGAUUUUGAAUUAAUGAUUUUUAUUUAUUUAUUUACAAAAAAAGUGUCAAUUUAUUUUCUUCAAGUGAUUUGAUUCAAUUUCAUUUGUAUUCAAUUUUUUUUUUUUAAAAGUUAUUUACACUCAUGGUUGUUAAAAGAAUUAUUCACAAAAUUUCAAGUUGACAAUAAAAAUGAUUUUUACUUGCUUUUACUCAAAAACAAUGAAUUUUUACAAUUUUAUUAACAAAAGCAUUUCAAUUUAAGAAAAGUGACUUAAACAAAUUAUUAAAAAAAAUAUAACUUUAUCUGCAAAAGAAUUUUUAAUUAAAAAGAAAAAAUUUAAGUCAUCUAUUUCUAAAAAUGACUUUUAAUCCCAUUUUAAUUAAGGAAAAUUGAGUUAUCUAAAAAAACAUUUUUUGGACAAUUUGAAUAAAAAUUAAUUUUUGGGACAACUUUAUUUACAAAACAAUUUUUGGACAAUUAUUAUUAAAAACAAAAUUUCAAAUUCGAUUAAAAACAAUUUUUUGGAUUUUUCCAAACACAUUUUUAUGAAUUUUUAUUAAUAAAAAACUUUUUUUUAUUAAGAAGAAUAUUUUUUGAGCUAUUAUUUUAUUAAAACAUGUUUAUUGAAUUAUUCUUCUUCUUCAAACAAAAUUUUUAAUUUGUUCGAUAUCCAAUUCUGUACACAACAAGUAAAUAUAUACAAACAAAUAUUUAUAGAAACCAAUAAAAAUAAAACCAAAUAGAAGUGAGAAAUAAAACAUGUACUUAAACAAGCUUACAACAAGCUCAAUGUCUUCUUACGACUUUUCGAGUUUCACUUUCUUUCAUUAAAUUUUAUGCUCCACGUACCAUAAAUCCGUACUCAACCAAAAAAAUUGCAGAAUUGGCCCAUGCAAAAACAAAAAUAACACAAAUGUAUAAAGUUCACAAUAGAUAUUCAAACCCAAAUUCAAAUUUCAAAUUAGUCCAACAAAUUUCGUCAAUCAAAAUAGGUCUAAAUUAGCAAAUAUAGCCCAACAAAAAUAUCUCACAUGUCAUAGGCCUUAAUAUAAAAUUUCCAAAUUGAUAACCAAAAUAUAAGUUCAAUUAAUCAAACCCAAAACAUGAUACAUUAAAAUAAAUCUCAUUAGGCCUAAACUUAAUAUCUCAUAAUUCAAGCCUAAUUUAAAUAUAAACCUAAAUCCACAAUCAAAAUCAACUCACUUUAUGCUAAUCCCAAUUUACAAUCAAAAUCAAACAUAAUUUAAUAAGUAAAUAACUAAAUAAAUUAAGCAAACUCAAAACUCUCAAACCACUAUUGCAUAAUAUCAAACAAUAAUAAAUAUAAUGACAACAAUAUUAAUAAUAAAAUAAAAUAAAAAAAUUUAACUCACGUUGGAGCCAGUUUGAGUGUCGUGGGAAAGAAAGAAAAUGAGAGAAAAGUGGGAGAUGAUCGUUAGCUGGUAGUGGCUCGCCGACAGCGACUGGUCGAUAGUCCUACUGGCGGUAGUGAGGAUUGAUGAGUUUUUGGGAAAGGAAAAAAAAAAAAAAGAGGAGUAAUAAAAAAAAAAUGGAAAAAUGAGAGGAAGGUGGGAUAAGAGGGGAGAGAGAGAAUGAAGAAAAUAGGGGAAAAGAAAUGAGGCCGGCUGGAGGAGGAAGUGGUAGUGUGUGUGAGCUAAAGUGAAGAAGAAUGAAAGAAGAAGAAGGAGAAAAAUGGGAAAGAAGGGGAAAAAAAUUCGAGCCCUCUAAAUGAAGAAAGGUGAGUAGCUUAAAGAAGAAAAAAAAAUAAAAUAAAAAAAGAAAAAAUGAGGAGAAAAUGAGAGGGCCAGUAGUCUUGGGAAUGGGGUGGUAUAAGUGAGAGAGAGUGGGCGAGGUUGUUGGGGAAGGUAUGGGAGAGAGAGGAGAGAUAAAAGAAAGAGAAAAAAAAACAUAAUAAUAAUAAUAAUAAUCAUAAAUAAUAUAUAAAUUAAUAAAAAUUAAUAUUUAAAUGAUGAGUGUGUCAAAAAUAUUAUAUGUAAUUGGGAUUUAAUUUUAAGAGUAAAAUUGGACUAAAACUUAAUGUAAAAAUAAAAUUUGAACAAAUUUUAGAAUCUACAAAUACAUUCUUUAAUCUUUCCACAACAUCAAUCUGAUCUAAAUGAAAUGCAAUAAAUUCUAAAAAUGAUACAAUCUUUAAUCAAUCCACAACAUCAACCCGAUCAAAACUCAAUGCAAUAUUGCUUAAUGGAGAGAAUCGUAAAAUCCUUUUAUGAGAGGAAAACAAAACCCUUAACAGACCUUUAUGAGAGGAAAAUAGGAAAACAUAGAACUAAAAACCCUUAACGUAUUCAUGAGAAUAAAAAAAUCCUUAACACCUUAAUAAGAGGAAAACAAAGAAUUUGAACAAUCCUUAAUCCAUCAAAAGCUCUUAAUAUGAACGAGGGGAAAACAUAACCUUUAUUUUUCAUAUCGUUGAAUACAGAAUCUAAAGAGAUAGAAUUUUUAGUUAUUAAGGAUUUUUUAUAGAUGUCUAUUGAAAGUUCAAGAACUUUUAUGGAUAAGUGUUAAUUAAGAGACUGAAAGGGUACUUAGGAUUUUCAACUAAAAAAGUUAUAACAAUAUGAAUCGUAAGAACUUAAAAACAUCACCCAUCCAUAAGAGGAAUAUGGAAUGAGAGGUUAUAUUUUUACUUAUACAACAAUAAACUUUUUUGGAAGAGGUUUUUCUAAGUACAAAAAGUUAUGAAUAAAAAACCAUUGUUACGAUGAGUUAACUAAAAUAGAAUUAAUUUAGAAAAUAUCAAUAAAGUUGCAUGAAUUAUUAUCAUGAGUUAACUUAAUAAGAAUAAAUAGUAAUAAAGUUAAUGAGGUGAAUUUGGAUUGGCAGAUAUAUUUGAUGAUAAGAUUUUUUUAAUAAUAAAAAAUUAUUAUGGCAGGAAAAAUAGGACAAAAUUGACCUUAUGAUAAGAUUUUUUUAAUAAUAAAAACAUUAUUAUGGUAUGAAAAAAAGGGACAAAAUUGGCCUUNNNNNNNNNNNNNNNNNNNNNNNNNNNNNNNNNNNNNNNNNNNNNNNNNNNNNNNNNNNNNNNNNNNNNNNNNNNNNNNNNNNNNNNNNNNNNNNNNNNNUUUUCUAAGUACAAAAAGAGUUAUGAAAUAAAAACCCCAUUUGUUACGAUGAGUAACUAAAAAUAGAAUUAAUUUAGAAAAAUAUCAUAAAGUUGCAUGAAUUAUUAUCAUGAGUAACUUAAUAAGAAUAAAUAGUAAUAAAGUUAAUGAGGUGAAUUUGGAUUGGCAGAUAUAUUUGAUGAUAAGAUUUUUUUAAUAAUAAAAAAUUAUUAUGGCAGGAAAAAUAGGACAAAAUUGACCUUAUGAUAAGAUUUUUUUAAUAAUAAAAACAUUAUUAUGGUAUGAAAAAAAGGGACAAAAUUGGCCUUUCCUUAAUUGUACCGGUUAAUGGAAUAAUGGGACAUGCGGUGGUUACAAGCCACCCCAAAAGGUAGGAAGAAUCUCCAACCCCCAUUCUCGGCUCCCUUAUCUUUUCCCUUACAACCAAAAAUCAACAACUAUCUUAGAAUGUCCUUCAGUCCAUCAAAAUUCAACAACAACAAUUAUACAUUACAAUAAUGAAAACAAAAUUGAUUGAUCACCAGCUAACAUUAGGAGAUUAUAAGAUAAGGAUGUAAUUGCAAUUAUUGAAAUCACUUAAAGAGUAAAAGUUAGGAACAUGCUCACAAUAAAUAAAAUCACCUUAGAAUUAAAAAUUAGGGACAUGAUUAUGAUGAUUAAAAUCACUCGAGAACUAAAAUGUUUUAGAGAUACAAUAAUUGAAAUCAACUGAAAAAUAAAUUCGGGAUGUGAUCGCAAUUAAUGUAUAUAUAAACAACCAAAUGUUGAAAGGAAAAACUAAUGAAAUUAAUAUGAUUUUCUUUUAGAUUUCUCUUGACACCAAACAAAUGUAAGGAAGUUUAUAAAGGAAAAUUAGGUUUUGAUUCACUAAAUUAAAAUAAUAUAGAAAAAAGAUCUUCAAAUUUUAUAUACCAGUUUUAUUUUUAUUUAUUUAAAAAUAUUUUAAAAUACAUAUAUUUUUUCAUAACUCAAAUAGUCAUUCCUCAAAUGCUAGUUUUACUUGUUAUGUUAAUAACACUAGUUAAUAAUUUUUUAUUGUGAGAACGAUUUAAGAUUAAUAAAAUAAGAAAUUUUUAAAACUAAAAAGACAUUUAAAACUUUAAAAUUAAAAAUAUAAAAAUAAAACAAUAAUUUUUCAUUUAGUAAAACACGCCAGUAGAAAAUAUAGAUAUAGAGAAAGAGUUGGAAAUAAAAUAAGAGUUAAUAUUUUAUUUUUAAAAUUUUAUGUUUUUUAUUUUAAUUGUAUUUAAUUUUAUGUAUUUUAGUUGUAAUUAUAUUUUUAAUUUUUAAUUUUUUUUUAUUUUAUUGUUGAUGUAAACUAAUAAAUUUUUUGUUCAAUUAUAUAUAUAUAUAUAUAUAUAUAUAUAUAUAUAUAUAUAUAUAUAUAUUUUAAAAUUAGUGAGUAAAAACCCACUUUUUCUAAUUUAUAAUAUAUUUAUGGGAUUUUAUAAUAUAAGCAAUUUUUUUUUUUUUGAGAAAGAGGAAAAAUCAACUUUUCAAUUUCCCUUAAUAAUUAUUAUUAUUAUUAUCCAAUUUGGCUGAUUAUGAGAUUAGUUCGUAUCAUUACUAUAUCCAUUUGUUCUUAACCCUUCAUUAGAAUAGUAUUAGGAGUUGAACGUCAGUUGGAAUACAGGCUUAUGGAAACAAAUCUAUCCGAUUAGUAGGUUCUUAUUAUUUUCAAUAUAGCCCCAUAAAAUAAAUAGGAGAUGGGCAGCCCGUCCCUUUUGUCUGGAGGCCAUCCUCCCAACUUAUUAAAGGUGAUAUGAGAUAAGACAGUGACAAAAUUGUCGGUUACUUCCCGACACCUGGCUCUCCACAAGCAAACCCAGUGAUCCAGAAAUUAAUUGGUACCUGGACACGUGACUAACAAACCUUCGCUCAUCUACCAAACCCAUGGCCUCAUGCCUUAUAUAUUUCCACAAACCUAGCUCAAUUUUCAUAGCCACCUUCACUAUCCUAUACUCACUAAGCCAUGGCCAUAGAUACAAGCCUCUUGCUUGAGUUUGCUGCAGCAACUCUACUCUUCUUCAUCACCCGCUUCUUCAUUCGUUCUCUCCUUCCCAAACCUUCCCGGAAGCUCCCCCCUGGCCCCAGAGGGUGGCCGCUCCUCGGCGCUCUUCCUCUUCUAGGUAACAUGCCUCAUGUUGCAUUAGCAAAGAUGGCCAAAAGAUACGGGCCUGUCAUGUUCUUGAAAAUGGGCACUAACAGCAUGGUGGUGGCCUCAACUCCCGAGGCGGCUCGGGCUUUCCUUAAAACGCUAGACAUUAAUUUCUCUAACCGCCCGCCUAAUGCCGGUGCCACACUCUUGGCCUAUCAUGCCCAAGACAUGGUUUUUGCGGAUUAUGGGGCAAGGUGGAAGCUACUGAGAAAGCUAAGCAACUUACACAUGCUUGGUGGGAAAGCUCUUGAGGACUGGUCUCAGGUCCGAGCUGUUGAGCUAGGCCACAUGCUUCGAGCCAUGCUUGAGUUAAGCCAGCGAGCGGAGCCGGUGGUGGUGCCGGAGAUGUUAACUUUUUCCAUGGCCAACAUGAUAGGUCAAGUGAUUCUAAGCCGCCGGGUGUUUGAAACAAAAGGGUCGGAGUCAAAUGAGUUCAAGGACAUGGUGGUGGAGCUCAUGACCACUGCUGGGUACUUCAAUAUUGGCGACUUUAUUCCGUCCAUCGCAUGGCUGGACAUCCAAGGGAUCCAGCGCGGGAUGAAGCAUUUACAUAGGAAGUUCGACCGGUUAUUAACAAAGAUGAUGGAGGAGCACACGGCGUCAGCCCAUGAGCGAAAGGGAAACCCAGAUUUUCUGGACGUAAUCAUGGCAAACCAAGAAAAUUCUACAGGGGAGAAGCUCACUAUUACCAACAUUAAAGCACUCCUCCUGGUAUGCAUAGUUAAAGCUCGUCUUCAAUUUUGUUUUCCGAUAUUUUCUUUCCGGAAACAGCACUUUUAUUGCUUUUAGAUAUGUACGUUUUUAUCAGGUAGCCAUUUUAGGGGCACAUCACUAUUCUUUAUUUUUGGACUAUUUUUUUCUUUUUCCACUUGCAUGGUUGUUUUCAUAUGCUCAGCUGCAUGGCACAAGAAAAUUGUGAAAAAUGAUUGGUUCUCUGAUCAGACCUUCAGCACCAAAACACGCUUUUCUCUAUGUUAUAAAAUCGGUUUACAUGAUUUUUCAACCAGCUUCCUUGAACUUGAACUUUUGCUAGGGCUAAUGCAAAAAAUGAUUGAUCUCAAUUUUCAAUAGCGUUUGAUUACAUAAAUUUCAAGUAUGUGAACAUAUUUUUGUUUCCUUGGCUAGAAUUUAUUUACUGCAGGAACAGACACUUCAUCGAGCGUAAUCGAGUGGUCUCUGGCUGAGAUGUUGAAAAACCCGAGCAUCCUCAAGCGUGCUCACGAAGAAAUGGAUCAAGUGAUUGGAAGGAGCCGGCGGCUCGUGGAGUCUGACUUGCCAAAACUUCCAUACCUACAAGCCAUAUGCAAGGAAAGCUUCCGGAAGCACCCAUCCACACCACUGAACCUUCCUCGUGUCUCAACCCAGGCAUGUGAAGUGAACGGCUACUACAUCCCAAAGAACACUAGACUUAGUGUGAACAUAUGGGCAAUCGGGCGAGACCCUGAUGUCUGGGAAAGCCCGGAAGAAUUCAGGCCAGAAAGGUUUUUAAGUGGAAGAAAUGAAAAAAUUGAUCCUCGUGGAAAUGAUUUUGAGUUGAUCCCGUUUGGGGCUGGACGAAGGAUUUGCGCUGGCACUAGAAUGGGAAUAGUGCUGGUUGAGUACAUUUUAGGGACGUUGGUACAUUCAUUUGACUGGAAAAUGCCGGAUGGAGUUGAGAUCAACAUGGACGAAGCUUUCGGGCUUGCGCUGCAGAAGGCAGUUUCUCUUUCGGCCAUGGUGACACCAAGGCUUCACCAGAGUGCGUAUGCAGUCUGAGCUCAAACCGCUCAGACCAAAACCCAGGCCUCGCUGCUAUAUGGCAUGGAUGCAGUUAAGUAGAAAAUAUUUUGGGAUUUUUGCCUGUGGCUUAGUAUAAGAUGUAUUAGCUCAAAGAUGGUCGUUUCAUUCUACCACCAAGCCAUAUGCAUCUAUGCAUAAUCUAUUGAUUUAGGCUCGAUUUGGUUAUAGUUUUUGUUUUUUUGUCUUCCAAAUCAGUAAAUAGUAGGGGUAUUUUUGUCCUAUGUAGUGAUUCUUUUUGUUUGAUUGAUUAUAUUUGGAUCCUUCAAAAAUAUACGGUCAGAGCCAUCUCCAUCUUUUCACUUCUUGUGCUGCAGAAUGGGAUUGGCUUAGAUCGUUAGUCUAAUGUUAACCCCCUUCAAAUCUAAUUAUUCAUACUCAAUUUUGACACGAAAGAGCCAUUGUCAUGAAAGGGGGACCAGGGACCUCAGCACCCUUGGUUCAUCAUUUUGGUACGAUGCCAACUCUACCACAUAACCACCAUUUAGAUAUCUAUCCUUUUAUUUUUGGCAUGUGAACUUAUAGUGGGUGGCUGACCUUGAAUCCAAUAGUUAUCAUGAUAUAUAUGGCUGAAAUUAACCAUCAUUUAGAUAUCUAUCCUUUUAUUUUUGGCAUGCGAACUUAUAGUAAGUCCGAUUUAUGUCCAAGGGUCAAAUUUAAAUCUCUCUUCAAUCUAAUGGCUAAGAACUUCCCAACUUUAUUUAAUACUUAAUGUAUCCAAUAAUUGUAAUCGAGUAAUCCAAUGACAAGUACCUUCAAUGAUUAUUUUGGCAAAAGAAAUAAUAUAAGUUUGUUAUUUUAUGAUAUAAUAAAUUUAUUAAUACUUUCCUUUUUCAAAAUAUGUAAUUAGUUGUAAUUUCAUUAUAUAAUAUAUAAAUUAAGUUAUUUGCAAUUUUAAAAUAUGCUCAUUUUGUAUUUUUUUAAGUGUUAAUUAAAAAUUAUACAAUUUUGUUUUAUAAAAAGUAUUUAGUACUUUUAAUUUUAUAAAUUACAAGCAUUAAUUUAUACUAUUUUCUUAAAAUAUUUAGUUUAGUAUGCAUAUUAUUAGUUGUUUUCUUACAUCACUACUACAAAAAUAAUAUAUGAUGUCACUAUUUAUAGUGUCGCAUUUAAAAUAAUGACACCAUUGAACUUAAAAUUUAUAAAGGUGACACAUCAUUUAAAAAAUCUUCAAUUAGGAUAGUUAGAUUAUGCUAAUUUCAGAUUUACGGUGUCAUUUUUUGGAAGUGACACCAUAUGAAAUAAAAAGUUUUAAAUUUUAUAACUCAAUGGGCCUUUUUUAAAAAUAGUGAGUAGGAACAAUUUAUGAAAAGUCUAUUGUUUCCAUAUAUACAUUAACUAAUAUAAAAGAUCUUGUUGCUUGACCCUAACCAUCGUUUUCUUCUCCUUCUUCUCACACCCAUGGUCAGCACACCCAUAAUUGAUAUUCUUUGCUUCGUAAAAUCUCGGGUAAGUCAAAAUCUCUUAUCUAUCAUCUUUAUUUUUUUUAUUAAUGCAAAAAACUUUGUUAGUAUAAUUGUUUUAUAUCUCUUGAUUUAGUAUAUCUAUGAUGUGGGUUUUGUAAAUGGUGUUUUUUAUCGAGUUCUAAGGAAGUAAAAACUAAGUUUAACAUUCUAACAUAUUUUUUGUUUCAUUGCUAAUAAGCCCCAAAACAAAUGAAAACAAGAAAAAUGAAUUAUUUUUAAAAAAUUUGUCUAAUUGAGAAUGAGAGAUACACUAGUUUGUAGUAAUUUUUCGCAUGAAAUAGUAUUUUAUUGAAGACUUGACUAUAUUUGAUACUUUUUUCCACCGUGCUAGGAGCUUUUUGGUGAAGUCUAACAAUAGAGAUUGAUAUCUGCUACAAGAUGAUACUCAAUUAAACCAAAAGCACUUAAGUUAUUUAGGGUUUUCUUCGGUUAACCUAAGAAAACAUUCCCACUUUCUUUGUAUUGAGUCAUCUAAAUAGAAUAGAAUAUUGGGUAUCAGAGUCGUAAAUGGUAUUAUAAAUAUGACUUUUUUUUUAGAGUCACCUACAUGGAAUGAAUUAUUGGUAGGUGAACAAAAUAUUGGGGUGAUUGUAAUAGUUGAAUUAGUAAAUGGAAGAUAAGUGUAUGUUGCUUUGUUUAUUCUAUAAAAACAAUAAUUUUAGUAGUUGAAAUUUACAUGCUUUGUUGUUUUAUAAAAACAAUAAUUUUAGUAUUUGAAAUUUUAAAAUGUGAAUGAAAUGCCUGAAAAUAUAUUUUGAAAAAUAGGAUAGUAAUAAAUGGAAAAUAACUCAUUUCCUAAAAAUAUUUUGAUAAAUUAAAAUAAUAUGUGGUUAAAAUAUAUUUUUGUGAAAGUAUUUAAAAAUGAAUCAAAAUAUAAAUAAUUGUUAUUUUUUUUUAAAAUAAUUUAGGAAUAUAAAAUAAUAUUGGGGAUAAUUUUUGAGUUUAAAUUGUGUUAUAAAUGGUUAAUUUUUUUAGGACUGUCCUUUUUGAAAAUAAUCCAAUGAUAAUUUUUUUAAAUAAGAAUGUUGAAACUAAUUUUAAAAAUAAAAUUUUGUUGGCAAUGAUUUUUCUAAAAGUAUUUUAGGCAUAAAUGGAAAUUUCUUGUAUGAAAAUAAGAGAAUUUAUAUAUAUAUAAUAGACAUAAAAAUAGAUUUCUUUGAUAUUUAAUAAACAAGUGAAUUUUUCUCUAAAAAAAGAAUAAAAUAAGAAUUUCUCUAUAUAAUAAAAUAAUUUAUAUAUGAGAUAGUUUUCAAUAAGAAAGUUUUGAAAAUAAAUUUGGGAUAAAAUAUUUUUUAGUAAGUUUUGUUUAGAUAAUUCAAGAAUAAAGUGGUUUAUUAACUUUUCUUAAAAAAUAACAUUCUUCUUUCUUUUUUGAAUUGAUCAAUAGUUUGGAAAUAAAAUUGUUAGAUUCUAUUUUUUGUAAAUGUUUAAGAUAUUCUAAAAAAUUCUUUAAAAAUGAAAUGACCUUUCUACCACAUUCCUUUAAUAAAUAAUUGUAUUUUUAUACAUAUUGUAAAGUAAAAAAAAAAGUCUUUAUUUAGUUAACCUAAGAAGACAUUCCUACUUUUCUUUGUGUUGAGAGUCACCUAAAUGGAAUAAAAUAUUCAAUAUCAUAGGAGAGUAAAAAGUAUUGUAGAAAUGAUUUUGUUGAGAGAGUUAUCUAAAUGGAAUGAGAUAUUGGUAGGUGAAUAAAAUAUUAUGGUGAUUGUAAUAGUUGACUUAGUGAGUGGAGGAGAAGUGUAUGCUUCUUUGUUUAUUCUAUAAAAACAAUAAUUUUAGUAGUUGAAAACGUGUAUGAAAUGACUGAAAAUAUUUUUUGAAAAAUAAGAAAAUAAUAAAUGGAUAAUAGCUCAUUUCCUAAAAAUCUUUUGAUAAAUUAAAAUAACUUGUAGUUAAAAUAUAUUCUUAUGAAAGUAUUUAAAAAUAAACCAAUAUAUUAAUAAUUGUUAUUUUGUUUAAAAAUAAUUUAAUAGUAAAAAAAUAAUACUGAGUUCAAAUAUGACUACUUUGUUAUGAGAUUCAUUAAAGAAAUAAUUGUUGAUUUUACAGUUAUUGCAUCAAAGGUUUUACUCGUUUAAUGAAUUGUACAUAAUUUCAUACUUUCAAUUAUUAUGAUAUUAAUGUUAUUCUCAUUUGAUUUCAGUUUGAUUACAAAUAAAACAUAUUCUCAAGUAGAAUUUGAUGAAAUUAGAGAAAAAUAGAUUACUUUUGUGUUAUAACUAAUCAUGAAUCAUAUUGAUGUAUCGUGAUCAUUCAUGGUAAGUCCCUUAGUUGUUAUAUGAUUGAAUUUUCCAUUGAUAUUGUAUAACAUUACUUAUUCUUUACGAACUAUUUUUAUACCAAAAUGAGAAAAAGGAAAAAGAAAAAGAAAACAUUAGUACUUAGAUUUGUUUAUUGUUUAUAACAUCACAUUUUUAUUUUCAAUAAGAACUCUAAAACUCAUUAAUCUAUGAAAUGCAGGUAUACACUCUUGGGAGGACAAUAUGAAGAAUAAAAAGAAAGGAGAAAGAGACAACAAGAUUUAGGUUGUUAGAUAUGACUCUUAUGUCAUACAUUAUAGGACAUAAAUGUUACUUUAUUUGGAAUUGAGAAUUUUGGGUUUUUGGAUGCAACUCUUGUGUCAUUUUAUGGUUAGCCGGUUUUAUACAUAUGAAAUGCAAGUAUACAUGAAUGUUGGGAAACUUAACAUUUCUAAAUCAUGUUUUAAUGUGUAUUCACUUUUCUUUUUUAGUUUUGGUGGGUUUGAUGUGUUUGAUGUACUAUCAUUUUGUGAACAUUUGAUAUACAAAUAUUAUUGGAUGAUGUAAUAUGUUACAAAUUAAUUCAUAAGCAUUAUGAAAAUAUAAGUUAAAUGUAAUAUGAUUAUUAUAUUUAUGGACAAUUUACACAGGUUAGUCUUAUUUAUUAAUAAGCAUUACAAAAAUCUACAAACUAAUCAACAAAAAACAACCAUAUCUUCCAUAAUCAUUUACAAUGAUGUGACACCAUAAAUUAAAGGUGAUACAUUUAACGUGACACCAUAACUCAAAGAUGAUGCAUUUAAUAUGACACCUUAUAUAUCUCAUACAACUCUAUAUCAAAUUAAGCAUCACUAAAAAUAUAUGGUGUCUCUUCUGAAUGUGUCACCAUUUAUCUGCUUUGGUGUCGCUUCCAAAUACGUCACCAAUUGAUACCCUCUAUGGUGUCAGUGGAUAAGGUGACGCUAUGUUGUAGUGACACCCUAUGUUUAUAGUGACUUAUUAUAAAUGUCACCAUAUAUCUUUUUCCUUGUAGUGCAUCUCAAGUUUCAAUCAAAAAAAUAUUUAUGAUUUGUUUUUAUUAAUUUGUGUCUUGUUUUCAAUUUAAUUAAUGAAAAUUUAUUUGAUCAAAAAGUUCAUUACAAACCAAUUUUAAAAAUCUAAUCCUUUAUUAUAUUUUGAUAUCGUUUUGAUAAAAAUGUCUUUAUUAUUAUUAUUAUUUUUUUUUUUAUAAAAAUAAAUUUUUUUAUAAAUAUAUUGUAAAUAUUUAAAAUAAUUAAAAAUAUUUAGAUCAAAAAUCGAUUAUUUUUCAAACAAAUAUAUGAAAGUGAUAAAUUUGCAAAUAUGGGGAAUAUUUAAUCCUUUUAAUCGAUUAUUUCAUUAAUGAAGUGGGUAUAAUGAUGAACGCAUACUUGGUUUUACUAGGGCAUGCAGAGGUUUUGCAAGAGAGAGAGAUCAUUUCUCGACUCUGAGAAAUCAAUCUCCUUUUGGCCCGGUGGCGGACUCCAAGUAAAGCCUUGAAGGAGCCUUGCUAACAUCCCUGCACACCCACGCCUUCCAGUACUGAAGGAAAUGAAGCGAAGGUUUGGCUCGUUCAACUCCACUGCUUGAACUGUACUAGCAUUCAGAUGCCGCUCUGGAUUGAAAUUUAGCGGUUCUUCCCAGAUUCUAGGGUUCCGGCCCAGCCCCAGACGGCUCAGAAGGACAUGACUGCCUUUGGGGAUAGAGUACCCAGCAACACUAGUCGGAUUCCUGAACUCGUCUAUCCUUUCCAACCACUCCAUCAAUUUCUUCACUGCUUUGCUCAAAAUCCCUGGUUGCUUGAUCAUUGCCUACUCAAUUGCAUUUGAUGGACUAUCGACGCCUGCAAGCAUCAACUCCUGCAAAUUAUGGAAGGAUCAUAAUCUGAUGAUUGAUCAAGUUAUUUGCUGGCUAGGAAAUGAUCAUCAUGCAAUGUAGAUCAAAAGGUAAGCACAACACUACUACAAAAAUAAUUUAUGGUGUCAUUUUUAAAAUAAUGACACCAUAGGGUUUAUAAUUAAUAAAGGUGAUACAUCAUAUGAAAAUUCUUCAAUUAAGGUAGUUAGAUUAUGUUAGUUUUAUAUUUAUAGUGUUAUUUUUUGGGAAGUAACAUCAUAUAAAAUAAAUUUUUUUUUAAGUAUUAUAACUUAAUGAGCCCACUUUUAUAAUUAAUAAUGAGGGAUAAUGUAUAAAAAGCCCAUUGUUUCCACAUGCCACCCAUAAUCCAAAAAAUCUCAGUAUACAAACCUUAUAUAUAAAACCAUAAUCUUCUUCUACCUUUUCUCUUACCUAUAGUCAAUACACUUACAACCGACAUUUUCUACUUUGUGGACUCCUGGGUAAUCCAAAUUCUCUUAGAUCUAUCAUAUUUUUUUUUCUUUUAUUAAUAUAAUUAUAUUGAUUGUUUCACCAUCUUUGUAUUAUGGUUUUUGUAAACUGCGUUUUCUUGAGUUGUAGGGAAGAAAAACUUAGGUUUAAACUUCUAGCAUAGACGAAGAAACUUGUAGAUUAAUUGAUUUUUUAAUAUGAACCAAACACAUGACUGACUUCUUAAAAACAAGAAAAAAUGAAUGAUUUUUAAUAUGUAUUUAUGUGAGAAUGACAGGUACAAAAUUUUGUUGAGAUAUACUGUCACAUAAUCUUCAUCCCUUCCCUAAAACAAGAGAGAGAGAGAGAAAAAAAAAAAGGAAUGAUUUUUUUUGUGUGUAUCUAAGUGGGAAUGAGAUAUAUAGAAUUUUGUUGAGAUGCCACAUGAUCUUUAUCCUCCAUUAAACCCAACAUAUUAAAUCCACUAACUCUCCCCAAAAACGAGUAAAAAAAAAGGGAAAAAAGUAUGAGUUAAAAAACAAAAACGGAAAAUAUGAUUUAUUUUUUUUUAAUGUGUUUCUAAGGAAAAUGAGAGACACAAAUUUUUGUUAAGAUGCAUUGCCACGUGUUCUUCAUCCUCUCCAUUAAGCCUAAUAUAUUAAACCUAAUAGCUCUCUCUUUUAACUUUCCAGUGAAGUGCCUACAGUAUCCAACUCAAAAUAAGACAACUUAAGCCCCAUUAGCCAACAACCCAUAUUUUGUGUACAUCUUGAUGAGAUUAUUUUGUGAGAAAAUGUCAUGAAACAAUCCCAAUUUGAUAAUCUAGGCAUGUAUUUGAGUUAAAAAUAAAUUUCUAUUCUAUAGAUCAAAUAAUAAAAUCAUGUUUGAAAAUUAUUUUUAAAAACUUAUUUAGAGCAAAAAUAGUUUUCUAACAUAAAAAUAAUUUUUUAACUGAGAAAAUAUAUUUGAAAUUAUUUGAUAGAAAAUUGGGCAUGUAUUUGACUUAAAAACAAAUUUCUAUUCUAUAGCUCAAAUAAUAAAAUCAUGUUUGAAAAUUAUUCUUAAAAGCUUAUUUAGAGCAAAAAUGGUUUUCUAACAUUAAAAUAAUUUUUUAAUUUAGAAAAUAUAUUUGGAAACAUUUGAUAGAAAACUAGGCAUGUAUUUGACUUAAAAAUAAAUUAUUAUUCUAUAGAUCAAAGGAUAAAAUCAUGUUUGAAAAAUAUUCUUAAAAACUUAUUUAGAGUAAAAACAGUUUUCUAACAUAAAAAUAAAUUUUUAACUUAGAAAAUAUAUUUGAAAACAUUUGAUAGAAAACUUUUUUUUUAAUGUCAAUAAGUUGUCUUUUUGUUAAUUUAAUUGUAAUCAAUUUGCUUAUACGCAUUUAAAAGUAUAUAUUAUCAUAUUUAGUAAUAUUUUGAUUGUUAGGCAAAUUAUCAUUUUUGAGAGGAAUUUUUGUAGCUCUCAUAAUUAUAAUUGUAUUUUAAUAACCAUUUCCAAUAAAAAAGAAAAAGAAAAAAGAAGUUAGACAAUUAUCAAAAUCUGAUUUUUAGGAUUUUAAAAAAAUCUACAAGCCAAAACUAUCUAUAAUUUUGAUCAUGUGAGAACACUUCUUUUUUAAUACUUUGAAUUAUUUUGUUUUUUUUUUUCUUAGUAUCUGAAAGUAUAAAAGAAUUUCUCUUAUUAUAUUAUUAUAUUAUAUAUGUGCAUGUGUGUUCUCAUGGUUUCUUUAUGUCAUGUCUUAUUAAAGAAUAAAGUGAUGAAAUUUCCUUUGAGUAGAAGGUUUUAGUCCACGCUAGUGAGUGGACACGGUAUGAAUAGUUUGGGUGGGUUGUAUCUAUGGUAAAAAAUAAUAAAAGAUACCUUUUGCAAGUCUCCAAGUUGGUUGAGAUACAUGGCAUCAUGUUGACUAAACCUUGACUUUUGCAAGUCUCCUAGUUUCCAACUUUUUUUUUUCUUUUUUUUUUAAUAUUAAGGUGUGGGGCCAUGAACUCCUUUCUUUCCUUUUUAAAUAACAAAAAGGAAGAUAAUUUUAUUGUGAGAAGGCUAUUUCUAUCAAUUGUGUUCACGUCGAGAAUUUUUUAAUUUAUGGAGGCCAAAUAUAUAUUUAUGUCUAAUUUAGGAGGGUAAUUUGGGUUUGUUUAAUCUAUUCCAUUUAAUCAUACUAUACAAUCAUUUUUUUAUUUGGAUUAUUUUUGUAUUAAAUUUCUUCAACCCAAAUUUUGUUGAAAAAUUACAAUGUAUUAUUAAAAAUAUGACUUGAUAGUUGAUUAUGGACAUGUGUCAUUUUUAGUAAAAAAAAAAAUCUAUAACAUUUUAUAUUGAUAAUAUAUUAUUCUUGUAACAGGUUCGAAUAGUAAGCAAGUCAUUAUCAAAGAAGUUAUUGAAAGUAUAAGUGUACGUUUAUUUAUUGCAUGCUCUUAUAUUGUAUCAAUUGUAAGGAAGAUAAAAUUACCUUGUAAAGGUAAUUAAAUCUUUCUAUAUUUUAAAAACUUUUUUCCUAUAUACUAUGCUUUUGAAGCUUGUUUAAUUAAACAUAUUAGUUAUUUGACAAACUUUUCACAAAUGUUUUGUAUACUUAUGUGUUCUAUUUUGUUCCAUAGUUUUAUCGCAUAAUACUAAUGUAUAUUUUUUCACAAACUUUUUACAACUAUUUUGUGUACUAAUGCAUAUUAAGUUUUGUUCUUGCCUAUAUAAGCUACAUUUAGUUAUUUAAAUAUAUCCAAUAUUAUGUUGAAGAAAGAUGUACUUAACUUUUUUUAUUCUAAAUAUUAACAAGUUUUAUAGUUCUCUUGUCUUGAGAUUGAAUGUCAAAAGAUAGAAGGUCAGUUGAGUAUGAUGAAAGAGUUGAAAACUUUAUCAAUUUUGCAUUAGCACAUUCAAUCAACCAUUCCCCUAUAAAAUGCCCAUGCUUACGUUGUGCAAAUCUAUUAUGUCAAACUCUUCAAGUCAUUACAGAGCAUUUGUUCUUUAAUGGAAUAGAUCUCAGUUAUCGAGUAUGGUAUUGGCAUGGAGAAAAUGGACCCAGUGGAGGAUUUUCAAAUGUCUCACAACAACAUUAUGACAAAUGCAAGUAUAAUGAUGUUGUUGACACAAUAGAUAUGGUUAAUGCUGCACAAGUUAAUUGUGUGAAUGAUCCCUAAGUGUUUGGAAGGUUACUUGAAGACGCAAAAAAACCUUUAUAUCUUGGAUGCAUGAAAUACACAAAGUUGUCAGCAUUGGUAAAACUUUACGACUUAAAAGCACGUUAUGGUUGGUCUGACAAAGGAUUCUCAAAAUUGCGUCAGUUGCUUGGAGAUAUGUUGCCAUUGAAUAAUGAGAUGUCAUUGUCCAUGUAUGAAGCUAAAAAGACUUUCAGUGCACUUGGGAUGAAUAUCAAAAAAUUCAUGCAUGUUCUAAUGAUUGUAUUUGGUAUAGAAACCAGUAUAAGGAUGCUAUUGCAUGCCUAACUUGUGGAAAGUCAAGGUGGAAGAUAAACAAUGAGGGGAAAAAGAUUAAGAAGGGGCUUCCUUCAAAGGUUUUGUGGUAUUUCCCACCAAUCCCUAGAUUCAAAAGGAUGUUCCAAUCCUCAAAAAUCGUUAAACAUCUUAUGUGGCAUGCCAAGGAUAAAGAAUAUGACGGUAAACUAUGCCACCCAUCAGACUCCUCAGCGUGGAAACUAGUUGACCAUAUGUGGCUUGAUUUUGCUUCUGAACCGAGAACCUUAGACUAGCACUCUCAACAGAUGGUACAAAUCUUCAUAAGUCUAUAAGCAAUAGACAUAGUUGUUGGCCUGUUAUACUGAUCAUAUACAACCUUCCUCCUUGGUUGUGCAUGAAAAAGAAGUUUAUGAUGCUAUCAUUAUUGAUCUCAGGACCACGACAACCUGGUAAAAAUAUAGAUGUUUACUUGAGUCCAUUGGUAGAUGACCUUAAAACUUUGUGGGAAAAAAAAGUUGAGACUUAUGAUGCACACUUGCUUGAGGUUUUUACUUUAAAGGUCAUCAUUUUAUGGACAAUCAAUUAUUUCCCUACAUAUGGAAACUUGGCCAAUUGCACCGUGAAAGGAUAUUAUGCAUGUCCAAUAUGUGGAGAAGGAACAUAUUCCCAAAGAUUAAAGUAUGGUAGGAAGAACUUGUAUAUGGGUCACCGACGAUUUCUUCCACGUAACCAUCCCUAUUGGAGACAAAAGAAGGCAUUCAAUGGUGAACAAGAUUUUAGAAUUCCUCCUAAAAUUUUGAGUGGAGAAGAAAUACUUGAAAAAGUUGAUCUCAUUCCUAUUUCUUGGGGAAAAAUGAAGAUAAAAUCUCUUGAACUGAUGUGAACACAAAUUAUUGGAAAAAAAAGUCCAUAUUUUUUGAGUUAGAAUAUUGGAAAUAUCUUCAUAUCCUUCACAACUUAGAUGUCAUGCACAUCGAAAAGAAUGUCUGUGAGAGUAUUAUUGGUACUUUGUUUAACAUCCCAGGAAAACAAAAAGAUGGACUUAAUGCUCAACUUGACCUAGUUGAAAUGGGUUUAAGGUCUGAACUUUUCCCAAGAGUUGACUUGAAGCGGACCUAUCUUCCCCCUGCAUGUUAUUCACUAUCCAAACAUAUAUGACAAAAAAUUAGUUUGUCAAACAUUGUCUAAUUUGAAGGUCCCUGAGGGGUAUUGCUCAAAUUUUAGAAAUCUUGUCUCCUUAAAGGAAUUGAAGUUAUUUGGUUUAAGAUCCCAUGACUACCAUGCACUUAUGCAACAACUAUUGCUAGUGGCAUUACGUUUUGUUUUGCUAAAGCAUGUGAGAUAUACUAUAUCAAGAUUGUGUAUCUUCUUCAAUCAAUUAUGUACAAAAAUGGUUGAUGUGCCAAAAUUGGAUGAAGUACACAAUGAGUUAGUGGUCACGCUGUGCUUACUUGAAAAGUAUUUUUCACCUUCAUUUUUUGAUAUUAUGCUUCAUCUAGUAGUGCAUUUGAUAAGGGAGGUGUGACUAUGUGGUUCAGUUUACUUUAGGUGGAUCUACCCAUUUGGGAGGUAUAUGAAAGUUCUUAAAGAAUUGUUCGCAAUCAUAAUUGGCUUGAAGGAUGCAUUACUAAGUGCUAUUUAACAGAAAAAGCUAUUGAAUUUUGUACUGAAUAUUUAUUAGGGACUCAUGCAAUUGGAAUUCCAAAAGCAACAAUUAUGACAACAAAUUUGGUAGACCUAUAAUUGGUGGUCGUUCUACCAUCAUUGAUCAUAAAUUGUGGUUACAAGCACAUCAUUAUCUAUUAGAGAAUACAACUAUCGUCCAACCAUACACUGAGUAAGAAAAACAUACCUUUAUCUUUUUAUAAUUUCAUAACAUAAUGAUGAAAUCCUAAGUUUGCAUUCCUUGUCUUUAACGUCAUAAGGAACACAUGAAUUGGUUGAGGUCUCAAUACCCUCGACAAUCUAAUAGACAAAUUUGGUUGCAAGAAGAACAUAUGAGUUGUUUUACAUAUUGGCUUAAAGAAAAGGUAAUCUCUUAGUUUUUAGAAAAUUUUUCAAUAUGUUGAAAACAUCACAAGUUUCCAAUAUGUUUUGAUUAUACAUAGGUUGAAGAGGCUAUCCAUAAUGGGCAAGAUAUUCCCGACACACUUAGGUGGUUAGCACAUGGCCCUACUCUCCAGGUAGUCAAAUAUCCUGGAUAUAUCAUUAAUGAGUGUUGUUACCAUAUUAAGAAACGCGAUAUGACAUGCAUCACCCAAAAUAGUGGUGUUUUUAGCAAGACUAUGCAAAUUGCUAGUUCUAAGGAUAAGAACCUAGUUUGUGGUGAACUUUGCUUUUAUGGGGUCAUUAAUGAGAUAUGAAAUCUUGAUUACAACAUGUUCACAAUUCUAAUUUGCAAGUGUGAUUAGGUUGACAACAAGAAUGGUAUAAAAGUUGAUGAACUCAGGUUCACAUUAGUUGACUUCUCCAAAAUAGGUCACAAAUUGGAUCCAUUUAUUUUAGCAUCACAAGCCAAGCAAAUCUUCUAUGUUGAAGAUCAACUUGAUCCUAAAUGGUCAAUAGUUCUCUCAAUUCCUCCAAAAGAUUUCAAGAACAUAGAAGGACUAGAUGACUUCACCGAUAAUUGCAUGGAACAUCACCCCUUUAUAAGUUCAAUGCCAGAAUUUGAAUCAUUUGAUGCUAUGGAUGAAUCAUAGGCAAUACACAUGAGAGAAAACUGUGAGGGCAUAUGGAUUGAAAAGAAUUAAAUAACAUAUUGUACCCUUGAAUGAGAUAUAAUAAGGCAUUUCACUUAUUAGUUUUCAUGAGUUGCACAUUAACUUAGCUUCUAUAUAUUGCUCAUGAUAUAUCUAUAUAUAUUAAUCAUCCUAAAUUUCUUUCAUGCAUCAUAAACAUAUGUUAUUCAAAGGUACCACUUCAAUCUUCAUUCAACUAUCUUUUUGUUGUCCAUAGAACUAGAUUUAUAUUAUUUUUUAUUAUCAUGUUUUGAUUUUAUGCUCACAUAACUUGAAACUCUCAUUCCUAAAUUUCUUUUUCAUUAAAACUAUAAAUCAUAAUUGAAACUAUGCACUAAUUUAUUUUAUUAUUAUCCUCACAAAUAAAUUCUUCAUUAUUGAUAAGAAAUCAAAAAACAAGACAAACUUUGAAAGAAAAUUUCAAAAAAUAUAUUUGUGAAUGACCAAUUUAAUUAUAGAAAAUAUAUGCAAGGCUAUACUAAUCUUGCUUUUGAGUCAUUUUACAGGUUUGUUGGUGAAGUACUAGUUUGCACAUUUACUUGAUAUCUUCCACACAAAUAUGGAUCUAGAAGAAGGGGAAAUGCCAAAAAUAAAGCAUAGAUGUAGUGCAUUGAAACCAAAGAUUGCAAAAAAUCAAAGUAAAGGGAUAAAACUCAAGAUUGAAUACAAUAGCCUUGGUAGUCCCAUUAAGGAAAAUUCAGUUAAACUAAGUAGUUAUCUUAGUACAAUAACUAGAACCCAUGUGCUAAUAAUUAUUGAGAGUUGGAGGAAAGUCCCUAAAGAGACUAAGGAGAAGUUGUGGGAUUUGAUCACAGUAAGCCUAUCUAUAGCUUUAAUAUAUAAUUAUUGUAUACAUUCAUUAACAUGAGCUAAUAUGGGUUGUUAUUUUGUAGACAAGCUUUAAUGUGAAUAAAAAAUCCAAGAGGAAUUGUUUCAUACUAAUGGGCAUCAGGUUUCGAACCUUUAAGUACAAGUUGACAAAGAAAUAUAUAUUGUCUUUCAAGAAUGACCAAAAAAGCUGAAAAAGUCACCUCCUAUUUACCCAUUCAUACAAGAGGAUCAUUGGAGACAGUUUGUUAAAGAUAGACUUUUUGAACAUUUUAAUGUUAAGCAUUAUUUUUAUUACAUCUUCAAUUUUCACAUUUACGUAGUUUCAUUAUGUACUAAUUUUGUGUCUAUAUUUUGUAGGAAUAUCGCAAAGUUUAGAAAUCAAGAAGAGAUAAACACAUUUACAAUCAUUAUCUUGGAAGAAAAUGAUAUGCACGUUUUGAGCAAGAUAUAGUAAGUUAUCAAUAUCCAUAAAAAAAAUGGAGUAUAUAUUUUGUUUAUAGGAAAAUGAUUCUAGUUUUUAAAUAUCAUUUAUUAACUUGAUCAUGUUGAACUAAUGAGUUUUAUUGUUAAAAUUUUUAUAGCUACAAGCAGAAGGGGCUAUUGGUAGGGUUGAUAGAAGUGUUUAUGAAAGAAAACACGUGAGAAGAAAGGAAAGUUUAAUAAGAUUACAAAGCUAAUGAUUAACUAAGUUAGCAUAUUUAUGCCUUUUAGAGCCUAUAGUGUUAGUAUGUCUAUGUGAUUAUGGUUUGGGAUGAUAUCGUUAGGUGUUAAUAGGGAAGAGGCUUAAUGCUAUCAUUUUUAUGAGUAGUCAUGUUAUAUUAGUGCAAAUAUAGUAGCCUAAUUUGAAAAUUAAUUUUGAAACAAUAUACAUUAAUUUAUCUAUUAUCAUUUUUAUUAAAACAAUUCAUUUUCUAGCUACCUUGAAUUGGUCCUCUUGAAUUGGUUGUCUUUGAUUGAUAUGUUAAUCAUCUUCAUCAAAUUAUUACUAAUAUAUGUUUUGUUGUAGGAUGAAUUACUAGAAAAGGCAAGGAGACUGGACUACCUCCACUUGGUCCAAAUGACAUAUUAUGUCAGGCAUUGGGUAAGCUUGAUCAUCUAGGACGUGUGGUAGGUCAAGACCGCUUGGUUAGGUCGAACUCAUACUUUCAUCAACCAUUUGAUGACAUGAAAAAAAAAAUCAAAGAAGAAAUAUGGGAAAUGGUGUGAAAGGGGAUGCAAGAUGCUGUAACAAGACAAACUAUGUCUCCUCCCACACCCCAUUCUGAUAUAGGUAGUAAUAACAUGAGACAACAACUUGUUUUACAACUAGUUGUAGCAAAAAAACCAAUGUUUAAAAUGAUGGAAGAGCCCCAACCACCAGAACCACCACUGAAACGUAAGGUAUACAUUUACUUACUAAUAAUACAAGAUUAAUAUAAGUGAUAUAUAGCCUAUGUAAAUGAUAUUAUUUGUUGUAUUAAAGGUGAUUAAAUAUAAAUUAGCAGUGGAAUGAAAAUGAAAUGUUGUUGCAACUGGUACAUUAAUAGAAGAAAAUUGAUCAAAUGGGUUGGUCGUAAUAAAUGUUGCACACAAGCUAGAUGCUAGACUUCCAUUUCCAAAUCCAUAUGAGAUUAUCAAUGUUGGGGAUGCUAUUGGCUUUAAGCUUGACUGGCCAACAAGCCUUGUCAUACUUGAAACUAAACAUCCUCGGGUAUGUCAUUUUAUACUUGUAGUAAAUUUGAUUGUAACUUGGUAUUUUAUUGUUUAGGAGUAUAUAUUACUAACAUUCCUUCAUUUUUCAUAGGUGUUGGAUAAAGGAAAGAAGUAGAUAGUGAAUGCACCAAUUAUUCGAAAAUCUAAGCCUCAAAAUUAUUCGGUCAUUAAAAAUUUUCAGAAAUUUAUGGAUGGUUGUCUUAGUAAUGAGAAGACAUACCCAAUACAGCUCCCCAUUUCACUAUUUGGUGUCGAAUUCCGAACAUAUAUAUCUAGAGAGGAUUGUGAAUACAUUAUUUCAUCUUCAGAGGUGUUAUCAAAAUGCAUCUCCUUCCAUUUAUGGUGUGCACCUUUUAUUUUCAUUUGUUUUUAUUUUUUUAAUAUGAGUUGCCCCUGUUGAACAAGAUUGGAUAUGACUAAUGAUAAUUUUCUUUUGGUGUUUUGAUAAUAUAAUAGGUACAUGCAUGAUCAACUACAUAUUGCCAAAAAGGAAUCACAAUUUAUAUUUGUUAAUCCUUUUACAAUAUCAUGAGCAGGCUUUAGUAAUCCUCAAAUAGAGAAAAGAACACAAUUGUUGUCAAAACACUUAAUAGAGUGCCAAGAUGUCAGAUAUGUUUUCAUGCCCUACAACCCCGAGUAAGUGACGAAUAUUAUACUUUAAUUUGAGGUUUUAUGAUUGAUUUAUAUUUCUAAUUAGAUGCUACUUUUGUUUUUAAUGUUUUAGCUUUCAUUGGGUCUUGGUAGUGAUUGAGCCAAGGAAAAUGAUAGUCCACUAUCUUGACCCUGUGCAUCACAAACCAUGUGAGGACUUAAAGGAUAUCGUAAACAUGUAAGUUCUUCCUAUUAUUUUUCAUAGUAUUAUUUAAAAAAAAAAAUUACAUUCACCUCAAACACAUUUUUUAUUGUUAUUUCUAUAUAUUAAAACAUAUAACAUUUACCUAUUUUAAAAUUGUACCCAUUGAACUUAUUUACAUAGGGCUCUUUAAAUAUUUGCAAAGAAAACAUCUAAGAGAGAGCCAUCUUGGCAACUAGUGCAAGUGACAUCCAAAAAUUUUCUUUAAACAUUUAGCUUAUGCAUUUGCACCAUUUAUAUAUAUGAGUACUAAUGUUAUUUAUAACUGAUCCAUUAGUGUCCAAGACAAGAAGGAGGGUUCGAAUGUGGCUACUUUGUUAUAAAAUUCAUUAAAGAGAUAAUUUUUUAUCCUACAAUGAUUGCUUCAAAGGUAUUACUUAUUUAAUGAAUUGUACAUAUUUUUAGGCUUCCAAAUGUUAUGCAUUUUAAUGUUAUUUUCUUAUUUGAUUUUAGUUUGGUGAUAAAAAAACAUAUUCUCAAGUAGAAUUCAAUGAAAUUAAAGGAGAAUUGACUACUUUUGUGCUACAACUAAUCAUGAAUCAUGUUGAUGCAUCAUGAUCACCAUGCAUGGUGAGUCCCUUAGCUACUACAUGAAUUUUUCCAUAGAUAUUGUAUAGUAUUGCUUUUCUUUGAACAAUGUUUUUAUUUGAAAAAAAGAAAAAAAAAGUUCUUAGAUUUGUUCAUUUAUGAUAACAUCGAUCCAUAUUUAUUUUCUUCAAUGAAAUCUAUAAAACUCAUUAAACUAUGAAAUGCAGGUAUACACUCUUAGGAGGGUGGAAUAGAGAAUAAAAAGAACAAAGAAGGCAACAAGAUUUUGGGUUUUUAAAUACAGCUUGUAUGUCAUACGUUGAAGGACAUAAACGUUACUUUAAUUGGUAGUGAGAAUUUUAGAUUUUUAGAUGCUACUUUUAUGUCAUUUUCUUGUAGUGCAAAUUACUUAUCUUACUAUGCAUUGGGCUUUGAUAUUAGCCAAAGAUAGUAGUGGCUCCUAAUUUUUAUCCUUAACUGAAAUGAAAACAUCAAGCAGGUCCCCAGCCUCUUUUUCGCCAUUCUUCCACUAUUCUACUAUUUGGUCCAUGAUUGGAUCAUGGUACUUGUUAAUGGUGUUCAUAGCCUCCCUUAUAGUUUUUUCAUGGCCAUCUAAAUUCAGCACUCUCUGCCAUGGGAAGUAAUCAGAUAAAGAGAAUACAUAUAGAUGAGCAAGUAUAGUAAAGAAGGAUUCAACAUGUUGCUCCACUUCAACUCCAGGGCCUCCAUCUUUCUUUCGUUGGCCAAAGUAUCUUGUGUUGAGGAUCAUCUUUCAGAUGACAUUCCCGUUGUAUUGACGGACUUUAUUUCUGUCACACCCCAAAUACUAGGCAACCCAGAACUUGACUCGUGACCCUAGGUCAAAUGUUUGACCCUAAGAGUUACUCUUAUCCAUGUUGGCAAUCAAUCAAAACACCCUGGAUUUUUUUUCUUUUCAAUAAAGCGUUUAAUCCUAAAUAAAUUUAUUAAGCUAAGAUUUACUAUAACAUAUCAUUUUAUUUUUCCAAAACUAACCAUCACAUUAUCUCCUGUUCACAAGUAUUAAAAAAAAAAAAAAUUCCACCAAUCAUCUUCUUACCCAAAAUCUCAAAUAUUUACUAUAAUCUCUAAGUCAAAAAGAAUAUUUCCAAAAAUGUUUUACAAACUAAUAAAAUAUAAUUUAACUUAAAAAAGUCCAUAUAACUCAAAUUAGUAGAUGUCAAAAAGGUAAUUAAAAAAAAACAACCAUUAUUAUGGUUUUUUUGCUUUUUAGAACACUUCAUGAUCUUCUUAUGGUCCCUUAGAAACUAUAUCUGCAUCUAAAAAUUUUAGAAAAUAAAGGGAUGCACAUUUCCACGUUACUCUUUAGACCUAAAUGGGUUAGAAAUUCUAAGUCAAUAAAACACAACCAUAUGCCAAAAUAUAAUAUUACAUUUACAUUAUACACACUAAAAGAAACCUCAACCAUACAAAUUUAAAUCAAUCAAAAUUAUCAUUUUCCUUAUUUAAUCAUAUGUUUAGCAUAUCAAUAAUUUUAAAUUUACAAAAUAAAUAAGUCACUUUAGUCUUGAAUAAUAUAUUCAAACAUAUACUUGAUAAAUAAUACAAAUCAUUUUUCCAAAUGCAACCAUGAUACAAAUGCUUACACACAAUCACGCAAUGCAAUAUCGUUCUCGAGCUUUCACCGAAGGAUAUGCAUUUAUACCCAAAUACACUCCCCAUUCGGAGUCUUCCUGGGAUAAAAUUUUGAGUCUUUCACCCUAAGGAUCUCACUCCCUUCUUAACUCACCAUCUCUAGGGUCAUUCAAUUUCUUAUUUUUCUUUUCUUUUCAUUUUUGCCAUUUUUGGGGUCUUUUCAUUCUCAUUUCCAUUUCACACAACCAUUUCUUCAAUUUUUAUUUUUCUUCACACAAUCAUGAUGCAUAUGAAAUGCAACUGAAUCAUAUUUUAACAUCCAUAAUUUUCCAAGACAUAAUUUUAUUUACUCCCAUUAUGUUUCAUAAUUUCCAAUAAUCCACACAACGAUUUUUCUUCACUUUAAUCGUCACAAACAUAAAAGAAAAUUCACAAUUAAUUUGUAUAGCAUCAAAACAUAGUUUUAAACAUUGACCACAUAAAUUCUAUUUAUUCCCGACAUGCUUAAUAAUUUCCAAAUCCAAUAUAACCAUUUUUUUUUCAAUUAAAUAAUCACACAUAUCCAAGAAAAUUCUCGCUAAUACAAAUAUCAACAAAAAUGUAAUUUAUGUCAUAAUUUAUUUGUCUCCAAUAAUUUCAAAAAUUUUGACACCCAUAUGACAAAUUUCCACAAUUAAGCCACCCCAAUAUUUGGGAAAAAUUUUCCAAUAAUUCAAAUAUCAACAAAAACCCAAUUUAUAUCAUCAUUUUAUUUAUUUUUAAAAGCAUUAAUAAUUUUAAUAAUCAAUACAACACUUUUCCACAAUUAAGCCACCACAAAAUUUUGGGAAAAUUUUCCAAUAAUUCAAAUAUUAACAAAACACAAUUAUACCUUAAUUUUUCUUAUCUCUGACAACAUCAAUAAUUCUUAGUACUCAAUACAACUAUUUUUAUUUUUUCAUAUUUAAUCUUCUCAAACAUUACCAAAAUUCCAAGAAAAAUUUAUAAAUCACGAAAUAAAAUUAUUCACAAUAAUAAUCACACUUCAAAUACUACAAAUAACAUCUAUUAUAUUUCAACAACACAAUAUAUAAUUUUUUUUGAAAGAAAAUAUUAAAUCAAAGUUUUAGGGUUAAAUCACCCUACCUUAAAUUUGAAAAAUUUAACCAUUAAAACUAAAACGGGACACCGUAGGAGUGUUCCUCGCAUUGAAUAGAAUAUCCUUCCAAAAUUUUAUGUGAAAUGGACGUCAUUUGGUAGGUCCACCAGCAUCCUAAAGCUGGCGACCCAUUUUUCCCACUCUUUGCCGACGACUUCCCUACAUCUCUUACUCGAUUUCCUUUCUUCAUUUUCUUUUCUUCUUCUUCUUUUCUUCUUCUUCUUUUAAACUCCCACGCCAAUUUCACUUUAUAUAUAUAUAUAUAUAUAUAUAUAUAUAUAUAUAUGUAUGUAUGUAUGUAUUAUUAAAACAAAUCCUAAAAUACCACGCACAUCCAUUUCUCAAUAAAUUAAAACCAUUAUUCUUAAAUUCACCUUCCGUAAUUAUGAAUUAUACCAAACUUAUGAUUUUCCAUUUCACGAAAAAUACCACCGUAUUCGUAAUUUAAUUUACUACAAGUCUACUCUUCAAAAAGUAUAAUUUGAUUAUAAUUACAUGAAACAUUGUUUUUUUACUCUAAAAUUCAUUUAAAACAUGAUAUAAUUAACUAUUAACAAAAUUCAAUUCCAUAAAAUAUUAAAAACAUAAAAUAAUUUUUUGGCAAUCAAGAAGUUGAAAUUUGUAAUAACCCUAAACCCGUUAAUUUUACCUAUAUUUAUUUACCAAAAAAAAUUUAAAUAAUAUUCUAAAAUUUAAUUCCAUAAAUUAAUUAGUCAUUCAAUUUAUAAAAAUCAAAUUCUCUACCCUUUGGUAUAACUUUUAUUUAAUUUACUUCAUUUUUCAAAUUAUUCAAUCGCAUCAAAAUUUCAAAAGUUAAAUUCACUAAAUUCACAUUUAAUUAAUUUAUCAUUUUGUAUUUUUUUUUUUUCUAAAUUCGCAUAUCAUAAUUUAAUCUUAAUUUAAUUUUGAUUCAAUUUUGUUUUAGGUUUUCUAAUUUUAUGAGGUUUAAUUUCAAUUAUAAAAAUUAAAUUCAAUUUCUUUUUAAUUAUCCAUUAUCACAAUUUGAUAUAAUAUAAUUUUUUAUCAAGUUUUUCUUACUACGAUUUUUCUUAUAAUUAUCCAAUAAUAAUUAAAUUAAUUCUCGUAACAUAUUUAAUAUUCAAAUUUUAAAAACUUAAUCUCAAUUAUUUGAUGGUUAUUUUUUUUUUCUCAAAAUCUAAAUUUAAUUUAUGAAAUUCUCACUUCUUACAUCUGACGUGGCAAAAUUUUCAAACUAUUGACUUUUGACCAACUUUUCCUAAAUUUAUCCUAAUUAAAUACUAACACAUGGAUUUUCACCACUCUUUUUGAUCUUUUGACCCACAAAUUUAUGAAAGACUUUAUACUUGGAGAAUCUACAAAAACCUGGGUAUUACAAUUUCUCAGGUUGAUAACUGUCGUGGUUACGAAGCCACCACUUGAAUACUCAAUCGCCAUUGUAAUGGGCCUAGAUGCAAAUAGUACAUCAUGUUUCUUCAAAAGUUCUCUGCUAAUCUCUGGGAAAGUCGUAGGGACAAGAUGAAAUAUUUCCCAAUUGAAUACAUGCAAUUUCAGUGUUCAUUUCUUUCAUAAAGCCAAUGUAUCCACCAGAAAGUUGGCUUUUUGUUGAGUAAAUGAGGUAGAUAUUGCACUAGUGGCCAUGGAGCUAAUCCUGGAGGAAGUUGUAUCGGCUUGCUUUUGGUACUUGUUUUGGAUUUUAAUUUAGUGAAGAUGAGAAAGAUUGAUGUGAUGAAAAGCAGUAAGAGGAAGUUGAAAUGAGACAACACAUCGUCUGUGGUAGUAGAAGAAAACAAGGUUGAGUUACUGCUACUACUCUCUGCAACAAAGCCAUUUACACGUCUUUUAUGGCAAAACCAUGUUUGUCCUAUCUUGGGUCUGGAUGCACAUUUUUAAUAUUGGGGAAAUCAUGCAACCAAAUGUCACACACAAAGAGAGAGAAAAAAAUACGUUUUUUAGAACUUGAAAAGGUAAAGUGGGACAAAAAAUAUUAUCCAUUCUUGAACUCUAAAAGUAAAGUUAUAAAAAGCUUAGUUUUUUUUUUUUUGUUAUGUAUGAUUGCAUGAUUUCCCCCUUUUAAGAUUUUAUCUCAUAAAAUUUUUUUCUAGAAGGUUCAAAUAAGUUUGAUGAAUAUUGUUUAUUUUAGUAAUUUUAAUUUUAUGGGGUACUUAAAACAUUAGAAGUUCACAAAAAGCAACAUUUAUCAGCUACCUAUCUAAAAAGCUUGGCCUAAUCAUUGAAAUCCAAAAUAUAAAGUGACAACACACUUUUUAAAGCAAUUUUCAAAAUAGUUUUUAAAAACACAUUUAUUUAUGAUAUUUUUAAAAUAAAAAUCUCAAAAAUAACUUGUUUAUAUUACUUUUUAUUAGACAAAUACUUGAUCUUUAUAAGAUCACCCUAAUUAUAGAUUUAUGAACAUGUAACACAGCAAUUAUCUAUAUAUAUACUUAGAAUUAUUAUAUUUUAAGUUUUUAACUACAUAGGACAUCAUGAGUUUUUCCACCAUUUAUCUUAUAAUAAGUUUAUUUAAAUAUGAUAAAGGAUAUAUUAUCUCAUUUCUUAUUAUAUCUGAUGCUAUAUAUAUAUAUAUAUAUAUAUAUAUAUGUAACAAAUCAAAUACAAUUUAAAGAUUUUAAUUAACCAUCUAUUAGCAACAAAGCAAUCUCUUAAUCUCAUUCAUAAUAUUAGGAUAAUUUAGUAUUUCCUUUUAUAAAACACUAGCAUAUAAAUCAGCACAAAUCAUAUUAAGGGUGUAUUUGGUGUUGAUUUUAGAAAGCGUUUUUAGUAUUUCUAAUACUUGAAAGAUAAAAAUUUUCAAGUUUUAGAAAGAUCAAAAGCGCUUUUUAGAAUGACUAUCAAAUACAUGCUAAAUAUUACUUUUGGAUACUUAUAUUUUUAAAUAACUCUUAAAACUUUUAAGGCAAGUCUCUACUAUUCAUAUAAACCCCCUAUUAUUUUUAAUUCUUAGAAACAAAAAAUAAAGAAUAAAAACUCCAUUUAAACAUCACCUUAUUAUUUCCUAUUAUAAAAUAACACAAAUCAAAUGAAUUAUUUAAAAAUAAAUAAAUAUAAAAUCAAAGUUGAAGAGAAAAAACUCUUGUGCAUUAAAAAAACAUCAAAAUAAAUAAAUAAAUAAAUAAAUAAAACAUCAUCAAAUAAAUGUAAAAAUAAAUUAAUGUUAUGGAAAAAUGAGAAUAGGCAACAAGAAAAUAAGAACACAGAUUUACAUGAAAAAUGCUAGAUGGGAAAAACCAUGGAUAGAGGAGAAGAAAAUCCACUAUAUUAAAAAUUUGGUAUAAAAUGUGACAGAAUCAAGUGAGUAUUGUAUAGGCAUAAUCACUAUGACCCUAAAUCCUAUACAUCAUCGCAUAUGUAUGGUGUAUGCGAUAAUAUUUGUGAUAAUAAAAAUAUUGUCGCAUAAAAUAACUAUGGGAUGUAAUAUUUGUAAUAAUAUUCUUUACAAAAAAAAUAUUUUUUCUUUGCUUUAUUCACUUUGAUCACAACUUGAAAUAAGACAAUAAAAAUAUUUUCUUAAUUUUUGAAAAUUAAUUGAGGACUUAGAGCUACUUGUUACUGAGUGAAUUUGCUGAAUGGUGAAGAAUGUGUGUAUAGUAGUUUUGCAAUUUUUCAAACUUGUAGACAUAUUUUGUGAAGUCUUUUUCUCUUUGUAAAGCCCCAUUUUCUUUGUGUAGUUAUUUUUUCAAUAUUCUCUUUGGAAGGAAUUUACCAUUAGUUAUAUAGGUAAGAUUAAGGAAUUAAAUUUGGAAUUCUUAAGAUUUGAUUGCUUAAUUCAAAGAAUUUGGUUCAAGGGAAAUUUGCCAACAAAAUAAUAUUUAUUUUUAAUUCUAUGAUGACUUUAAUUAUUUGAUAUAAUUUUAUUUUGAAAGACUUGAUGUGGGGGACUCAUCACUUAUUGAGUCCAAAUUUUGUUGCACCCAAAUUUUUAUGAGCUAAGAAACCAUAAUUUUAAAGACCAAUUCAGUGGUAAGUGAAUCUGCUAAAAUCUUCUAUGUACAAAUGACCUCACUUCAAGGUGCAACACAUACAUGUAUUAUUAUGUGUAUGGGAUGAGUCUUGAAGUUAGUCUUCAUUCUUCUUUGAUUUUUUUUUCUUCAAAUAAAUAAAUAAAACAUCAUCAAAUAAAUGUAAAAAUAAAAUAUGUAUCGGUUAAUUGGAGAGGAGAGCUUUAAGGGCAUUUCUUCUAUGAAAUUCUAUGCUCCACGUACCAUAAAUUUGUACUCAACCAACAAAAUUACAGAAUGGGUCCAUGCACAAACAAAAAUAACUCAAAUGUAAAUAUCUAAAAAUGUAUAAAGUUCACAAUAGAUAUUCAAGCCCAAAUUUAAAUUUCAAAUUAGUCCAAUAGAUUUCAUCAAUCAAAAUGGGUCCAAAUUAGCAAAUAUAACCCAACAAAAAUAUCUCAUAUGUCAUAGGCCCUAAUUUAAAAUUUUCAAAUUAAUAGCCAAAAUAUAAGUUCAAUUAAUCAAACCCAAAACAUGAUAAAUUAAAAUAAAUCUCAUUAGGCCUAUACUUAAUAUCCCAUAAUUCAAGCCUAAUUUAAUAUAUAAACCUAAAUCCACAAUCAAAAUCAACCCAAUUUAUGCUAAUCCCGAUUUACAAUCAAAAUCAAACAUAAUUUAAUAAGUAAAUAACUAAAUAAAUUAAGCAAACUCAAAACACCCAAACCACUACAACAUAAAUCAAACAAUAAUAAAUAUAAUGACAAUAAUAAUAAUAAUAAUAAUAAUAAUAAUAAUAAUAAAAUAAAAUAAAAUAAAAUAAAAAAAUUUAACUCAUGUCGGAGCCAGUUUGAAUGUCUUGGGAAAGAAAGAAAAUGAGAGAAAAGUGAGAGAUGAUUGACAACUGACAGUGGCUCACUGGCGACGACUGGCUAGUGGUCCUACCGAUGGUAGUGAGGAUUGAUUGGUUUUUGGGAAAAAAAAUAAAAUGAAGAAAAGAAAAUGAGGUGUAAUAAAAAAAUGGAGAAUUGAGAGGAAGGUGGGAGAAGAAUGGAGAGAGAGAACAUAGAAAAUGAGUGAAAAGAAAUGAGGCUAGUUGGAGGAGGAAGUGGUAGUGUGUGAGCUAAAGUGAAGAAGAAUAGAAGAAGAAAAUGGAGAAGAAUGGGGAAAAAAAAUCCGCCUCCUUAAAUGAAGAGAGGUGGGUAGCCUAAAGAAGAAGAAAAAAUAAAAUAAAAUAAAAUGGGGAGAAAAUGAGAGGGGGUCGGUGGUCUUGUGAAUGAGGUGGUAUGCGUUAGAGAGAGAGAGUGGGUGGGGUUGUUGGGGAAGGUAUGAGAGAGAGAGGAGAGAGAAAAGAAAAAAAAGAAAGAAAAGAAAAAAGAUAAUAUAAAAUAAUAAUAAUAAUAAAAUAAAAUAAUAUACAAAAUAAUAAAAACUAAUAAUUAAAUAGUGAGUGGGCAAAAAAUAUCAUAUGUAAUCGGGAUUUAAUUUUAAGAGUAAAAUUGGGUUAAAAAUUAAUGUAAAAUAAAAUUAGGACAAAUUUUGGGGUAUACAAAUAUGCGCCUCUUCGGUAGAGUCCACGAGUAAAGCAAGUGUAUAUGUGAGCAAAACAAAGUGGGCUCUACUGAAAAACAAGACAAACCACCAAAUUUGUCUUAAUAUGACAUGAACUCUCCCAAAAAAAAAAAAAAAAAAAAAAUCUAAAACCCUACAAAAAUGGCCAAAACGGAAACUCCUAAGGUGCCUUUAAAGUUAUACUAUGGAUCUAGACUCCCUUAGAAAAGCCUCCAAAAAUGGCCCAAAAAUCGGUGUCAAAAUCGAGUAGCAAUCAGACCACUAAGGAGCACAUGAACGAAUGCAUACAAAGGGAAAAAAACCAUACGUGUACCAUACGAUGACAAAAGGCAUAAGGUAUCCAACAAUAUGACUGAUUCACGUGUUACGAGCUCAAAGAACUUUGUCAUGCACCAUGGAGGAAGGGAAACUCUAGAAUAAUGUGAUGAGGAAGUUAUUAGCACAAUGUAAUAGAGUGAGGAAAAAAGUGAUGAGUGCAAAGCUGUGAGGACAAGGUGCACAAUGCUAAUGAAUAUGAAAUGAAUAGCACUAGGCUAUAAUGCAAUGAAUAGCUCAGGGUUGUACCAUAAUGAACAAGUCAAGGAUGUGUAAAGAUGAGGAACAACUCAAGGUUGUAAUGCAAUGAACAACUUAGGGUUGUGAAUGCAAUGAACAGCUCAGCGCAAUGAAUGAAAUGAAUAGCUCAGGGCUGUGAAUGCAAUGAACAACUCGAGGUUGUGGAUGUAAUGAACAACUCAUGGUCAUGGAUGCAAUGAACAGCUCAGGGCUGUAGAUGAACAACUCAGGGUUGUGGAUGUCAUGAACAACUCAAGAAUAGGGGCACUGUACACCCAAAAUGGGAGAUCACGGUCUACGAUUCCAAGUCAAACCACUAAAGGGUGACCAAAAUGAGGGUGAUCAACUCACUAAAAAAGAUGAUCAAAAUGUCUUAAGGGAGAGGAGAUGCCCCAGAUGAAACUUAAAGGAAGUGAGUAGUGCUAAUGAAACUAAAAAAAGAAAAAAUGUCACAACUGAAAUUGAAAAAAUAGCAAACUUAGAUUAAAGUGCAAUGAACAACUUUGGGUUGUGGAUGCGAUGAACAGUACCUUGUUGUAAUGAAAUGAAUAACUCUAAGAUAUGGGCAUUGUACGCCUAAAGAGGGAGAUCGUGGUUUACGACUCCAAGUCAAACCACUAAAGGACGACUAAAAUAAGAUGAUCAACUUACGAUAAAUGAGAAUGCAACUAUCUCGAGAAAAAGGGUAUGCCCCAAAUGACACUCAAUAGUAAAAGAAUGACACAAAUGAAACUAAAACAAGAGGAUGCCACAAAUGAAACUGAAAUGAUAACAGACUCAGUACUAAUGUGUAAUGAACAACUUUGGACUAUGGAUGCAAUGAAUAGCACUGGGUUGUAAUGAAAUGAACAACUCUAAGAUGUGGGCACUAUACGCCUAAGAAAUGAGAUCAUAGUUUACGACUCUAAGUCAAACCGCUAAAGGGCGACUAGAAUAGGAUAAUCAACUCACUAAAAAUGAGGAUGCAACUAUCUCGAGAAAGGGGGUAUGCCCUAAAUGACACUCAACAGUAUAAGAAUGACAUAAAUGAAACUAAAAUAAGAGGAUGCCACAAAUAAAACUAAAAUGAUAACAAACUCAAAACUAAUGUGCAAUGAAUAACUCUAGGUUGUGGAUGCAAUGAACAACACUGGGCUGUAAUGAAAUGAACAACUCUAAGAUGUGGGCACUAUACGCCUAAAGAGGGAAAUCACGGUCUACGACUCCAAGUCAAACCACUAAAGGGCGACUAGAAUAGGAUGAUCAACUCACUAAAAAUGAGAAUGCAACUAUCUCGAGAAAAGAGGGAUGCCCUAAAUGACACUCAAUAGUUAAAGGAUGACACAAAUGAAACUAAAACGAAAUGAUACUACAAAUGAAACUGAAAUGAUAACAAACUGAUAACUAAAGUGCAAUGAACAACUCUAGGCCGUGGAUGCAAUGGACAGCUCAAGAAUAGGGGAACUAUUCGCCCAAAAUGGGAGAUCGUGGUCUGCGACUCUAAGUCAAACCACUAAAGGGUGGCUAAAAUCAAAAUGAUCAAUUCACUAAAAAUGAGGAUCUGAACAUCUCAAGAAAGGGGUUAUGCCCCAAAUGAAACUGACAAUAGAGGGAUGCCCUAAACAGACUGAAAAAAGGAGGAUGCCUUAAACAAACUAACGAAAAAUGGAUGCCCUAAACAAAUUGACGGAAGUGAAAUGCCCUAAAUAAACUGACCAAAGAAGAAUGCACUAAACAAACUCCAAGAAAAAAAAAGAAGAAGUAUGCGAUAUAGAAUCAAAAACACCUAAAACAAAAACAAGAAACAAAGAAUGUGGUUUACAACUAGAAACACCCAAAAGAACCUUAAAGAAGUGACUGGGAUAAUGAACUUAAUGAAAAUGGGGUAUGCCACAGUAAAAGACUCGGAAGUAUCAGCAAAUGGAUCAAACGACCAUGAAAUCAAUAGGAGAUAUGAUGAACCCAAAAAGGGCGUAUGCCCCAACAAAAGAACACUAAAAGGGGGGUAUGCCUUGAUAUGACGACUCACAAUAAUUAAGAAAUGGAUCGAGUAAUGAGAAAAUCUGCAAAAUAUCUUAUGAACUCAAAGAUGGGGGUAUGCCCCAGUGUAAAAUAGUGACCAACAUAAGACACAGAAUGUCACCAUACAAUACACUCUGGGAUAUGCUCAAUGACAAUGUAAUGAAAACAAUAGCCUCAAUCAACAAAUGUUCAAGCAAGACCAUGCAUCACAUAAACUAAAAUAAUAGGCUAAACAAAUGCUAACCAAGUCUCUCAAUCUGAAAUGUAAGCAAGUCAAGACAUGACAUGUCAACCAUCGACAUGAAAACAUCAUCACAAAUACAUCAACAAACUAAUAGUCCCUACUAUCAUGGAAGAUGUAGAACCUAACGUCCAAAGGCAUGUGAAAACUCAACCAAAAAGCUCAAGACUAGUUUGCAUCCUCCUCUAAUAAAAAGAAUGAGAUAAGGUCAUGUAGGAUGAUGAAAUAGGCAAGCUCAAUAUUCGUUAGGCUCUACCAAGAUGGAUGUAGGUAUAAUAGUGUCAAAGGUAGGAUGUCUAGAUGUCCAACGAAGGAAACUGGGUAUCCAAGUCAAACCAAGUAUGUUGAGGAAACUGAAGCCAUAGGACAAUAACUUUAUGAUCCAUUGAAAAUAGCAAUCAUGAAUAGAAGGUCGAGUCUCGAUGUCAAAAUCAACAAGGUGGCAUUGCCCCAGUAUGAAUACAUCUUCUCAAAAUGGGUAAACCCUCAGUGCAAGAUAAUCUCUAGAUAGUAUGUGUCUAGUAUAAACUGUCAUCUCACAAAAUCUAUCACUGAUGAGUGGGCUAUACCCCAGUGUAAGCAUUUCCAAAUCAAACAUCGAUGAGAGGAGUACAACCAAUCAUACAUAAUAUGAUCAAAACAAAUCUCCACUCCUCAAAGUCAUCAUGGUAACGUGAAGAGAGUAUCUAACCUCAUUUAAAGAAAGAUCAUGUCCCAAUGUGAAAAAUAUCAAGCAAAGUGGUAUGUCUCAACAAAAAUGCACUCUAACAUGAUCAUGCCUAGAUGUAAGCUGGUAUCUUUAAGAUCAAUCACCAAUGAAAGGGUUAUGCCCCAGUAUAGGGCAAUCUCUGAAAUGACUAAAAUCCGCUACAAGCUCUCACAAGUGUCUAUGUCAUGAACCAAUCAUCUCAAAAAAUAAAUAAAUAAAUAAAUAAAUCUAUCAACAAUGAUGAGAAGGUUAUGCUAUAAUCACAUCAAGAAAAUCACUCGGUCAUAUCUUGUACUCCAAUGUGAAAGGAAAAUAUGAUCACCUCUAAAGAAUGGCUAUGCCCCAAAAUACAUCAUCGAUUGAGAAAUAUGCCCCUACGUAAAGUACAUCAACUGAAAUAUGCCAAUCAUGCCUCAUGUUCCAAUGUGAAAAAUGACAUAUAAUAUUCUUUGAGGGAUGGUCAUGACUCAAAAUCCAUCAUCAGUUGAGAGAAGUAUGCCCCGACAUAAUGGUCAUCUAAAAAAUCAAUCUCCGACUAAGAAAUGUGUGCCUUGAUGUGAUGUAUCAAGCAAACUGGCUGCAUACCCCAUAAAAAACUCUCUAAGGUGGCUAUGCUCCAAUGUUGGAUCAUACCACAACUCCUGGUCUAUCACAAUCAAAAUGCUCUCCAACCAAUCCCAAGUAUCGCCCACAUGAGAGCUAUCAAACACAAUGUGUGAUGUCAUGGCCUCAAGGUGGUCUUAAGAUUCAGGACGUAACGUAGGCUAGGGUAAUAAGGUGAAGAAAUGAAGGAAAACUAGGCUUAAUAAUCCUAAUGAUAAAACCCCAUACCCUUAUGUAUAAAAUGCAAUAUGUGCAAAGAGUCUUAUAAACCAUGGAUCUAAGGACACCCAAUAUGAAUAUAUCAGUGAGGAAGAAAGAAUCUAAGAUGAAUAUAUCAAUGAUAAAAGAGAAGAAAUGAAGAAUAUCAAACUGCUGAUGGGAUGUAUAAGAAUGAUGUGUGGAAAAUAUUGAACAUGGAAUGUAAAUUGAUAUGAACAAAGAACAAUGUAGGCAAGGCAAAUGCGAUAUCAUGAUAAGAACAAAUAAAUCGAAGAAAAAUGAAUGAACACUAAUCCACUCAAAUCAAGUCAUGGAGAAUAGUCAAAUCACCAACGUAUGUAAUGAUGGAGAAGACAAUGAUUCGAAGUCCCUAGGAAAAUGUCACUUGUUUGUCACACAUAAAAUACAUAACGAGAUAGACACAAAAAUAUGAGAGUUUUUUGAAAGUUCACAUACGAACUUUCAUAAGCAACUAACUCAAUAAAGCAACCUCAAUGACCAAUAUAUACACUCAAUAAAGGAUGACACUGUAUACAUGUGUUUAUUACUUUUUCUUUUUCAUUUUUUUCAUUUUUGUUUUUAUUUUUUUUCUUUUGCUCGCGCAUACUCUGAAUAUCAAUAAAUGAACUUCUCUGAGAAUACAUAAUGAAAUGGAUAUACUCUCAAACAAUGAUGUAAGCGAACUCUCUCUGACAAGAUGACCCUCUAAAUUAAGGAUUUUCAAACUAACGUCCAUGAGAUAGGAGUGGAAGGGGAUAUGACCAUCCUCCCUGCACCGAAAUGUGAAAAAUCAUCACUCAGGGCACAAAAAAAUGUGAUGAAAAAAAAUAAAAAAUGAAACAAAAGAUAUAAACAAUGAAGUAUGAUGAAGACUGAUGUUGGGAAGACAAAAAAAUAGUGAAGAAUGUGAGCCAAUAAGUCCACAACUCAUGAAACUCUCGAAUAAAAUAUAUAUAUACACCAAAAGACCCUUAUCCCGGUGUAAAAUGUGAGCAAGGAUAUAAGAAAGAAAAGACUAUGGUGCUCAUGUGAGGUUCAAAGGGCUAGCAACGGUCCAAAUGUCAAUAAAGGUAAUAGGGUGUGAGCUAACCAAAAUGAAGGCCACCUAUGAUGGUCUGAAACAUCAUGCUCUUAAGCUUUCAAUGAUCAAUACUGAAAAUCGAUGUCCAUUUGAUAUAAACACGUCAACCCUUUGGAAUUGUGCGCCAAACCAUACUCCAAAUGCUCCAUAAUAAUCUCAAAGAUAAUCCUCUCAAAGCAAAGUAAAUAGCGAUCUCAUAAGGCACAACUACUCAUCACAAGCCAACUCUCAUCAUGCAAGAUCAAUCUCUAUUUUCAUGGAAAAAUAAGUGACAAUCUCAUCAGGUAAUCGACGAAUCCUCACAUCAUAAACCAACCAAAGAUCAUAAGUCAUUCAUUGCCAUGCAAGAUCAAUCCCAGACUCAAACUCCUCAUACUCUACCUGGUUGGAUUAGAGAAGAAAUGGGCAAAACUAGAAAAACUGAAGAUGGAAAGGUCAUAUAAUGGUGUCAAGGGUGAUGUUGUGCAAAACUCACAAUGGAUGGAUGUAGGUCAAAGCAAAGUCAAUGUGUGAGAGUGAGUAAGGCACUACUCUGAUCAUAAGAAGAUGGGUCACAAUCUCAAACUCCUAAGGUCAAAUCUCCGAUCCUAGGCUAAUAAGCUCAACAUCCUCCAUGAUAGGUCAACCCCCAAGAUCACAAUGUGCAAAUGAAUAGAUGCCUCAAGUCAAAAGUACAACACAUCAUAUGAUAUAUGGUCCUACGAUGACAAUCUAAAACUGGAAAUAUGUUAGAAACUCUAAGGUCAUAAACGUGUCCACUGUGAGAUGACUAUAAAUGUGACUAAGGAAUCUUUAUCAAUAAUCCAAAAAAUGAAUGAAGUGUGAAAAACAACACUAUCAUGAGAUCGAUACCCCAUCAAUAACAAAAUAUCUCUAAUUCACUUUCAAUCUAAACUCUAUAAAGAAAAACGAUAAGGUUAUAAAGGCAAACCUCUCAAAAAUGGUGUGAAUGUGAAAACAUGUCUUCACCUUUCUAUAAUGAAAAUAUCAUGUUGAAAAUAGAAAUAGGCAAAUCGACCAAAGAAUGAAGUACGGAGCCCAUGACAAGUGAAGAAUGUAAAAAGGUGAACAUGAUCAAUGAACAUAUCCCAAAACAUCAAGCAUAAAGUGACAACAAACCAAAAGAAUGUGUCAACUUAAGAAAAGAAGACUAUCUGAAGCCCCAGGGAAAAAGUGUGCUAGACUCAACGAGCGACAAGAAGAAACUAAAACCAUAUAGCAAGAGGUGGUCCAACUGAUACUCAAACUCGUACCAAUAUCUAAGCACUCUCGACUGGAGACCAAAAGAUGGAGUAUUGGAUCCAUAUUGUGACUAAAGUGGCCUCGAAGGCUCUCAGAUGCACCCACGUGUAGGAAAGGAAAUCCUAGUAAAAAUAUCUAAGGCUUAACCUACAAGGUCAAGGCGGCUCUAAAAAGAAAAAUUGAGUGGACUUUAAAGGAUUCCUAGCAAAAGCGAUCAUACCCUCCGAUGGUACGCAACCUCCUACACGUCUUGAAAUAUAUGGGAGUGAUUCCAUGCAAGGUGGUCAUCACCUCCACACAUGCACUAUCUCAUAUCCUAGAGGGUUUCCUAAUGAUGAAGACUCUUACAUCUCUCAACACUUAGUGGUAAUCUAAGGUGCACAGUGAAUGGUGUGGGUUCAUCCAAAAAUCCUAUCAAGCUAAGCAAAGAGAAAACACAUUGGUCACACAAAUAUCUUGAAAUAUAGCUCUAACCUAUACAAGUCUUCAAAGAUUGGACUCCAAUUAGCAUUAAUGUUUCGACCUUCUCCAGAAUGCUCCCAAACAUAGAUAUAGUCCAUCACUAAAUCCUACUCCGAAUCACUAGCUCGGUCGAAGAGCAAACAAAGUAAUAAGUCUCAUAUCAAAUAUGAGAUCAAGGGGAACAUGGUCACCCAAGACUAGGGAAUUGAAGUAAGGGGAUAGAUGUGUGUCCCACAUAGAAAAGCAACAUGCAUCACACAGAAGAAGAAUAGUCAUGCAAUAGACAACCAAGCAAAGAACAGGUAUAUCAUUCAUAUCUACACACAAGCUAAACAAGAAAUAGGUAUUUAACAAGAAUAAACAAUAUGUUGAGAUAAACAAGAUAAUAUACAAUAAAGAGAAUCAAUCACACCAAUAUGAAUGAGAUAUACAAAAAUGAGAAUAUACAUGUCAAGGAGAACAAGAUAAUCAUACAACAAGAAGAGUCUUAUGUUAAAGCAAGCAAGAGAAUCAAUCGAUGUAGUCAACAUGUCAAUAUCGCAAAUGAACAUAACAACCAAAUAUGCAUCAUAAAGAAAAAAUGGUAAUCAUGCAGCACACAGUCAUACAAAACAAAUACAAACAAACAUAAGCAAAUAAAUGUAAACACACAUGAUAACAAAAAUCAAUGUAUAGUAAGGCACAUGCAAUAUAUACAUAAAAUAAUCAUCAAGUCAACACUCAUAUACCUUAAAACAUGAAAAUAUACAAUAAAGACACAACGAGAGGGUAUUCACUGAUCGAUUAAUCAAACACUACAUUUCCCUUAACUCAAGUUCAAGUUUGAUCCUUUAAAUAUCCCUAGUGGAGUCGCUAUUUUGUGGACCCACAUUUUUCAAAUGCGUCCUUACACAACAGCGAGACUCAUUUUUUUUAUUUGGUGAAAAUUUGAUUUUGAGAAAAAAGACUUUGAGUUGUCACUUAUUUUUGUUUUUUUUUAAGGGAAAACAAAACAAGAAAGAAAACCUUGUGUGACUCCUUAUUUGGGAAAGACAUGUAUGCAAAAACCAAAUCUGGAUUCGGGGGUCAAGUUACCUAUUGGGAAUGUACGAUGGUGAGCUGUAGCACCUCUCUAAGCUCAUAUACGUACGGUCUCUACUAAACGAAUUAAGAGAAUUGUAGUAAUUAAUUAAUUAGUCAAGGAUACCAAGAAAAAGAAUCGCACAAAUGAGUACAUACAAAUCAUGAUAAAAAAAAUCAAAUUAUAAGAAUAGACAAAAUAAAUAACAAGAGAAUUGUGCAAAGUGAUUUAUUAAACUAAAUAAAAAAGAAGAUAUUAAAAAAAUUAGUUUUCAAGAAAUUUCAAAGGAUUUUAUUAAAAUGAUUUUGAAUUAAUGAUUUUAAUUUAUUUAUUUACAAAAAAAAGUCAAUUUAUUUUCUUCAAUUGAUUUGAUUCAAUUUCAUUUGUAUUCAAUUUUUUUUUUAAAAAAAAAAAGUUAUUUACACUCAUGGUUGUUAAAAGAAUUAUUAACAAAAUUUCAAGUUGACAAUAAAAAUGAUUUUUACUUGCUUUUACUCGAAAACAAUGAAUUUUUACAAUUUUAUUAACAAAAGCAUUUCAAUUUAAGAAAAGUGACUUAAACAAAUUAUUAAAAAAAUAUAACUUUAUCUGCAAAAGAAUUUUUAAUUAAAAAGAAAAAAUUUAAAUCAUCUAUUUCUAAAAAUGACUUUUAAUCCCAUUUUAAUUAAGAAAAUUUGAGUUAUUUAAAAAAACAUUUUUUGGACAAUUUGAAUAAAAAUUAAUUUUUGGGACAACUUUAUUUACAAAAAAAAUUUUGGACAAUUAUUAUUAAAAACAAAAUUUCAAAUUCUAUUAAAAACAAUUUUUUGGAUUUUUCCAAACACAUUUUUAUGAAUUUUUAUUAAUAAAAAACUUUUUUUUAUUAAGAAGAAUAUUUUUUGAGCUAUUAUUUUAUUAAAACAUGUUUAUUGAAUUAUUCUUCUUAUUCAAACAAAAUUUUUAAUUUGUUCAAUAUCUAAUUCUGUACACAACAAGUAAAUAUAUACAAACAAAUAUUUAUAAAAACCAAUAAAAAUAAAACCAAAUAGAAGUGAGAAAUAAAACAUGUUCUUAAACAAGCUUACAACAAGCUCAAUGUCUUCUUACGACUUUUCGAGUCUCACUUUCUUUCAUUAAAUUUUAUGCUCCACGUACCAUAAAUCCGUACUCAACCAAAAAAAUUGCAGAAUUGGCCCAUGCAAAAACAAAAAUAACACAAAUGUAAAUAUCUAAAAAUGAAUAAAGUUCACAAUAGAUAUUCAAGUCCAAAUUCAAAUUUCAAAUUAGUCCAACAAAUUUCGUCAAUCAAAAUAAGUCUAAAUUAGCAAAUAUAGCCCAACAAAAAUAUCUCACAUGUCAUAGGCCUUAAUAUAAAAUUUCCAAAUUAAUAACCAAAAUAUAAGUUCAAUUAAUCAAACCCAAAACAUGAUACAUUAAAAUAAAUCUCAUUAGGCCUAAACUUAAUAUCUCAUAAUUCAAGCCUAAUUUAAUAUAUAAACCUAAAUCCACAAUCAAAAUCAACUCACUUUAUGCUAAUCCCAAUUUAUAAUCAAAAUCAAACAUAAUUUAAUAAGUAAAUAACUAAAUAAAUUAAGCAAACUCAAAACUCUCAAACCACUAUUGCAUAAUAUCAAACAAUAAUAAAUAUAAUGACAACAAUAAUAAUAAUAAAAUAAAAUAAAAAAAUUUAACUCACGUUGGAGCCAGUUUGAGUGUCGUGGGAAAGAAAAAAAAUGAGAGAAAAGUGGGAGAUGAUCGUUAGCUGGUAGUGGCUUGCCGGCGGCGACUGGUCGAUAGUCCUACUGGCGGUAGUGAGGAUUGAUGAGUUUUUGGGAAAGGAAAAAAAAAGAGGAGUAAUAAAAAAAAAAAAAGAGAAAUGAGAGGAAGGUGGGAUAAGAGGGGAGAGAGAGAAUGAAGAAAAUAGGGGAAAAUAAAUGAGGCCGGCCGGAGGAGGAAGUGGUAGUGUGUGUGAGCUAAAGUGAAGAAGAAUGAAAGAAGAAGAAGGAGAAAAAUGGGAAAAAAAUUCGAGCCCUCUAAAUGAAGAAAGGUGAGUAGCUUAAAGAAGAAAAAUAAAAAUAAAAAAAGAAAAAAUGAGGAGAAAAUGAGAGGGCCAGUAGUCUUGGGAAUGGGGUGGUAUAGGUGAGAGAGAGUGGGCGAGGUUGUUGGGGAAGGUAUGGGAGAGAGAGGAGAGAUAAAAGAAAGAGAAAAAAAAACAUAAUAAUAAUAAUAAUCAUAAAUAAUAUAUAAAAUAAUAAAAAUUAAUAUUUAAAUGAUGAGUGUGUCAAAAAUAUUAUAUGUAAUUGGGAUUUAAUUUUAAGAGUAAAAUUGAACUAAAAAUUAAUGUAAAAAUAAAAUUUGAACAAAUUUUAGAAUCUACAAAUACAUUCUUUAAUCUUUCCACAACAUCAAUCUGAUCUAAAUGAAAUGCAAUAAAUUCUAAAAAUGAUACAAUCUUUAAUCAAUCCACAACAUCAACCCGAUCAAAACUCAAUGCAAUAUUGCUUAAUGGAGAGAAUCGUAAAAUCCUUUUAUGAGAGGAAAAAAAAACCCUUAACAGACCUUUAUGAGAGGAAAAUAGGAAAACAUAGAACUAAAAACCCUUAACGUAUUCAUGAGAAUAAAAAAAUCCUUAACACCUUAAUAAGAGGAAAACAAAGAAUUUGAACAAUCCUUAAUCCAUCAAAAGCUCUUAAUAUGAACGAGGGGAAAACAUAACCUUUAUUUUUCAUAUCAUUGAAUACAGAAUCUAAAGAGAUAGAAUUUUUAGUUAUUAAGGAUUUUUUUAUAAAUGUCUAUUGAAAGUUUAAGAACUUUUAUGGAUAAGUGUUAAUUAAGAGACUGAAAGGGUACUUAGGAUUUUCAACUAAAAAAGUUAUAACAAUAUGAAUCGUAAGAACUUAAAAACAUCACCCAUCCAUAAGAGGAAUAUGGAAUGAGAGGUUAUUUUUUUACUUAUACAACAAUAAACUUUUUUGGAAGAGGUUUUUCUAAGUACAAAAAGUUAUGAAUAAAAAACCAUUGUUACGAUGAGUUAACUAAAAUAGAAUUAAUUUAGAAAAUAUCAAUAAAGUUGCAUGAAUUAUUAUCAUGAGUUAACUUAAUAAGAAUAAAUAGUAAUAAAGUUAAUGAAGUGAAUUUGGAUUGGCAGAUAUAUUUGAUGAUAAGAUUUUUUUAAUAAUAAAAAAUUAUUAUGGCAGGAAAAAUAGGACAAAAUUGACCUUAUGAUAAGAUUUUUUUAAUAAUAAAAACAUUAUUAUGGUAUGAAAAAAAGGGACAAAAUUGGCCUUUCCUUAAUUGUACCGGUUAAUGGAAUAAUGGGACAUGCGGUGGUUACAAGCCACCCCAAAAGGUAGGAAGAAUCUCCAACCCCCAUUCUCGGCUCCCUUAUCUUUUCCCUUACAACCAAAAAUCAACAACUAUCUUAGAAUGUCCUUCAGUCCACCAAAAUUCAACAACAACAUUACAAUAAUGAAAACAAAAUUGAUUGAUCACCAGCUAACAUUAGGAGAUUAUAAGAUAAGGAUGUAAUUGCAAUUAUUGAAAUCACUUAAAGAGUAAAAGUUAGGAACAUGCUCACAAUAAAUAAAAUCACCUUAGAAUUAAAAAUUAGGGACAUGAUUAUGAUGAUUAAAAUCACUCGAGAACUAAAAUGUUUUAGAGAUACAAUAAUUGAAAUCAACUGAAAAAUAAAUUCGGGAUGUGAUCGCAAUUAAUGUAUAUAUAAACAACCAAAUGUUGAAAGGAAAAACUAAUGAAAUUAAUAUGAUUUUCUUUUAGAUUUCUCUUGACACCAAACAAAUGUAAGGAAGUUUAUAAAGGAAAAUUAGGUUUUGAUUCACUAAAUUAAAAUAAUAUAGAAAAAAGAUCUUCAAAUUUUAUAUAUCAGUUUUAUUUUUAUUUAUUUAAAAAUAUUUUAAAAUACAUAUAUUUUUUCAUAACUCAAAUAGUCAUUCCUCAAAUGCUAGUUUUACUUGUUAUGUUAAUAACACUAGUUAAUAAUUUUUUAUUGUGAGAACGAUUUAAGAUUAAUAAAAUAAGAAAAUUUUAAAACUAAAAAGACAUUUAAAACUUUAAAAUUAAAAAUAUAAAAAUAAAACAAUAAUUUUUCAUUUAGUAAAACACGCCAGUAGAAAAUAUAGAUAUAGAGAAAGAGUUGGAAAUAAAAUAAGAGUUAAUAUUUUAUUUUUAAAAUUUUAUGUUUUUUAUUUUAAUUGUAUUUAAUUUUAUGUAUUUUAGUUGUAAUUAUAUUUUUAAUUUUUAAAUUUUUUUUUAUUUUAUUGUUGAUGUAAACUAAUAAAUUUUUUGUUCAAUUAUAUAUAUAUAUAUAUAUAUAUAUAUAUAUAUAUAUUUAAAUUAGUGAGUAAAAACCCACUUUUUCUAAUUUAUAAUAUAUUUAUGGGAUUUUAUAAUAUAAGAAAUUUUUUUUUAGAAAGAGGAAAAAUCAACAUUUCAAUUUCCCUUCAUUAUUAUUAUUAUUAUCCAAUUUGGUUGAUUAUGAGAUUAGUUGGUAUCAUUACUAUAUCCAUUUGUCCUUAACCCUUCAUUAGAAUAGUAUUAGGAGUUGAACGUCAGUUGGAAUACAGGCUAUGGAAACAAAUCUAUCCGAUUAGUAGGUUCUUGUUAUUUUCAAUAUAGACCCCAUAAAAUAAAUAGGAGAUAUGAGAUAAGACUGUGACAAAAUUGGCGGUUACUUCCCGACACCUGGCUCUCCACAAACAAACCCAGUGAUCCAGAAAUUAAUUGGUACCUGGACACGUGACUACCAAACGUUCGCUCACCCACCAUACCCAUGGCCUCAUGCCCCAUAUAUUUCCACAAACCUAGCUCAAUUUUCAUAGCCACCUUCACUGUCCUACACUCACUAAGCCAUGGCCAUAGAUACAAGCCUCUUGCUUGAGUUUGCUGCAGCAACUCUACUCUUCUUCAUCACCCGCUUCUUCAUUCGUUCUAUCCUUCCCAAACCUUCCCGGAAGCUCCCCCCUGGCCCCAAAGGGUGGCCGCUCCUCGGCGCUCUUCCUCUCGUAGGUAACAUGCCUCAUGUUGCAUUAGCAAAGAUGGCCAAAAGAUACGGGCCUGUCAUGUUCUUGAAAAUGGGCACUAACAGCAUGGUGGUGGCCUCAACUCCCGAGGCGGCUCGGGCUUUCCUUAAAACGCUAGACAUUAAUUUCUCUAGCCGCCCGCCUAAUGCCGGUGCCACACUCUUGGCCUAUCAUGCCCAAGACAUGGUUUUUGCGGAUUAUGGGGCAAGGUGGAAGCUACUGAGAAAGCUAAGCAACUUACACAUGCUUGGUGGAAGGCUCUUGAGGACUGGUCUCAGGUCCGAGCUGUUGAGCUAGGCCACAUGCUUCGAGCCAUGCUUGAGUUGAGCCAGCGAGCGGAGCCGGUGGUGGUGCCGGAGAUGUUAACUUUUUCCAUGGCCAACAUGAUAGGGCAAGUGAUACUAAGCCGCCGGGUGUUUGAAACAAAAGGGUCGGAGUCAAAUGAGUUCAAGGACAUGGUGGUGGAGCUCAUGACCACUGCUGGGUACUUCAAUAUUGGCGAUUUUAUUCCGUCCAUCGCAUGGCUGGACAUCCAAGGGAUCGAGCGCGGGAUGAAGCAUUUACAUAAGAAGUUCGACAAGUUAUUGACAAGGAUGAUAGAGGAGCACACGGCAUCAGCCCAUGAGCGCAAGGGAAACCCAGAUUUUCUGGACGUAGUCAUGGGCCAUCAAGGAAAUUCUACAGGGGAGAAGCUCACCCUUACCAACAUUAAGGCGCUCCUCCUGGUAUGCAUAGUUAAAGCUUGUCUUUAAUUUUGUUUUCCGAUAUUUUCUUUCCGGAAACAGCACUUUUAUUGCUUUUAUAUCAGGUAGCCAUUUUAGGGGCACAUCACUGUUCUUUAUUUGCAUUUUUUUUUGUCUUUUUUCACUUGCAUGGUUGUUUUCAUAUGCUCAGCUGCAUGGCACAGGAAAAUUGGGAAAAAUGAUUGGUUCUCUGAUCAGACCUUCUGCACCAAAACACACUUCUCUCUAUUUUAUAAAAUCAAGAACAUUUAUGGUUUACAUGAAUUUUCGAACUUGAACUUUUGCUAGGGCUAAUGCAUGGAUCUCAAUUUUCAAUUGCGUUUGAUUACAUAAAUUUCAAGUAUGUCACCACAUUUUUGUUUCCUUGGCUAGAAUUUAUUUACUGCAGGAACAGACACUUCAUCAAGCGUAAUCGAGUGGUCUCUGGCUGAGAUGUUGAAAAACCCGAGCAUCCUCAAGCGUGCUCACGAAGAAAUGGAUCAAGUGAUUGGAAGGAGCCGGCGGCUCGUGGAGUCUGACUUACCAAAACUUCCAUACCUACAAGCCAUAUGCAAGGAAAGCUUCCGGAAGCACCCAUCCACCCCAUUGAACCUUCCUCGUGUCUCAACCCAGGCAUGUGAAGUGAACGGCUACUACAUCCCAAAGAACACUAGACUUAGCGUGAACAUAUGGGCAAUCGGGCGAGACCCUGAUGUCUGGGAAAGCCCGGAAGAAUUCAGGCCAGAAAGGUUUUUAAGUGGAAGAAAUGCAAAAAUUGAUCCUCGUGGAAAUGAUUUUGAGUUGAUCCCGUUUGGGGCUGGACGAAGGAUUUGUGCUGGCACUAGAAUGGGAAUAGUGCUAGUUGAGUACAUUUUGGGGACGUUGGUACACUCAUUUGACUGGAAAAUGCCGGAUGGAGUUGAGAUCAACAUGGACGAAGCUUUCGGGCUUGCUCUGCAGAAGGCAGUUUCUCUUUCGGCUAUGGUGACACCAAGGCUUCACCAGAGUGCGUAUGCAGUCUGAGCUCAAGCUGUUCAGACCAAAACCCAGGCCUAGCUACUAUAUGGCAUGGAUUUGUUUCAGUUUCCUUUGGGUUAGUAUAACGGUAUAAGAUGUAUUAGCUCAAAGAUUGGGAGUUUCAUUCUACCACCAUGCCAUAUGCCUAUCCGUGAUCUAUAAAUUUAGCUUCAGUUUGGUUAUAGUUUCUAUUUUUCUUUUGUCUUCGUAAUCAGUAAAUAAUAGUAACCUUUAUAUAAAAUAUAGUAACUCUUGCAGCUAUUAUACCAUGUACAAUAAAAGUACAGUGGUUUUGGAAAAUACAAUGAAACAGUGAGUUUGAUUUUUUAUUUUUUAUUUUUUAAUAAAAUAAAAUGUUGGAAAAGAGAAGUAAAUAAAGGAAGAUAUAUUAAGAGUCUAUUUGACAUUACUUAUAAUGAAAGUGUUUUUAUUAUAAGUGUUUUCUUUAUUAUAAGUGUUUAAAAAUCACUUUGAUGAGAAUUUAAAAAAAUGAUUCUAAUAGUGUUUUUAAUAAUAUAUUAUAUAAGUAAAAACCACUUUUAAUAAUAAUAAAUUACUAUAAAAAAAAAGACAUUUAUUAUAAAAAGAAAAUAUUAUAAUAAACCAAAAACUUUUAUUAAAAAAAAUAUAUACAAAUAUUUAAUUGUUAAAAAAACUCAAAAAUUAUUUUUAUGAAAAUGAAGUGAAAGAGGAAGAGGAGAGUAAGAAGAAAAAAGAGAGUUAAAAGGAAAUGGAGGAUAGCGAGAAAUUUUAUUUUAGGAAUAUAUAAAAAAAAUUUGAAAUAUUUUUUUAAAGAAACACCUCUCAAGUGCUUUUCUAAAAAAACACUUCAAGUGCUUUUCUAAAAAAACACUUCAAGUGUUUUUUAAAAUUUUCAUAAGUGUUGUUCAAAAUAUUGUCAAACACAUAUUUUUUUUAUCUUAAAAAAGCAUUUAAGUGUUUUUAGGGCUAAAAGCACUUCUAAAAAGCAUUGCCAAACGAGCUCUAAAUAAUUCAUAUUUCCUUGAAUUUAUAUUUUUAUUUUCUCUCUAUGAAUUUUCCUUUAUUUCAAAUACAAAAUAUAUUUUAAAAGGUUAAUUUUAUUUACUUGUCUUAAGGUUUUUGUUAGAUACACUUAAUUAUCAUUUAUUUGAAAUUUCAUUAAUUAUCUUUCUUAUCCUUUCCGUUUCUUAAUUUGUCAUGUACUUGAGAAAGUCAAUUUCAUUAUCAUCUUUACUUCUUGAACCUUGACUUAAAACUCCAACUUCACACAGGAUAUGAUAUAAAUUAAGAAAAGACUUAUUAAAAGUAGUAACGUUCUACUUUAGUUUAAAAAUGUUAACAAAAAUUAGAGGAGAAUUAACUAAAAUAUACUGAAUUUUAAAUCAAGCUAACAUAUUAUAAACCAUUGGAAAACCCACGUGAUUAAAUAGCUUUCUUGUAGUCUGACAAAGGAAAGAAAUUACCUGAAAAGAAUGGCAAAAAUGGAACUGCAUCUUAUGACCUAUAAUCACAUGAUUUCCACACUUAGAGCAUCCAUUGCCAAGAAAGACGUCGAUCAUAUCACCUUAAUUUUGUAAUAAUUCAAUGCCUCUUUUUGUAAAGCCAUAUCAUAAAUAUAAUGAAAUUAAAAGACAAAUUAAUCAAUCAAAUAAUAAAAUUUUGAAAUUUACAUGGUAGUAGGUGAGGGAAUUGUUCAGUUAAGAAUGAAGAGAGACCACACUCGAGGAAAUAUUAUUGAGGGCAUAGAUGUUGACUUUCCAUAUUCACACCUAAUUAAAAAGGUGAUUAAGAAAAUAAACAAAAACAACCCAAAAAGAGUGAAAGAUAUAUUGUUAGGAAAGAUUGUUCAAAAUGAUCCCGAGUUAUAAAAAUGAACUCUUUCAUUAAGAUGACCUUUUUGAAUACUUUUAUCCUUCUUUUUUUUUUUUCUUGCCUUCAAAAUUAUAAAUCUUUCCUUUAUUUAUGUUAUUUUAUUUACUUUAUUAUUUUUCUAAUUUUUCAUUUAUUUCUUCUACUUACUUUUUCUCUUCUAUGAAGUCUUUCAUCUUUAGUUUAGUCAUGUCUUAUGAAGCUAAUUGUAUUUCCCUCCUUAGCUUACUCUCUAAGUUGUUAGUAAUCCUUGAUCUCAUCUCAUAAUGCACUAUCCCACGAUUCUUUCUUGCAGUCCAUUUUUAUUUUCAUUCAAGGUGUUCAUUAAAAGUACACAAGGGCUAAAUUUAAAUUAUAAGAGUUAAUUUCAAUUACAUUCCCUCAAGUUUUGGCUUAGAUACGCCUUACUUCAACUUAUUUGAAAUUUCAUCAAUUAUCUCUUUUAUUUUAAGUGAAAGGGGAGGUGAGUAUAAUUAAUAAAUGAAAAGGUAGGGGAUAUAUUUGAAGAAAUUUCAAAUUAAUGGGCGAAGGUGUAUUUAGCUUAAAUAUCAGGGAAAGCGAAUUAAAUUAAUCUUAUAAAAAACUUAAUUGAGAUUAAAUUCUCGUUAAGUAUCGUUACUUAAUCUAUCAUGAGAUUAAGUUCAAAAUCAUAAUAUAUAGUGAUGAGAUCUCAAACUUCAUAUCUUAACACAGUCAAUUGAACUUAUCUUGAUGAGUUUGAAGUCUCAAAAUUGUUUUGAGAUCCCUAACUAAAAAUAAUUGCUAAGGCCCUUAAUUUUUUUAUUAAAAUGUCUGUGAGCUUGAUUGAGAUCAAUUUGGAUUACUUUUAGAGAUUCUAGAGGAAUUUAGAAGAAUAUAUAAAGGAAAAAACUUAGGGAAGAUGAAAAGUGCUAGUUAGAGCAGCCUUCUAUUGCACCAGAAGAAGUGGGCGCACCCUUCUACUAUGUCAAAAGGACUUGACGCAUCUGUAUAAGUACGCUAGGAAGGAAAAUAAAGCAACAAGCCGGCCUUUGACUUGAGAAUUGGAGAACCCUCUCCCAGACUUAAGUGGCACACCUUUUAAGUGCGCCAAGGAAAAGAAAGAGUUGUGGCUCAACCCCAUCAAGGAUUGAUAGGCAUACUCCGUCCACUAAAGAUUAAAUGUGUUAGCACAUCUCUUAUCUCUCUCCAUGAACAAAUGGUGCAUUUAAUUAUACAUACACUGUAAGCAUUGGGCUGCCUAUCCGAUGGUGCAAUUCAAAAGCUGUGGCAUGUUUGGUCAACGUAUGAGAAGCAUCCUCUUGCAUCCAACAAUCUUGCAUGGGUGGGGCACACCCAACCUAAGUGUUCUCGAAGUUUGGAUGGUGUUGGAGCUGUUCUUUCCAAACUUCCAGCUUCUUCUUGUCUCACGUUCACCUGCAAUGCAAGGUUUACCCGGUGAAGCCCCGGGCAGACCCCUCCGAUGGUUAAGUCUGUUGGAGUGUGAGAAGCCAACUUCUUUUUAAUUUUUCUUCUUAGCUGUGUUCUUAUACAUCUCUUCACUUACCGCCGGGACCGGAGAUAAUGGGGGCAUUUUCACCACAUCACUGCCCACUUCGCCACCUUCUCAUGGCAGCAAGCUUUUUGGGCUAACCGCUCCCACCAUUUUUGGCGGCUAGCCCCUUCAACACCUUUCACAUUACUUACCAUAUUUCUUUCUGGGCCAGAGACUCUGUCUAGUCCUCCAAAUUCACCUCUUAAUUUUAAAUGCUUGGGCCCAGGCCCAUUGGUCCAAAUUCGGCUCUUAAUUUUUAUCCCUUGGAGGAGUGUUUUUAGUUUUUCUUCUUGAAAUACUUUGCAGGUACAAAACUGUAUGAGCUUUUUGUUCAUGGAGUUCUAUGGGAUUCUUCGAAAAUGAAUGAAAUUCAAUUUUAAAAGAAGUCUUUUGUUUCUUUGCUUGAGUAAUUUUUUACCUUAAGUUUAAUUUCCCUCGCAUGUUCUAUCCAUGAAGCACUAAUUCACUUUACUGUUGUGGGUUGAAAGGGGUUGUAUCCCUUGCAACUCAAUUUAGUCCUCAAUGGUUUCAAAGGGUAGCGGAUAGGGAGGUGAAGUUCAUGAUUGCAGCAAAUGCAUGCAUGUUGUAGCAUUCUGAGAGCCCUAAGCUAAGCAACUCCAUGAGCAUGUUUGUACCUUAUAUAUUUAGCUUUCACUUCCCUUUGAGGUUGAAAAUACUAGGUGUUACACGGAAAAACGAAAAUAGGCAAUAAGAAAAUAUGAAUAAUUUAUGUGAAAAAUCCUAAACAAAAAAACUAAGGAUAAAGAAAAUCCACUAAAUUAAAAAUUGGUACAAAAACAGAAAGAAUCCAACGACUAUUGUAUAAUCCUAAAUCCUAUACACUAUCGCAUAUAUAUAUGAGAAAAAAUAAAUAAAGCAGGUCCAUAUCGUAGGGGCAAUCCUCUGCACCCACAACAAAAUCAAUAAUGGGUUAAAGUAUAAUUUUUCUUCACCAUAUAUAUCAUACCACAAAUUUUUCAAGUCAAACCAAAAAACAAUUCAUAUCAUCAAGCUCUAACAUUAAAAAAAGAUGAAAACAAAUCUUUGUAUUAUGGUUAUGGGAGUAACUUUAAACCUUAAAAUUCUCAUUCAAGCUUUUCCAAAUGAAAUAUAUUAAUAUUAAGUUUUAUUUAAAUAAUCUAUUUUUCCGCAGAUAUAACGAUGAGUUGAAAUUUAGACUUAUUUAAUUUGUUUAUGUCAAACAUUCAAAUCUAAAAUACAUAUAACAAAAGAUCAUGGGAAUUUAUAAUAUAAACAAUUUUUAUGCAAAGGGCCAAUUGUAAAUAAUAGAAUACUAUUUUCAAAAGAGAUCCAAAUCAAGUCGUUGUUUUUAAUAAAUAAAUAAAUAAAAUUUUUGUUUCAUUUGGAAGAUGGUGUUAAAGAGCGACUGAAUCAAAUAACUUGCUCAACCGGCAAAGCUGAGCUGGUCAACUUGACUCGCUUAUAUAUAUACGUAAUUGGGGAAAAAAUGUCAGAUGAGGGGGCGGAUUAGGUCACUUGGGGGGUGCCGGGUGUAGAUGGAAGAAAGAAGUACGUAUAUAAUAAUAAUAAUUGGAGGGUUGACGUUGUCUUGAGAGCAACCGAUGAUGAUAACCCAUGCAGUAUUUUUGUCAUGGGAGAAUUAGGGUGGGGGUGGCCGUAAAAAAUAAUGACUAUGAAGCUCACUAUUUUAAAGGAAAGUUUUACUUUUAAAUAUAUUCUUUAUAUUAUUUAUAAAUAAAUUAAGAUUGUCAAUGAUGUGGGUCCAUAUAUGAUGAUAAGUACAAGUUGAUAAAUUAUGUGGGGCUCAUAUAUGAUAAUAAGUACAGGUUGAUAAACAAUCAACGGUACAUUUCUCAGCUUGAAAAAAUUGUUGUCACUUUUGAACAAUUGACGGUUUAAAAAUUUACUAUUUUUUUUUCAAAAAAAAUUAAGAUUUUUUAAAGAACCUUGCAAAAAAAAUAAUUUUUAAUAUCUCAUAAAUAAAAAUCAUAUCCUAAAGUUAUUAUGUCGUUUUAUAUAUAAAACAUACAAUUAAAAACUUUGUUAUCAUAAUAUAAUGAAUAAUUAUUUUUUAAGAGCACUCAUCAAUUGAAUAACAUAUAAAUAUUCAAUUGACUAAUACACACCUAUUAAAUGAAAUAACUCACAAUUAUUCAUGGGGUAAUAUAGCACGUGAAAAAAUUAAAUAAAAAUAAAUUAAAUUAUGUUGUAAUAUAUUGUAAUGAUAGUGUAUUUAUAUUGUAAGUAUAAUGCAUUUAUAUCGUACCUAUAUUUAAUUAAAAAAGUAAUAAUUCUAAAAAUGUUUAUUCAUACCCUAUUGGUAUUAACACAUCGUAUUAAUAUAUUAACAACAUUUAUUUAGUGUCUUGAAAUUAUUUAAUAAUUUUUUUAUAUAUAUAAACUACGUGAAUUCAAAUUAGUAUUUCAUUUGAUUUCAAAAAUUAUUUAUGAUAUAGGUAUGUUGUGAAAUAUGGUAUAAUCAUAUAAAAUUACAAUUUUAAUAAAAAAUUUCAUAAAUUUUUUAAUUAGGUUUUAUUGUAAUGUAAGUGUAUUUAUAUUGUAAUUAUAACAUAUUUUUGUUGUACUUGUAUUUUAUAAUAAAAGUAAUAAUCUUGAGGAUCAUCUUUUAUACCUUAUUAAUAUUCAACAUAUCAAAUAUAUUAACAUUAUUCACUCGAUGCAUUGAGAAAAACAAAUUUAUAUGAAAUUUAUAAAAAAAAAACACUAUGCAAAGGAAAAAAAAUCAUAUAAAUUUUUUAAAAUUAUUUUAUUAUAAAAAUAAAAAAUGAUUAAACAUUCUCUACCAUUUUCUUAUUCUUUUUAGAGAAUUUGAAUGAAAAAUUAAACAUUUUAUCUUCCUUAAAUUUAAUACAAAAAUAUAAUUUAUCAAUUUAAAAUUAUAAUAUAUAUAUAUAUAUAUAUAUAUAUAUAUAUAUAUAUAUAUAUAUAUAUAUAUAUAUAUAUAUAUAUAUAUAUAUAUGAAAAAAUCAUCAUUUUUAUUAUAUAAUUAUAAAACUUAUUUUAAAAAUUAGAAUAAACAUAAAAAAAAAGGUAAAAAAACAAUAAAUGAUAUUUUGAAAAUAAUUUUUAAAAGUAUUUUUGUUUUAAAUAGUAAAUUUAAAUAACAAAUUAUAUAUAAUUGUAAGAGUUAAACCCAAAAUUUUGAUUUAAAAUUUAAAUAUUAUUAAUUACAAUAAAUAUAGGACCCAUAUACCAUAAAUGUAUUGACAAAUCAAGUGAAGUGCUUUAAAUGCUUUGAAUUUUAAAAGUUUUAGCUAAAGGACAAUUUUGGUAUAUUAAGCCUAUUAAAAUCCUUCUCAAGAAUUAUUAAAAUAUAUCACCCUUUCUAAUAAUUGUUCUGCCUAACCUAUUUUUAGGUAAUUCUCCCUUUUUUUCAUUCUCAUCCAUCUUCACGGGACUUCGUCUACCAAAUAUGACAAAUAUUAUAUUGUUAUAUUGAAUAUAUGUACUAAAAAAUAGAAAUGGGAUGAUGCACAUGGCCUGACGUGUACGUUAUUAAUUUGUUUUUGUCUACGUUUGUUUGUUUGUUUUCGUUUUUCUGUUUAUAUACGUAAAGUCAUUUUUUUCCUCUUCAUGGAAUUCUUUUUGAUGAAAAAAUUAGAGGAAAAAACACAGAUUUAACGAUAAAUUAUCCAUGUUCAUGACAAUAAGAAAAAAGAGUUUCACUAUAUAUAAAAUUAGGAUUACAUUAAAAGGUAUUUAUAUUAAUUAAAAAUAUGAUAUUAAUCAUAAUAUUUAUAAUAGACAUAUCAUAUCAAAUAAAUUAUCCAAUUUUUUAUUAUAUUAAUAGAUAAAUUGAAGUUUUUAUGGUAAAUUUAGAUUAUUUGAUAUCACAAAUAUUAUAACGUUUAAAAAUUAAUUUUAAUAACUAAGUUGUGUUUGGUUUAAAAACCAAUUUUUAGUUUUCAUUUUCCAUUUUCAUUUAUGUUUUUUCUUUUCUUAAAAAUAUCUUUGAUUAAGAAAAGUAAAAGUAGUAUUUUAAAAAAGUAAACUUAUAAAAUCUUGUUUGAUUUUAAGCUUUCGUGAAUGUAAAAACUUGUGAAAAAGUAAGCAUUGUUGUUAGUACUCUUAAAUAUUAAUUAAAUAUGACUAAGUGGAUGAUGUCUAUAUCACUUCUCCUGCCAUCGUCACCCAGUGCUCCAGAAAGAAACUGGAAUCUGGACGCGUGAUUAACAACUUCGCUGAUCGCCUACCAUUCCCAUGGCCUCAUGCCUUAUAUAUUUCCACAAACCUAGCUCAAUUUUCAUAUCCACCUUCACUGUCCUAUACUCACAAGCCAUGGCCAUAGAUACAAGCCUCUUGCCUGAGCUUGCUGCAGCAACUCUUCUCUUCUUCAUCACCCGCUUCUUCAUUCGUUCUCUCUUUCCCAAACCUUCCCGGAAGCUCCCUCCUGGCCCCAGAGGGUGGCCGCUCCUCGGCGCUCUUCCUCUUCUAGGUAACAUGCCUCAUGUUGCACUAGCAAAGAUGGCCAAAAGAUACGGACCUGUCAUGUUCUUGAAAAUGGGCACUAACAGCAUGGUGGUGGCCUCAACUCCGGAGGCAGCUCGGGCUUUCCUUAAAACCCUAGACAUUAAUUUCUCGAACCGCCCGCCUAAUGCCGGUGCAACACACUUGGCCUAUGAUGCCCAAGACAUGGUUUUUGCGGAUUAUGGGGCAAGGUGGAAGCUCCUGAGAAAGCUAAGCAACUUACACAUGCUUGGUGGGAAGGCUCUUGAGGACUGGUCUCAGGUUCGAACUGUUGAGCUAGGUCACAUGCUUCGAGCCAUGCUUGAGUUGAGCCAGCGAGAGGAGCCGGUGGUGGUGCCGGAGAUGUUAUCUUUUUCCGUGGCCAACAUGAUAGGGCAAGUGAUACUAAGCCGCCGGGUGUUUGAAACAAAAGGGUCGGAGUCAAAUGAGUUCAAGGACAUGGUGGUGGAGCUCAUGACCACUGCUGGGUACUUCAAUAUUGGCGAUUUUAUUCCGUCCAUCGCAUGGCUGGACAUCCAAGGGAUCGAGCGCGGGAUGAAGCAUUUACAUAAGAAGUUCGACAAGUUAUUGACAAGGAUGAUAGAGGAGCACACGGCAUCAGCCCAUGAGCGCAAGGGAAACCCAGAUUUUCUGGACGUAGUCAUGGGCCAUCAAGGAAAUUCUACAGGGGAGAAGCUCACCCUUACCAACAUUAAGGCGCUCCUCCUGGUAUGCAUAGUUAAAGCUCGUCUUUAAUUUUGUUUUUCGAUAUUUCCUUUCCGGAAACAGCACUUUUAUUGUUUUCCGGAAACAGCCAUUUUAGGGGCACAUCACUGUUCUUUAUUUGGAUUUUUUUUUUGUCUUUUUCCACUUGCAUGGUUGUUUUCAUAUGCUCAGCUGCAUGGCACAGGAAAAUUGGGAAAAAUGAUUGGUUCUCUGAUCAGACCUUCUGCACCAAAACACACUUCUCUCUAUUUUAUAAAAUCAAGAACAUUUAUGGUUUACAUGAUUUUUCGAACUUGAACUUUUGCUAGGGCUAAUGCAUGGAUCUCAAUUUUCAAUUGCGUUUGAUUACAUAAAUUUCAAGUAUGUCACCAUAUUUUUGUUUCCUUGGCUAGAAUUUAUUUACUGCAGGAACAGACACUUCAUCAAGCGUAAUCGAGUGGUCUCUGGCUGAGAUGUUGAAAAACCCGAGCAUCCUCAAGCGUGCUCACGAAGAAAUGGAUCAAGUGAUUGGAAGGAGCCGGCGGCUCGUGGAGUCUGACUUACAAAAACUUCCAUACCUACAAGCCAUAUGCAAGGAAAGCUUCCGGAAGCACCCAUCCACCCCAUUGAAC
rnacentral:lncRNA from 1 species